UGAUAUUCUCAAAAUGAAUACCGGCAGCAGUGGUGGUGCAAGCCGCAGAUGGCCAUGUCUUGAUCCUCAGCCCGUUGUCGGUUCCCUCGAGGGUGCAGUUUAUAACCUUAAUGUCGUUGACAUCUUGCUCCCAUCCGUAUCUUCCAAGGCUUCCGACACUGAUUCCGUGUCCAGGACCGCACACAACUUUUUCAAUGAGGAGAUUCUUCAUCCCAUCUCCCACGGAGAUGCAGUCAUCUCCUGUGGAGAUCUUAGUGUUGAGGAUCUUGACUCCCUCACAUCUUCCCAAAUGGAUACCGUCAGUGUUGGGGCUUUCAGCUGGAGCGAUGAUCUUGAUGUUAUCAAAGGUCAUGUUCUUGCCACUGAUAACGUUGAAGUGGAAGUUUUUGGCAUCUAACGAGGUUACGUCUUUUAUCUCAGCGUUAUCCACAAAAUCAAACCUUACACUCUGCAAAAAAAUAAUAGCACCAUAUAUAUUAAAUUGAUCAUCAAUGAAUAAUAUAUCUUCUUAUUUAAAACCACUUAAAGCAUAUAUAUAUAUAUUUUAUUUUUGAAAAUACGUGUCUAUAUCUUAUUAAAACAAAAACACUUACGAUGGGAAGUUUUUUGCACUCAAAAGUCUUGUGGCAGUUAUUGGCCUUCCACGCUGCAUUGCCUUCACCGUCAAAUGUUCCACCUCCGUUCAGCUUAAACCCAUUGAUUUUUUCGAAGACGACCCACCUAUCCUUUCCCUGCGUUGAGCCACCGUCAGCUUUGACAUUGCCUUGAAGGGUGAACUCCACUGGAGAUUUGCAUGGACCAGUCAUAGCGAUCUCACCAAGCUUGAAGUCACCUUUUGGGAUCAGAACCUGGCUCGGUGCAGGGGCUUGGCAUGCUGAUGUGAACGCUUUAAGAAGAGCCUUCAACAAAACCCCAACGACUACGUUAGCCAAAAAAAAAGUAAAAAAACAGUUAUAGAUUUCUCUGGGUGAAAUAAUUAGAAAAUAGUAUAGAUACUAACCGCAGUAAUAUCAGAACCUGGAGGACCACCAACGGUGAACACCUCAGCAUUGGCUGAAUAUCCCAGCAAACAUAGAACCAAAAUUGUAUAAAUUCCUAAAUAUGAACCCAUUAUUUAUUUAUUUUUUAUUUGUUUUUUAUUGUUAUUUGUUUUGUUUUAUGAGAGUUUAGCUAUGCCUCUGCUGCUUUAUAUAGUGCCCUUAAUGGAGAUAUGUUUAACCCAUUUUUCUCUCAACGUCUCGUUUUUUAGAUUGUUUGGCCAAUUAUCAAGGAAUUACUAGGCUAAUUUAAUUUUGAGAAACUAGCGGUUUAUUAUUAGACGAAAGACUUGUUCUACUCGUGCACGUUUAUAGCAUUUUUACGAUACGUACAUUUUUCAGGUUAAUUGUUAGCCAACUUAUGAAAUUGACAUGAGUGAAGAAGAGACAUUAUGUUUAAAACAUACGGUUGGACGGAUUUAUCGUAAACCAACAUAUGAAGGCUAUAAUGUAUAUAGCUCAGAGAGAAGCAGAGGCAGAUUUUGAAAAGUUUUUAAUGGGGGACACAAUAUUAAAAACAUCUAUAUAUAUAUAUAUAUAUAUAUACCAGUGUCUUUUUUUAUGUUGUCGAUGUGUAAAAUCUUUGGAGGUACUAUGUCAACGUGAGCCUACACAAGAAUUAAAAAAAUUCAAAGUUAUUAUCUUAUCUUGAAAACGUGAAAAUACUUUUUAAAGACUAUCAAAACAUCAUUAUGUUUAAUUGGAUUAAAACCUUGAAAAUACUCUCUCUAAAUUAUGUAUACUGUCUCUGAAGCCAGGGCGGACCCACGGUAGAGUGGGGUGUGGCACUUGCCCCAUACUACAAUUAUAUAUUUCUUGUACACCUAUGUAACAGAUUGUUGUCAUUAGCUCUUUUGGUUAUUAGACUCACAGUAGUGCCCCACGUUUUACGAGUUCGAACCUAGGCUUCUCUUUUUUAGUAUUUUUUUGUGUGAUUAGGAUAAAGAUAAAUAACGUAGUGUUUUAGUUUGACACAAAUCUCAAGACUGAAACCAGAGACAAAGCUGAUGUUAACAAAAUAAUCUUUUUCUCUAUACGUUUUGUUUUAUUUUAAUCACUUUUCAUAAAUAUAUAUUCUUUUUAUUGUGUUGCUAAAUUUUUUUAUGAGUGAUUUUCUUUUCUUUAGUAUAUAGUUUUUCUGAAGUAAAAAAUAUUACACUUUAUUUUGUUAUUUAUUUGUAUUAAUUCGUAUUUAUUAAUUAUAAUACUUAGAUUAAAAUGAAAACUAUAUUGAAUAAGUGUUUAUAAUGAAACUAUAUGUGUAAUAUAUAUUUUUAUCUUAAUAUUACUUCAACUAUUAUGAAAUGUUUAUCUUUUUAUUUGAUUAAAAUAUUUCCUUAAAUAAGAUGUAAAUAUUAAUGAUUAAUGUUAUUUAUUUUAAAAUUAUUAUAUAAUUUAUUUAUUUUAAUUAUAUUUAAUAUUUUUUUUGUAAAUACCAUAAUAUUUAUAUAUUGUGCCCCAUGUUAAUUUAUUUUCUAGAUCCGCCCCUGUCUGCAGGUGUUUUGAUUUAAAGACAAACAUACCGUUACACGAAUCUGAGAUCAUUAUUAGGUAUUAUUGUUUGCAUACAAUUUCUCUUACCAAUUAUAAUAACAAAAACUUAUCUCUACUUCAUGGAUAUUAUUAUUGAAAAUAAUGUAUGUAUUUGUGUUAUUUCAUAAUAGAUUAUGAAUGUUUGGGAAAUAUAAAUAAAUAUAGAGAAUACUUAUAAUAAUCUUUAAAUUUCAAUUAUAUUAUUAUUGCGAAUUACACAAAAAUUAUCUACCCAAUAUUGUGUCACUCUUUCAGCUAAUGAAUUCCAAACUUGAAGGGACUAUUAUCUCUAUUAGAUAUCCAUAUAUAUCAUUUAAAGGUUAAAAAAAAACAAGACAUAUUUCUAAACUUUUUCAUCGCACCCUGACCAAAGCGUCUUAACCAGACUGGAUGGGUGCAUGGUGGACAAGCGACUUUAACUUUAAGAAUCCGGUUUAGCUUUUUCAGUGCAAGCAGGUGGUUCCAUCUUUCCUUUGAGUUUAGGCUUGACGUCAGAACAUGCCGAAACAGCUGGUCCCUUUUUACCAGUGUAUACGAAGUCUAUGUUAGAGAGAGUAACAUUAGUGCAAGGCACUCCUGGGCUGCAAAGUAGUUUCACAGCCACCUUUGACGCUGAUGUGCCCUUAAUGUCCCUGUAGGUGAUGUCCGACAACUUCACUUUCGAUGGUCCCUGCGCAUAUAUGAUUUAAAAGCUUGUUCAGUAUUAUCAACCACACCAAAAUAUAUAUAUAUGUGUGAUGUGUCAAAAUUUGAGUUUCGUAUAGAAACAUUCCCUCUCAUAACAUUUCUGGUUAUAAUACCUCACUUCGAAAAGUGAAUAUCAUCAAUCUAAAGUAGUAUAUAAAGUACAUGGUCCCUGCACUCCUAAAUGAUUUUAAAUUGAAAGCACAUGAUUAUGAGAAUGUAUUUUCAAAUAUAGUAAAUACUUUGAUUUGGUUACAUACCCCUUUCUUGCAGUGGCCAUGAGGGCAAUACACUUGGUCGAUGAGAAUAGGUAAGCUAACAUUGUCCAUUGUGAUAUCCUGGAAAAGAAUGUUGGAGACGAUACCAGGGGGAGAUCCAGGCCAUGUCUUAAUGCGGACACCGUUAUCAGUGUUCUUGAUGAGGCUUCUCCUAAUGGUGACUCCUCUCACUGGUUGCUCAUUAGGAUACUUUCCAAGACUUCCGAUGGCAAUACCAUGUCCUGGUCCACAUUCUACGUUCUCGACAAGAAAAUUUUCAGUACCAUCUCCUAUGGAAAUGCAGUCAUCUCCGGUUUUAAUCUUUGCACGUACUAAUCUGACGCCAUCAGACCUUCCAAUAUGGAUACCAUCGGUGUUAAGACUCUCUGGAGGUGCAUCAAUACCAAUAUCCUCAAGCGUUAAGUUCUUACAGUUGAUAAUGUUCAUGUGGAAAAGUUUGCUGUUUGUUGAUUUUAUGCCUUUAAUUUUCGAGUUUGUGAGACCUGUGAUCCGGAUGUUCUGUUACCAAUAAAUAUUUACCUAGUUAGUCAAUUAUAUAUUCUGAAAAAUUAGAUGAAUCUUUAAGAUAACACAAAAAAUUAUGACAAAAUAGCAUGCAAAAAAAUCCCGAAAAUACUAUUAAUUAAGUGAUAAAAUGACUGAAUUGUUUCAAACCCUAGACCAUCAUCCUAAUUUCAUCCUAUAACUAUUAAACUCUAAUCACUAAAAUCAAAUCUAAAUAUAAAAUAGUUUUCUUUAACUUUUAAUUUAUGUAUUGGUUUUUUCCUGUCAUGUUUUGUGCUAUUUUGGAAUAAAAACAUGUUUUCUUCUACAAGGUAUUUUCUCAUAAAAAUAUGUUUUCAUCUUUUAUGUCGAAUUGAAAGUUCUUACGAUAGGGAGAGUGUUGCAUUUGCCAGUUUUAGCACAGUCAUUGAUCUUCCAAGCGUGGGCGCCUUGGCCAUCAAAAAUGGCACCAUGUCCAUUCAAAUUAAAAUUCUCGAGUUUUUCGAAAUUAAUCCAUCCGCAGUGAGGUUUACCAGGAGUGGCCUUAGAAGGAGCCAUUAUAUGGCCAUCCAUUUCGAAAGUGACGGCACUUUUGCAUGGACCCUUGAACUCUAAGGUCUUUACCAAAUACUUACCCUUUCGCACUUUAAUCUUGCUUGGUGAUUUUGAUUCACAUGCUUUUUUCCAUGCAUCCGCAAAUGCCUACAUAACAUCCGUUCCACACCAUAUUCUUACUUAAAACCAUAUAACUAGAGAGAUUAGACGUAUAACAAUAUAAGAUAUGGUACGUACCUUACUGUCAUCGGUUUUGCCGUCUCCUUUGGCUCCUGAUGCUUUAACAUCAAUUGUUUCACCGCUUCCUUUGGAUGGUUCGUCUUUAUCGUUUUCUGUAAGCAUUUUAGCCCCAUUUGCUAUUGUUGUGGCCAUAACCACUAGUACUAUAAAAAGUAGUGUCUUUGCUCGACGCAAACCCACCAUUUUUUUAAUUCUCUUAAAUUUAUUGAUAUUUUUUAUUUUCUUAUUUAUCAUUUAUUUUCUCUUUAUACUUUUUUUUCGUUUUUUUUUUCUGGUUUGCUCUGAUGAGUCAAGAGUUCGUUUUAUAGAGUAGCGAAAGAGUUUGAAAACCACAAAUUCCGCGUACCUAAAAAUAGAACUAUUGAUUAUGUGUAAUACAUAAUGAGAGAAUUAAGCACGACCUUUUUGACUUGCUCCGUUUUCUAUUUAUGGAAACAUGCAUGUGAGGUUGCAAAAAAGAUGUCUCAUCUAGCGAUGGAAAAUCCGGUUUAUAAUUUAUUUCAGUUCGGUUUUACAAAAGAAAAUCAGACUAGUAAAAUGUUUUUGUUACAUUUGGUUUAGUUUUUUUUUCUUUUUAAGUUUGAUUCGGUUAUAGAUACUAGAAUUCCAAUUCGAAUAAAUAAAUGUUCUAAAAAAAUAUUUAUAAAAUUAUGGGAAUUAUUUUUUCUGAAAAAUAAAUGAUGGAAUUAUAACAUAAAACAAUUUUACAACUUAUGUUGACGGUUCUAUUUGCAUUCAAACAAUAUUCAUGUUUGCCGGUUUACACUUUUCCCAUCAAUCAGUAUAGUUAGUUGUUAAUAAAUCACCUUUCACUCGAAACUUAGAUUUUUAUGACGUAUUUGCUCAAAAAAAAGAUUUUUAUGAGGUAAAAAUAAAAUGUUUUUGAUAUUAAAUGUGUAUGUAUAUAUAUAAAUAAAUAAAUCGAUGAAUAUCGGGGGAAAUGGAGAAGUUAACUCGGCCCAUUACAUGAAAAUCUACUAAUGGGCUUAUCAUGGCUAAACAAUAAUGGGCUAAACAAUUUGAUUCCAGACUUGUAUAAGAGAAACCCUAAAAGAAAGAGAAAAGACACCACAAUGGACAGCGGCGAUAUUGUCGGAACCGGAGAUUACGACGUUGAGACGAAGCGAGAGAAGCUGAAAUCGUUGCUCUCUCAACUACUCGCCGAUCCGAUUCUAGCCGACGUUCCCAAGAAUCCAACACUCUCAGAUGUCGUCACUCUCGUCAGUCUUGAAAAGGGAAGCGCUAUGCGUCUCUCCAUCGUCAAACUCGACGGCUCCUCUUUGGGUAAAUAUUUACUUUCAUAUGAGCAUUUCGUCGAACAAGUGGUGUGCAUUGUAGAUUUACAUUUACGUUUGUUCUUUAUUGGCAGAUGUGGCGGUUAUGAAUUCAGCUACUUUGAAGGAUCUGAAGCUUUUGAUCAAGAAGAAAGUUAAUGAGAUGGAGCAAGCAAACAUGGGUCAUCGCCACAUCUCUUGGUAAAAGCUUGUUUCUUUGAUUCUUGUCGGAAAAAGAGAAACCUUUAGUUAUUACAAGAGUUUUGUUUGGGAAUGUGCAGGAAGCAUGUGUGGUCAAACUUCUGUCUUUCGUGGAAUAACGAGAAGUUGCUUGACGAUGACGCUGUUCUUCAGGAUGUCGGAAUCCGGAACAACUCUCAGGUUUACCUCUGUUGCUGUACUAUGUUUCAAACCAUUUGUCUACAUAUGCUCUAGUUGUCUUUAAUCUUGUUUUGAUUGGUCUUUAUGAAUACAGAUCGCCUUUGUUCCGUAUGUGACGAAGAAGGGUCCGGGAAGACACUCAAAGAGGAAGAAGCAUCGUCUCUUUCGUUCACUCCACAAGACUUGUUAGAUAGUAUCGGUAGGUUUUCGACCAAACGUAGUUAUGUUAUUCAACACUUGAGCUAAAAAUUGAGGCCUCAUUAGAUACAUUUCAAAAGCGUUAAUUUGUUUUUAUUUAUUUAAGACAUUAGGUCUGAUAUGUUUUUGAAAUCAUGUCAAGAUUCCCAGUGAUGAAAGUUUUAGUAAUCUGUAACGGUGAGAAAAUGGGGCUCCCUCUUGGGUAACUUUACCAUGGAGGUUUUAGAGGAACCAUUGCUGUAGAUUCUUGGCAACUUCUGAGGGUUUCUUUGCCGCCCAUUACAAUGAGCAUCGAUUCUUUCUUUAACUAUUUCUUGAGAUUCUGCGACAUUUAACUAGGCUACGUCUUUCCAUUUUAUUAUUAUUUAUUAUAAUUACUUUGAUUACGCUGUUAGUUUUACAGUAUUCUGAUCAGGUUGUCUGGCGUCAGAAAAAAACACAUGACUGUGGGCUGGAUGAUGCACCAGCAUGCUGCAAAAACAAGCAGAGUAUAGAAAAACAAGCGCAAGCCGGAUGGAGUUGGUUUAGCUUAUAAUAAUCUGUUUUAGUGUAAAACUCUGUAUAUAAACUCAGCUUAUUGGUUGCAGUGUGCAUAACAGAACAUAAAUUGCAUCGCUUACUAAUGAAUGCUAAGCUAGGGUUAUUGUUGGUCACAUUGUUAUAAUAUUUAUUUUAAGAAAAUCUUUACUCAGCUAUUGGAUGAUUGAUCAUCGCCUCUUUUGAUCCCAAACUUGCUGAGAUAUAUAUAUAUAUAUAUACACUUUUAAUUAAGACAGUCAGAGUUAUUUCAGUAUGAAUUAUGUUCUCAUUGCAUUUAUGUUAGUGAAUCGUAUGCAGCUGAAAUGGUCAUGUUAGAACAACUCAUUCUGGCACUUGAAUUAUAUGUUACAAACUUCUCUAUCCCUGCUAAACUAAUGAUGAGAUUGUUAUGGAUCUUAUGGUUUAGGACGAUAAAUAGAUGUAGUGGAAAUGUAGCAAUCGUAAUGAAGAGAACAUAUUGUUUUAUACAUACAUCUACUAUUUUGGGGAUAAUAAACAUUUAAUAAAAAAAUUAAUAAUCUUUUUUUUUCAUAAUUUGAAGGUUUAUAUUUAUGUAUAUAAUUUCUAGAAAAAUUGAAAGUCAAGGCUAAUGUUUUAGUGAAAUGUGUUUAGAUCAGGUCAUAUGUUUAUCCACAUCAAGAUCUCUAAAAACUAGGGUUGAAAACUAAAAAAAAUAUAAACAUUUAAAGUAUCACUUACCAAAUCUUGUGUUAUCCAUUAUACUCUACACAUUAACACUUACGUGUAUGAGCCGGACCACUCUUAGUAAAUUCUCUAUACACCGAACCGUAGGCUGUGAUGCACCAUAAACAAUAGUAACAUUAAGAAUCUAGGUCAAUCACGCAAUUGAUGAUGGCGAAUUCGAUUCUUGUAAAAAAGAUUAAAAGUUCAUCUCAAAGUCAACACAUUAAGAAUAGACAUCUUGUCUUGAAUUGCGUAAAUUUUGAAACGGAAAACAUAUUCGGGCCUACAGAUAUCAAUUCUCCGAUGCUACAUCAUAUAAUUACAGCCUAAAGACAACAAAAUAAUAUUAAGUGUUUGGAAAAACCAAAGUGGUGGGAAACUUGUGCACCUCUUGUUAAAUCUUUAUAGCCUUUGAAGAACACUCACGGCACAACUGCCCCCACCCACCAUUUCGUUUUUUACUUUCCUAUUUCUCUAUCCUUGAAUAGAAAAGCAACAAUUAUUUAAUUAACACUACCAAAAUAUAUAGUCAUGAAACUAUCUUAAAUAUGUUAAACUCAUCUAUACUAUUAAAGCAGAAUCCUAUUGUCAUAAUUACCUUAGGGGCAUGUUUCCUUCACUAACAUUACAUGUUUCAUUAAGGGUAAUUAAGUAAUAUUAAUAACAAAUCUAUAUUGGGUCAUUAUUUUUGGAUCCAGCCCAAAUCAAAUCUCUCUUGGGCCAUUUGGACCUAUUAAAAAAUCAGAUUCAAUUCUCACUUUUUUUUUUCCUUUGGGCCAUUGAGUCCAAGUUCAAAUAAUUUUUUUUCAACUAUUCUUAAUUAUUAUUUUUUUCUUUUCUUAAUAUAAUUUAAGCAUUCAUAAAAAUAAUUGAAUUUUUUUAUUGAAAAGUAUAAAUCUUUAUUAAAAGUAUAUAAUUUUUUAAUUAAAAUAUUAACCCCAUAAUAAAAUUAAUUUAUCAGAGUUAUACCAACUUAAUUCAUUAAAAAAAUAAAGUUUAAUUUUUUUAACAUAAAUAGUCAUUUAAAAUGAAAUACGAUAAAUAAAGAUAAAAUUUUUAAGUCUUUUAUAAAAUAAAACACAAAUAUAUGAAAAUGUGACAUUUACUAAAUAUUUGUCAAUUGAAAAAAAAAAUGCUUAUCUCACCCAUUAUUUAACUUAUAUAAAAUCCACAAAAUGUUUAUUAUAUUAACCGAAAGAGAAAAGUCCAACAUGAAUAUGAUAUCUACAUACAUCACACACAAACUCUCCAACUCCAAUUAAGACUUGUGUAUUUUCAUAUCUCAACGUUUUAAAGAAAAAACACUAAACUAGAAACUGAAAUACAAAUCUAUUAAAUAAAAAAGUGUGACCAGUAAACAAUUCGAUUUACUGUUGGACCUUUUUUUUAAAAAGUUAGAUGAUAAAAAGUAAAAGGAAAGAGAGAUGCAAAGAGAGGACUUCUGCAUGAGUUGGCAACUUCAGUUUUUGUUCUUAUUAUUAAAGUCUUUAAAGUAAACCUAAUUUAAAAAAAAAACGUAAGUGUUGCUCUGUCAUCAUCAUCACACUUUCCCCCUCCUCCCUUUUGUUUUCUUCUUCGUUUUCUUUAUUCUCUUUUGACAAUCCGUAACUCCAAAUCUCAUCCUACGGUCUACAAAAUUUUAAACUUUUUCCACGAUAGAAUUAUUAUUAUGUGAUGCCCAUUCAACGUAACCCCUCCUUAGUUUCCUCAUCACCAUCUUCUCCUCUCUCUCUCUCUCUUCAUCUCAAUAUAUCAAACAUCUUGCUUCUGUUUCUCUCCUUCAUCCAUGGCUCAAGAGAACAGUUUCAAGAAGAGAAAGAUCACCACCGUGGACGACCGUGGAGGACUUUUAGAAUCCCUUCCCGGAGAUAUCCUCACCGACAUAUUCUCUCGCCUUCCCAUCUCCUCCUUAGCUAAACUCAUGUUCGUUUGCAGAUCUUGGAGAUCCAUUUUGACGACACAACACGGUCUUAUCUCUUCUUCUUGUUCUUCCGACAAGAAGCCAUGUCUUCUCCUUCACUGCGACUCGCCAAUACGCAACGGCCUCCACUUCUUGGACUUGUCUGAAGAAGAGAAACGUAUCAAGACCAAGAAAUUCACCUUAAGAUUCGCAUCUUCCAUGCCUGAGUUCGACGUGGUAGGUUCUUGUAACGGUUUGCUCUGUUUGUCUGAUUCUCUUUACAACGACUCUCUCUACCUCUACAACCCUUUCACCACAAACUCCUUAGAGCUUCCUGAAUGUUCCAACAAGUACCAUGAUCAAGAACUCGUGUUCGGCUUCGGGUUCCAUCAAAAGACAAAGGAGUACAAAGUUGUAAAGAUAGUUUACUUCAGAGGUAGUAGUAGUAGCUACCGAGGUCGUGGUCGGAUCCAGUACAAGCAAUCAGAGGUUCAUGUCUUAACCUUACCAACAAGAAGAGAUCAAUCUUUAUCUUGGAGAAGCUUAGGGAAAGCUCCUUACAAGUUUAUGAAACGUCCCACGGAGGCUUUGGUCAACGGGAGGUUACAUUUUGUGACAAGGCCUCGUAGGCACGUGCCUGAUCGUAAGUUUGUAUCAUUUGAUCUUGAAGAUGAGGAGUUUAGAGAGAUUCCUAAACCGGACUGCGGUGGGCUAAACCGGAUCAACCAUAGGUUAGUGAACCUUAAAGGGUGUCUUAGUGCCGUUGUUUAUGGAAACUAUGGGAAGUUAGAUAUAUGGGUUAUGAAGAGCUACGGGGUUAAGGAGUCUUGGGGCAAAGAGUAUAGCAUUGGGACUUACGUGCCGAAGGGGCUAAAGCAGAGUUCGGACCGACCAAUGUGGAUUUGGAAGAACGCUGAGAAUGGUAAAGUGGUUAGGGUUUUGUGUGUGUUGGAGAAUGGAGAGAUCUUGUUGGAGUAUAAGAGUAGGGUUCUUGUGUCUUAUGAUCCAAAAUUGGGUAAGUUUAAAGAUCUUGUUGUUCAAGGUAUGCCUAAUUGGUUUCACACUGUUGUUCAUGUUGGAACAUUAUCUUGGCUUGAUACACCACUUGAUUUAUGAAACGUUUUAAAGAAAAUUCUUCCUUUUUAUUGUCAUAUAAUAUUCCAUUUAUAGUCUUAAAUAAUGUUGUAAAUUAUUGAGUCAUCUUCUUUCAUCCUUCCAAGUUAUUGCUUCGUUUCUGGUGAAUGUAUUAUUUGUUGAUUUUUUCAUGUUUUUUGGUGGUUUCAUGUAGAUAUGGUUUCAUAAAUCUACUGGUAAAUAUAUAUGAAGAUAUAUGUGCCAUUCAGUUUUAUGCCUUUGUAUUCUGUGUCAAUUUUCAUCACAGCAUGGCCUUUACUAUAUGAUAUUUUACUAAAUUUACUGCAAUAUAUUUGAAUGAAACAAAGAGUAUACAAUUGUUAAACCAAAAUAUGCAAUUCAUAAACAUGCAUGUGAGAAACAAAUAUAUGAGAUAAUGUGUACAGAAAGAACUAAAUAUGUAACAUUAGUUGCAGAAAUGGUUAAUUGAGCUUAACUAACGUUACACCACAGCCACCAGAGCCUCAUUUUUCACGACUUGUAACCGUCGUCCAUUCUAUUAUGUCUUAAUUUUUGUGUUUGUUUAAUAAAAUUUUACUAUAUAUUAUCUAAUACAGUACAAUCAUAAAAUUUGCAUGCUGGAUCAGUAAGCCAUCCAUGAAAAGAAUCUCCUAGCAUAUACUUAGAUCCAUGGAGUUCACAACAAGAAAAUAAAGGCACGACGAUAAAGCAAAAUUUAAAGAACUCUCAUACAAAAGAAGCUUUCGCUAAUCACGCAAAUCAUAUAAUUCAAUAAAAAGAAAAUUCUGUGCAUAUAAAUAUAGAUAACUAUAGUGAUUCUCGAUCUAAAUAUUAAACCCAUGUGGAAAGAUUCCUUGCCGUCUGAAAAUAAAAUAAAAACUCCAUACAUCUUAAGAUCUAAACAUCAUAUUUUAUAAGAAAAAAAGAUCUAGAACUUUCUUUGAAGAAAUUGAAGUCUUCAUUAUGUCGGAAUUAUUACAUAGUAUUAUUUCGGAUGAUGGCUAACUUAAUUAAAAUGAAUCAUAUUAAGUUACAAUGUCAACGACCGAAAAUAAUUUGCACAUCGUGACUUUUUUUAAAGGUCAUGAGGAAAUGAUUACCGUUGGAUAAACAUAAAUCAUUUUCGAUUUUUAAAAUAUUGGAGUAUAUGUUAUAGGCUACCAUCAUUUUACAACGACAACAGAAAAAGGCUUGCCAACAAUCACGUUCAUGUAUACAAAAGAUACGUCGACUGACUAGCUAGUGCAUGUGGAAGGCCGGUGAAUCUCCAAAAGGCCACAGUGGCCAUUUUUCUUGCUCACUGUCACUGGUACCACUAGACUCUAGAAUGUGCAUGUUAUGGUUUUUCCCAUUUCUGAAAAUUUCAUACUCAGAAUUUAAAUAGACGUUGAUUAUAUACCCCUUUGGUCGAAAGUUCCAUGCUCGAAUAAAUGAACACGCCCCAUAUGUUAAUGCUUUUAUCUAGCAUACAUAUUGCUUGACUAAGUGACAACUUAUCCAAGCAACUAGCAUAUGACUCUGAAAAGGCAUAGUCUAUAACUAUUGCAUGUUUCAGAUUCGUAGUAGCUAGAGAGAUAGUUAGAAAUGUUUCAAAAUUUGUUAGGUUAAAUAUAAGACGAAUGUGCCUAUCAUAAAUAGUAAGAACAUCAAAAUUGAAAGUGACAAUCUAUAUUGGGAUACAUCAUCUAUCAACUCACAUGGUCCAAAAAAAAUUGAAUGAAUCAAAUAGGUUUGUGCUGCAUGACUCGAGACUUGUAUUUGUCUCGUGCCAUUAGUUUUCAACUUCAAACCGGAAGAAACCGGCUAAUAUAAACCAGUACAUUGGUUAAGCAAACUAACUCGGACGAAUAAUAUAAUCCAAGUAUCCAAACAACAACAAAUAUUUUAAAAAAAAAAAACAUAAGAGAGAGAUUGGUCGUGUCGUGGCUCGAGGCUCGUUUCCUCUGCGCGUGGAACAAGUACAAUCAUACUUUUGUCGGAAUUCUCGGUAGUGACUCUCCACGAUCUCUCUUUCUCUCUCCUAUAACUCGGAUCACCACAUGACUUCAUCUCCUCCUCCUUCCUUCCCGUUAACACAGAACCAAUCUCCCUAAAGAAUCUCCCCCAACUCCUCAUUCUCUCUAACGCUAGAUCCCCCAAAAAAGGUAAAGGCUUUGAGGGAUUGAUUGAUUGAUUAAUGUCUUUGGUAUCGAGUUCCAGAGACAUGGGAGGAGACGACGAAAGCACGUCCAGAACUCACCGUCACGACGGCACAGACGACGAGGGUGUUGAGUCCUUGGGGAGGCAGAUGAGCGAGUCUUCUAUCUGCGCUACAGAGGAAGAAGAGGAAGACGAAGAUUCAAAAUUGCAUCUGGGUCCUCAGUACACUAUCAAAGAGCAUCUCGAGAAGGAUAAAGUUGCUUCCUUUUUACUUUUUCCUUUUCUUUUCAAUUUUUUUUGAAUAAUUCUCCUGAUGAAUCUGAAUGUAUAGGAUGAUGAGAGCUUAAGGAAGUGGAAGGAACAGCUUCUUGGAAGUGUUGAUGUCACCAACAUUGGAGGUUUGUUAAAAAAAAAUACAAAUUUUAUAAUAGUAAUUAUAAUAAUCUUGGAAAUGAUUGAUAGGUCAUUGUGUUUGUUUGCUGUCUCUGUGUUUUAUGUGAAUAGUUUGGUUAUAGAUUCUACAUUUGUUUCUUUUAUGGAGUUUAUAAAGUUUUGUCUCUUUUAUAUGUGCAGAGACUCUUGACCCUGAAGUGAAGAUCAUUAGCCUGGCGAUCUUAUCACCUGGAAGACCAGACAUUGUUCUUAUGGUACCCGAGAAUGGGAAUCCAAAGGGAAUGUGGUUUACUUUGAAAGAAGGGAGCAAGUACUGUUUGAAAUUCACAUUUCAUGUUAACAACAACAUUGUCUCUGGUCUUAGGUACACCAAUACUGUGUGGAAGACCGGCGUUAAAGGUAAUAAACAACAACACACAUGAGUUUGUUUUAAGAUUCUCUUAAUUGUUGGGAAUGUGAUUUAAUUCUUUUUAUUAUGUGGAUUCUCAGUGGAUAGAACAAAGGAAAUGCUUGGAACCUUUAGUCCUCAGCUGGAGCCAUACAACCACGUGAUGCCUGAAGAGACCACUCCUUCUGGCUUGUUUGCUCGUGGAUCAUAUUCUGCAAGAACUAAGGUCAAAUAGAGUGUCAUUCAUUCAGAAUAUAACUAAAUCUGUUAUAGAUAGAUAUUCUUUGGUGUUGAUACUUUGCCAAAACCUUGUUUCAGUUUCUUGAUGAUGAUAACAAGUGCUACUUGGAGAUCAACUACAGCUUCGACAUCCGUAAAGAAUGGCCUGCGGUUUGAAACUCAAGAACCUGAGAUGAUGUGUUGUCACUUUUCAGUAGAAGUUGUGUUUGUUUCACUCUUUUUUCACCGUUGAACAUAUUAUUGUUUUUUUUUUCUUUCUAAAUCAUCAUGGUAGAACAAGAGCGACAUUUACUUCCUCUUUGAUCUUGAUUUUUUGUCCAGUAAUCUCGUUUGGUGUUUGUUCUCAAGUUCUACUCUCCUUCUGCUUCUUAACAUGUGUCUGAUGAUAUGAUUGUGUCAUAUACUCAUAUCCUGAGAUGUAUAAUGAGUAAUUGUCUCUCAGUCAAAAGCUGAAGGGAUGAAAGUUAAGAAAAGACAAAAUGGGUUUGCUUGACAGAAAAUGCAUCAUCAUAUGGCUUUCAAGAGAAGAUUUUUUUUUAAAAAAUUAUUAUUUGAAAUUUGAUUAGAUGGAUUCACAUAUUUUGCAUUUCAGUUUCUCAUUCCAAUUAUUCAAACACGCAAACUCCAAACUUGAACUGCUGCAAAGUUUUCUCUAAUAUAAAUACAAAUUCUAAUAUCAAUAUCAGGUCUUAUCCUCAUGGCUCAUAAGUCACUUUCUUUGUCAUGUGAAGUCUUAUCCUCAUGGCUCAUAAGAACACAGUAUUGAGAAUAACACUUUGCUGUGAAGCAAAGAAGAAUUGAAAUGCAUCUAUGACUGAGAAAAUAUGAAGAUCACAAUUGAGUAUAUCAAAAGAGGUAGUGUUGACAAAGCAAAGGCAAUGAACACAUCUUUAGGAAAGUGAAGAAACUUUGACAUUUACCAUCUCAUAAAUGGAUCAUCUUGGUCUUUUGUUUUGCUCUCAAAGUUAAAAGAAAAAAAAAACAUCCUAUUUAUAUACUUCAAGAGGGGUAAGUAAAUAAACCAUUGGACUCCCUCCUUGUUGUACACUUUAUGCCUCAUCUUCUCCCAACCCAACACUUUUAUGUACUCUUACCACUUUCUUUAAGAGAGUUUAGCCUCCUAAGUCUCUGGUCAAGUUCUGCCAUCACCGCCGGUUCCUGCUUCUUCCGCUGCUUAGAUAUUGUGUUGGUAGUCAUGGAUCCGAUUUUCUCAAACGCCACCUAAACAAAAGAUAAUAAACGAAUCUUGAACAUGUGAACUAGUUUCUUUUUUAUUUUCGGAUUAGGGAUAUAGCUUACCGUUAGUAACUCAUCAGGGUCAAAGAGCUGGUGUGAGGUAGUCUGGAUUAUGUUGAUUACAUCACCAACCUGGUGUGCCAUAAGCAGCUCAUUUUCUUUCAUCUACAAAUAAACAAGAGAUCCGUGAAAAUGAGAUUUAACCUUAUGUAAAAAAAAACACUGAUCAAAAGGAAGAGAAGUAAGAACCUUGAAUAUUGCCAAAGCUGCAUGGAAAAGAACCUUAGCUCCUUCAUAGAAAAGUACAUCCCAAACUCGUAGAGUUGUCUGAAAACAAAACUUCUCUAUGUAACUAACAAAAGCAAAGCUUAUGAAGCCAAAGAAUCCAAUGUAGUGUUUUUUUUUUUAAAAAAGAACCUCAGAAGGCAAGCUUUUAGAAAAGAGGCAGAGAAACCACUCUGUGGCUACAAGGGAAACAUCAAAGCCCAUAUCGUCAAGAUGAGUAGCUAUUCUGCAAAAAAAAAAUGUAAUGUGUUUUCUUGAUCAAAACAGUAAGAUAAUCAAACACAAUUUGAUCAAAAGAACCAAGAAGGACAUACCGAGGACAUUUUUGGGCGAGCAAAUCUUUGAAAACCCGCUGCUCAACAUGGCAACCAGACAAGUUGGUUGUGUAGCAGUCGCGGACUAAUACGUUUUCCAAAAGAACUGCUAGCAUCCAGAACGCGUCUUCUUCUGUCUUCAUGACAAGUAAUAGUAACGCUGCAACAUAGUUUAGUCCCUGCAACAAAAUGAUUAAGAUUACAAAACUCAUUUGAAUAAAGACAAUGAAGAUGGGAAAAAUAAUUAUGUGUGUACCUGGCAAUAACCAACAUCAGAGUCUCGAAAUGAAUAUCCAACAAGCACACGUCGUAGAGCAGCAUGACCCUCUGGAGUGUCCAACCAAGGAUGGCCUGGGAAAGUCCGUGGCAGAUCCUGCAAAAAUUAAAUACACAAUGUCAAAAGCAAAUCAUGAAAAGAUCUAAGGAGAUUGCACUCAAAGAUAAGGGAAUCAACUUAUCACAUCACAUAAUCUCAAACAGUAACAUAGCAGCAUAAAGGGUCUGCCUAUAAGUUGCAUGAACACAAUAAUGAACAGCCGAUCCCAAUGUUCGAGAGAUCGCUAGGCAGUGGUUAGAGACUUUAUAUGAGAUUAUUGAUUAUGUGGAUGCCUAUACCGAUUUUUUUAGCACCUAGAUCAAAUUUUUUUCACAAGGCGGUUGAAAAAAAUUAUUUCGUUUUAGAUCCGAUUUGCUGACUAUGCAGAUGCCUAGGCGCUACCUAGACCAAUUUUUAGAACAGUGUCGGAUCUAGAACAACCAAAAUAUAUGGAAAUGAAACCUCACUUAUUGGUUUCCUGAAGCCAUCAUCAAAUCCUAAGACCCUCAAAACAAUUCCUCAGAGGCAUAAUGUCAAGAUCAGAGAGGGUGAGAAUCAACUAUUCAUAGCACAUAACACAUGAAGUAGUCUUCUAUGACCACCAUCACACAAUAGCACUAGCCUCUUAGUGUGCCUAGAAGAUAAAAAAAAAAGAAUAUUGAGACUUCAGAUAAAAGACCAAAAAACUCACAUGAUCAAUCUGCCGCGUGGCAGGCGUGACCAUCCCAUCAACAGCCUUAGUCAAAUCACCGUAAUAACUCUCCGGAACAGUAGACUUCUUCUUAGCAGCACCGGAGAGAGAGAACCAAACCUUAGGCCUCAGCACGGGAGGUAUCCCUUUCCUAAUCAGCCUCUUCAGCGUAAUCGCAUUACUCAAAGCCGAGAUCUUCAGAGACGUCUUCGACACGAUACUGUCUCCGGUCAACAGAGUAUCCGGCUGGAGAUACCAGUUAGCUCCCUUGCUAGCCUCGAGAGCCCACCAGACACGGCCUUGGUUCCUCACUUUCUCUCUGACUUCGUUUAGGACGUUGACGUCGUCGACGUUUCCUUCCACGGUGAAGCCGUAUAGGUCUUGGAACUUGACGACGAUGUUGGCUCGUCGGGCGUGGAUGCUGGGGCGGAGGAUCGGGAUUUGGGAUUGGAGCUCGGUUGUUAAGUCUCUUUUGCUUUGGAUCCCGAACAUCGUAGGGUCUUGUCUGAUUUUUUUGGAGUCAGUUUCGGACCAAUCACGAACAUGUCAAGAAAGAGAAAAAAAAAGAAACAGAGGAUGGUACAGAGGAAAUGUAAAGGAAGCUCCUUUAUUGGAUUAAAUUUUAAUUAAAAGUUGUAACCUUUAAUUAUUUUUUUAAUGUUGUCACGUUCUGCAAACGUUAUCUCUCUCUCUCUAAUCUUCUCCUCUACGCAGUCAAAUAAUUUUUUUGUGAAUAAAAAAUUCAGAAGCAAAAAAGAAGAAAAAACCAAGAACAAAUGAUUUUCCCCCACCACCCUCCUGUGAGUAACGAUGACACUAAAAAUGGAAAAGAAAAGAUAAUCAAAAUGAAAAAUCCAGAGGAGCUUUUAGUUGAGUCCCGUGUCUAUUGGUGUUGUCGAGAAGAGAUGUAUGAGAGGGAGAGGUUAUCUUAUCCACGAGUCGAUGAAGGUCCACAAACACUAUUAUAAACAGUAGUAUAUAUUACUUUAUGGAGUUAGUGGUUUUGUAUUCCACAGAUUCAAAAUUUGAAGUUAGAGCAAUGCAUGCGUUUAAACAACUUUGAAACUUGCUUUGAUUAUUCAAACUUAAGACGGCUAAAAACGUGCUGAAGUGUUAUGUAGCUACAUUGAAUACAAUCAAGGCGUUCGUUCAUAUGAUAAUGACAUGUACAUUUUUGAAGUUUAAUAUAGAUGACUGGUGGAUUAUAUAUUCUCUCCCAUCGGUGGAUAAAAUAUGGUAUCUCAUAAGUACUAGUUUUUUUUUUAAUUAUCAUCAGAUUUGCUUACAAGAUACGUGAGUCCACGACUCCACUAACCAUUCAUAACUUUGCGUUUCAAACUCUUGACCAUUUUUAAUCCCCUACCAAUUAGUUCCAACAAUAUAAUAUGUUUUUCCUUUGGUAUAUCAAGCCUCAGAAUGAAAUGCAAAGUCCCGGUCAUCUCAUGUCUCUUGACCAUAUUCAAGAAAGAUAGAGCAACUUGAUAUGUUUGUUAUUGUAUCGUUGUAAUUUGAAGGCAUAUGUUAUGUCGUUGUGAUGAGCAUUUUCCACUGGAUCAGACGCAAGACUCUUGGACCUAUAACAACUGUUUUCUCCGCCCAACUCAUCAACACCACACUGAUCCGGUUUGUUAACAAGUGAACUCCCACAUCUAUACAACAAACGCGAUAUUGCGUUCUCCUUGAACUCAACACAAAACGAGCUUUGAUAAUGGUAGUUAUCGUCUAUAUAGUGUGCAAGGCGAGUGAUGUGUUUAUGGUAUCUCACGGAGGGAACCUAGGAGUCACGAUACAUGUACACACUCUCAGGUUUCGAUUGGUUUCAAAGGUCAAUUUCAGUGGGUGUUUUACUUACACAUUCUUAAAACAAGGAAAAGGUAUUGAAAAAUUAAUUUUACAGGGUCACAAACCUUAUGCUUAUGAACAAAAUCAGAAGCUUAUAACAAAUAUAACACCAAACAUAAGGCAUAUGCUCACAUUCUCUUUGAACACAUCAAUGACUGAACACAGAAUUUGAGAAGAUGAUAAAAACAAUUACACAGGUAAUCUCUAGGACAGACAGACUGACCUAAGGAGCUCAUGUGAAGCACUUUCCUUUGGACAAAGACAAAAAACAGACGAAUAUACCCUUAUCGAAGACAGCUUGAUUUUUUGAUUCUCAAAGGGAAACCGGUUUGGCCUAUGGAGCUCGGUUUAUUUGUUUCAUAGGAGGCAUUUAUUGGUUAGGCUUAUUGAGUGAAGUACCUUAAUCUUGACCGUCGGAUUUGGAUCUUGUGGUUUCAAUCAAAGGCCAAAAUUGAAACUUGAGAAGUAAGUCAGCUUUGAUAAGGACGUGAAUUUAUUGUGUUGGAUGUAGAGGAAGCGACCGAGUACACUAAAUUUUUGUCUUUAUUGGAGCUGUUCUUGACAGAAAUUGAAGGUUUCAGUUUGUUCUUGUUUUUGGUUUGACAUUUAUAGAUCCAACUGCAUUUCCUUGAGUUGUGGACGGGUGGGCUGUGUACGGAAGGAUUUUGGGUGGUAGAAGCGUGGAUGGGUGAAACGUUGAUGGGGAAUGAAGGUGUUUGGAGAUUGUGGAUUGGUGAGGUGUGGAUGGGUGAAGCAUGGACGGGUGAAGCAUGGACGGAGGAAGAGUGGACGGGUGAAACAUUUAUGGGGAUGAAGGUGUUUGGGGAUUGUGGAUGGGUGAGGCGUGGAUGGGUGAAGCGUGGACGGGUUCACCAGUUGUUGACUUGCUGUGAGAAGUUGAGCCGUAAAGCUGUGCCACGUAUUGGCUGACGAGUGGAGAGUGGAUGUGAUCUUCCUCCAUAGGAGCUAGCGACUGUGACAAGUACAGGAAGCAGCGGAUAUUUAAGAACGGCGGAGUGGCGGAGAGUGUGUGAAGAACGCAAGGAGAUGGAAGGAGAGACUGUAAAAAACUUAGAUCUAGGGUUUUCAGAAAUCGCCGCAAAAAGGAAGUGUUGGAGAGAGAGAGAGAGAAUUGUAAAAGAGAGAGAGAGAAAAAUGUGUCAAUCUGAAUUAAAGAUAGGGUUGGUACAAUUGGUAAACCAAAAUAUAGGAUUUCAACCGGUUUGUUUUUUCUACUUUCUCUACCAUAAGGGUAUAGAAGACAAUGACUAAGGAAGAAGUAUAUCACAUGUGCAAUGUGUCUUGGAGAGUAAAUUCAAAUACAUAAAGUGUCUUGGAGAGUAAAAAAAUCAUAAUCUUUUCAUUAACAAGAUUAUAUCAUGCAAAAGAAACAAAACAUCAAAACCCAAGACAUGAUGAUGAUGAUUCACCCCAAAAAAAAAACUUAUUGAAUAAAAAAGCUCAAUGUCUUUCAGAAAAGUAACAAAUCUUUCACCAGGGCACACACUUAACGCUGCUUAUUUUCCACAGUGUAUCAAACUGCCUGCACCUAGGAAAAGUCCGAAAAUCGCUGCGCUGCCCAUGGUUGUCUGCCCUAUGUACCUUAUCUUCAUUAGCCCAGGGACCUGCAAGUCACAAAUGAAUCAUCAAGCAGUUGAGAUUGAGAUUGUUUUCACAACUGCUUACGCAUAUAGUGUCAAGAGCAUCAUCAUGUAUCGAGAUUGUUUUCAAGAGCUGAUUACUAGUCUAACCUUAAAGCACAAAGACUUCAGAUCUAUCAUCCUCUCUAGCUAAGCUAACUAACAAACACAACAACAAGAGCAUUCAAUUAUAACUGAAUCGUUUGUUUUAAAGUUCUCUAACAUGGUGACAACUAGUUAAUGUCUCAACGUGAAGACACGCCAUAAGACUGUCAGAAAAGAUUUCAUUUCACUAAAAAGGAACCGACUUUUACAAGCUUGAGAAGAUGUUCAUAUAGAGAAAGUCGUUACCUUGAAUCUAAUCGCCUCGUAAGUUCCAUAGACAGCACCUGAGAGAUUUAAUUCACCACAAGAUUGUAAUUUGUAUCAAUCGCAAUUGGGAUUUAGGGUUUUUUUUCCAGAAAAUUGUACCUACAGCGCCGCCAACUGCGCCGCCGAUUGCAGCUCCGGCAACGACUUUGGUUAAACAAUCUUUCGCCAUCUUUCAAUAACGUUGCGGUGGUUGUCUUCGCCGCUUUUAUGUUUUUUUUUUUGGACAAUCGAUUUUUGCCUUUCGCUACUACAGGGAGACAAAGCAUGUAACACCGACUUCUUACAAUAACCAAAUUUAAACCGGGGCUACUUGAGUGAAUCUGACCGGUUUACCCUGAUCACUAGUAACUCCCCCGACUCGAGUGGGUCUGAGUCCUGACCCAACCCGGCGCGUUAAUUGUUUUCUCAUUGAUAAAAAAAAAGGUUCCCAGUGUAGCAAUUUAUUAAACAAUAUAUUCAUUUUGUGUCAUAAUAUAAUUUGUUUUUAGAAAAUAUUGUUUCAAAAUAGAAUCAGUGGAAAUUUUUAUAUUUAUUAGAUAUUGUGUGAAUAAUUUAAUUAUGAAGUCUUUCGUUAUUGAUUGAAUUAUAUCUUGUUUAUAUGUUAAAUGAUAUUUUUUGAACUAACAAAAUUUUAAAUUAUUGCAAAACAAUCUACAUUGUGAAACAUAUAGAGUAGUAGUAUUAUUUAGACACUACUUACAUUUAGUUGCAAAAUGUAUGAAACAUAACUAUAAGAAAAGGUUUUUUUUUUUUUUAAGGAAUAUCUUGUUUUCCGGCAGAAAUGUUAGUUUACAUAUGGCAAUGAAAACUUAUCAUCAUUGCGGCCAGACACAACUAAGGAAAUGAGGAGAUGUUAAUAUAGAGAACCCAGGUUCAAGUGGAUUAUUACAAUGAAAGAACGUGAGAGUUUGUCAUGGUGGAUUAUUAUUAUAUGCAAUUUUGAUGCAUCUUUUGAUAAACCCCUGUUUCGUGGGCUAAAUAUUCUGCCUUUGCUUGGAGUCACAUAUUGUUCAAAGCCGGCCCUAGUCCCUCCUCUAAAGCAUAUAAACCAUCUGCUUUAGGCCACAUGUCAUGCAAAAUUAAACAAACCACAUUUUAAAACAUCAUGUGUAGUUUAGCUUUAGAUGGUUGUAAGCAGGUAAAUGGCACUCAUGUCCUAAAUUCAAUUCACUUUAAACACUUCAUUUUAAUUUUUCCAAAGACAACUUUUCAUUUUGUUAAUAUUUCAUUAUUUUAUAAGAGCUACAUAUUUGAUAUUUUACAUGUCUUAAGCCUCUUAAUUAUAUGGAAUGGCACUAGGCAUGAUCACCCAAUCUUUCGAAUGUGUGUAUGGGGCAGAAUGUGAUAGUUUGCUAUGGGUUAUGCAAUCAGUUUGGACUCUCAAGUGUCUUUGAAGGAAAUUGCUUUUCUUUAAUACAAGUCACUCAUUCAACUCUAUAUUGAAUCUCAGAUUAGAGAGAUUUUUAAUCAGAAAUUGAAGCAACUACUGAUAUCAUCUAUUGUGUUUAUGUGUUUAAUAUUGUCAAACACCUAAGCUGUGGCAUGAAUGAUGAGGUCAAAAAGCUAUGCAGCUUCGAAAAAACUAAAAAAGAACAAGUUGUAGGGAGUUUGAUUGGGCACCAAGUCACGGUAUAUUAAUAAUAAUCAGAAAGGUGAGGCAACUACUGCUAUGAGCAAAUCAAAAGGACAUGUCUCAUUAUAGAACUUGAGAACGUCGGAAAUUUUAAUAUUUGUUCCACAACAUGGAAAACACCAACUUCUUUUUUCUGUCGUAUACUUGACCAGAAAACUAGCAAAUAAUGCUUUUACAGUAAGUUUGGUACGGAUCCAACACAAAUUAUAUAAAAUGCGGUGACUCUGGUAGUAAUUCUCUAUAAGCAGAUGCAAUAAUCACAACCUUUAAAUUGUGUUUGUAAUGUGGUUUUUAUUAUGUUAGAUGAAUUUACAAUCUAAAUCCAAUUGAUAAAAAUAGAUUGCCUCGUCUUUUUAAAAAUAUAUUCUAACUUUUGAUGUGGAACAUUAUCUAUAAUUCACUAUUUUGAGACAAUGGCUUAUUAGCUAUUAAUUUCAAAUUUUUUUUGGCAAAGAUUGAUGAAACCAACUUUGGAUCGAAUUAAUUAUGGAUUAUUUUUUUGAUACCAUAUUAGUUUCAAUCUAAAAAAAAACUAAAAUUAAUCGGUGAUAAAUAAAUCAGCCAACUUUUUACAUAUUAUUUAAAAUCCAUAUGAACUCGAACAUCUGAUGUAGGAUAUUAUACCUAAUAAUUUUAUCAAUGAAAUUGUGCAUUCUAAAUAGAGAUUUGUAAGUUUGUUUUGUUUUGUCUACCAAAACUAAUUAAGAAUCAAGAAGUAAUUUAUGUCUUAAUAAUUGUUUUAUGACGUGUCAAUUACAAUUUUGUGUCUCCUCUCCUUUCAUCUCUGACCCACAAAUAAACAAAAAACAGCUUAUCCGUCUCCUUGUCUGCAUGAUGAUGCAAUUUUUCAGACAAUUUUCAUCCAAAUUUCUCAUCCAAAUUCUUUCGUAACUUUUUUUGUUUUUUUUUUCCUUCUCCAGUAGUCAUACAAAGACAAUUUGUUCUCCCUUCUGCAAAAAAAAAAACAACAACUGAUUCUUGGAGUUUUUAGUUUUCUUUUUUUUCAAGAAAAUUAGAAUUUUUCGAAGGAGGCUUUGAUGGAUUUGCAUUUGCAUAUUCGACCCUUGUUUACGGUAUUCUCGAUAAAUCCUUUUAAGAAAACUUUUCUUUGGUGCAAUUUUGUUUUGUUUGACAAAUGCAAUGGCUCUUCAGGGGAUGUCGUGAAAAAUCUUUCAGACAAAAACCUGUUUGAAUGUCUCUCUCGUGUUCUCAUUGUCUCGGCUCUAGUUCGAAAAUGUCUGUCGGUCAAGAAAAUGUCUAUCCUGUCGAAGUUCCUGGUAACCUAUUAAUAAUGUCAAUAUCCAUUUUACAAGGCUUCUCUAUGAAUACCGUUUUUAAAAUGUUGACUUUGUGUUUUAGGGUCGCGUGCUUGCUUAUAUGACCUUUUAUGUUCUGACACACCAAGAUGGACUCUUCAAAUGGAUUUGCAGACAUCUUCUUCUUCUGGUAAUACCUAAAACACGACUUCCUGCAAUGCAGCUUUCUCUACAUAUUAUGCUAGUUGUUGGGGGUUUUUCUACUCUAUUUCCACCUCUACUCCUAUCAAUUAGUAUAUGAUAUUGUCUACUUGGGCCCUGCUAGUGUUUGUUGGAGACCACCUCAUGUCCUGUUUGACAUUUUCAGAUCCUCGAGAUCGGUUGGAGAAGUUGCUGAAGCAACCUGGUAAUAAAUAUUGUGCUGACUGUGGAUCUCCCAAACCGAAAUGGGUGUAAGUUGAUUGGUUUAUGUGUGUGUGUGCACUUGUACAGUUCUUCUAUUGAUGGAUUGAUUCAUUUUAGUGAUGUUGUGUAGAUCUUUAAACCUCGGCGUAUUCAUCUGCAUAAAGUGUUCUGGUGUACACAGAAGCCUUGGAGUUCAUAUAUCAAAGGUCUUACUUUGCUUCUCUCUGCCUUUUUUUGUAUCUUUAAAGCCUUUUCAUCAAUUUUUAUUGGCCAUUAAUCACAGGUUUUAUCAGUUAAGCUAGAUGAGUGGACAGAUGAUCAAGUUGAUAUGCUCGUAGGGUGCGGUGGAAACACUGUAGUGAACCAAAGAUUCGAAGCUUGCAACAUCGACCAGUUAAAGAAACCUAAACCUGAUUCCAAUAAUGAGGAACGCAGUGAUUUCAUCAGGUGACAUAUUUUACUCACACUUUGAUAUAGUGUCAUGUACGUAUAUAGUCAUCUCAUUGUUUAUUAUCCUGAAUCUGCAGGAAGAAAUAUGAGCUGCACCAGUUUAUGGAUCCAAAUGAUAGUGAUUUGUGCUCUCAUCAGCAGCCUAGCCAAGUAAAUAAUCCACCAGCGUCUUUAUGUUCUUCUAGCCACCGUUCUGCGAAAAACCGUAUUGGUCAUGCUCUUAGGAAUAGCUGGGGAAGAAGAGAAUCUGAUCACAAAGGCACAAAGAAGAGCAACUCUCUGGUAAACAACCAGUAUACAUACAUGCCAUACCUAUUUAAUGUAAUGAAUGUUGCUAAUGCUAGUUAUUGUGGAUGUGUUUUAUAGGCAGGUAUGGUCGAGUUUGUCGGAUUGAUUAAGGUUAAUGUGGUUAAAGGAACAAACCUUGCGGUUCGAGAUGUGAUGACCAGUGAUCCUUAUGUCAUCCUUUCUCUUGGCCAACAAGUAAGCUCUCUGGAAAAAUGAUCUUUAGAACUAAACUAUUUAUGGAAACUAAACAGGGUCUGUUUCUUGAUGUUGGUGAAGUCGGUAAAAACAAGGGUGAUAAAGAACAACUUGAAUCCUGUGUGGAAUGAGACGUUGAUGCUUUCGAUACCUGAGCAGGUGCCUCCUCUCAAAGUGGUAAGUGCAUAUAUGUUUUUGACUUAUAGGUUCAAGAAUAAUAACAGUUACAUAGUUGAAUUUCCUACAAGAAAUGAGAGAAUGAUCGAACAAAGAAGGAAGAUGUGGAAAAAGAUAUGCUACUAGGUUGAAGAAUAAUGUUUUUGACUGUGUGUACUGAACUCAUUAAUUUUUUUAAGAUUAAUAUACAUAGGUUUUGUUAUAUUUAAAAAAAAAAAAUUGAUCUUAAAAUGUUUAUGGCUUUUAAAGUCCAGGGUCAGCCCUUAUACCGAGCUAUACCAAACUCUUAAACAUGUCAUUUUUUUUGCAGCUAGUGUACGACAAGGACAAGUUCACGACGGAUGAUUUCAUGGGAGAGGCAGAGAUAGACAUAGAACCAUUGGUGAGUGCAGCAAUAGAGUACGAGACAUCAACCAUAAGAGAAACGAGGCGGCUGGGGAGUUGGCUGGCGUGCAAAGAGGAUACAUCGGUGAGUGAUGGAAUAGUCUCACAUGAAGAAGUGAAAGUGAAACAAGACAUUUCACUAAGGCUUCAAAAAGUGGAGAGAGGUGUUCUUGAGAUCCAGAUUGAAUGUCUUCCACUAACUCAAUGAUAAACACUUUCGUUUUCUCCCUCGUUUUCUUGUUGUUGUUUAUAUUGAUAGUGAAGAGAUGCUACUUUUUUCUUGAGAUACCUCAAAACCUAUGUACAAAAACGCAUAAUUUGAUUGAUGAUUGACAAUUCUUUCAGAACCAAUCCUAGUUUCUACCAAAUAAUAUGAAAACAAGCAAUAGCUUCAACGUGUUUUCCUUUAAUAAAUGUAAUGUGUUUUUGAUGUUUCAAGGCUUCAGGCUUCAAGCUACCAGGAUUACCUGACUCUAUUGAUUUUUAAUCAAAACCAUAAAAGAAUUAAUCUCGCUUAUGUGUUUACAUCACUAACGAUUUAUUACUACUUUUUUCAAACGUGUUAUUUUUGUUUCAAACGUGUUAUUAAACAAAACCAACUAAUGAAGAAAAUAGUAAAUAAUGUAUUUCUAGCAACCUAAACAUAAUUUGUGAACUUAUAAGUAAAAUGAUAGCAUAAUAUUUACCUAGUAGUAUAUAUAAUUUUUUUUUGUCAUCAGUAGUAUAUAAUUUAAAUAAUGUAUUUUCUAACAACCUAAACAUAAUUUAUGUACUUAUAAAUAAAUGACAACAUAAUAUUUAACUAUAGUAUAUAUAAUUUUUAUUAUUGUUUUAGUUUUAUUAUUUGAAAAGAGAGAAAGGAUUCAUGAGGUCAAACCUCUUAAAAAAAACUUAUAACCAUUAUCUCCUUUUUAGAUAAAAGAAAAAAAAAAGAAUAAUAAAUGACGUCAGCAUUGACAAGGUAAGCACGUCGAGUCCCUCCAGAUGUCUGGUUCGGUAAUAGCUUCAGGAAUGAAACGCGGACCUCCAAUAAACAAACAAUGGCCAUUACCAAACUCUUCAUUCUCUCACACCAAUCAAAACAUCUCAUUUUCUCCUCUCUCUCUAUCUUCUUAGCUUUACUACCUUCUUUUUUUUCCUACCAAGAUCCUCCCAUGGAGGAACGAAUGAGAACAACAUUGAUUCCAAGACGAAGACAUAUCUGAAAAAGUAAACACACAAAACCAAACCAAUACAAACACAAAACAGACAAAAAGAGUUAACCAAAAAAUGUCGGUAGCACACGCAGAUGACGCCGACGAUUACAGCCGACCAACGGGAGAAACCUACCACGCGGAGAAAGCGUUACCGAGCGGAGACUUCUACACGGGCCAAUGGAGAGACAGCCUCCCUCACGGACACGGCAAAUAUCUCUGGACCGACGGUUGUAUGUACGUCGGAGAAUGGCACCGCGGCAAAACCAUGGGGAAAGGCCGUUUCAGCUGGCCUAGCGGCGCGACCUACGAGGGCGAUUUCAAGAACGGCUACAUGGACGGCAAAGGCACUUACAUCGACUCGUCCGGAGACUUGUACAGAGGAUCGUGGGUGAUGAACCUACGACACGGCCAAGGCACCAAAAGCUAUGUCAACGGAGACUGCUACGACGGAGAGUGGAGGAGAGGCUUGCAAGACGGGCACGGGAGGUACCAGUGGAAGAACGAGAAUCAUUACAUCGGCCAGUGGAAGAACGGGACGAUGAACGGUAACGGGACGAUGAUAUGGAGCAACGGGAACCGUUACGACGGGUCUUGGGAAGACUCUGCUCCUAAAGGAAACGGUACGUUCCGCUGGUCGGACGGGAGUUUCUACGUCGGGGUUUGGAGUAAAGAUCCUGAAGAACAGAACGGGACUUAUUACCCGACCACAGCUUCAGGGAACUUCGAGUGGCAACCGCAGCAAGUGUUCUGCGUUGAUUUGAGCGAGUGUGUGGUUUGUACUUGUCAGAGAAUCCCGGUUUUGCCGUCCCAGAAGAUGCCGGUUUGGUACGGUUCGUCCGAGAGUAGUAGCGGGAACAAGACUAAGAGUAGUGGCAGCAGCGAGAGGCCGAGGAGGAGAUCUGUUGACGGAAGGGUUAGUAAUGGUGAGAUGGAGUUGAGGAACAAUGGUUCUGGUUAUCUUCAGGUAGAUGAUACGGAGAGUAAUAGAUCAUCACCGUUAAGGCCUUUGAGAAUACAGCCUGCUAAGAAACAAGGUCAAACUAUCUCUAAAGGACAUAAGAACUAUGACCUCAUGCUUAACUUGCAGCUUGGGAUUAGGUAAGUGUGUUUGUGAUUGAAACUGCUUGUGUGUGUUUUUUCUUUGAUGUUUUUGAUUCAUUGUUGUGUUUUUUUUUGUAAGACAUUCUGUUGGAAGACCAGCUCCGGCUACUUCUCUUGAUUUGAAGGCUUCGGCGUUUGAUCCAAAGGAAAAACUUUGGACUAAGUUUCCAUCUGAGGGAUCUAAGUACACUCCUCCACACCAGUCUGUUGAGUUCAAAUGGAAGGACUAUUGUCCUGUGGUUUUCAGGUUAGAAUAUGCUCUCUUUUUUUUCAUCAACUACCCAAAGCCGAUUCUCCGAAGAGCACUUCUGUCUGUCUUCUUUUGAUUUUUUUCUCUUGUGUUGGUACUUAAGAAAACUUAUGAAAUUUCUAUAUAGGACUCUGCGGAAAUUGUUUAAUGUGGAUGCAGCAGACUAUAUGUUAUCGAUAUGUGGCAAUGAUGCUCUUAGGGAGCUAUCAUCUCCAGGGAAGAGUGGAAGUUUUUUCUACUUGACCAAUGAUGAUGGCUACAUGAUCAAGACCAUGAAGAAGGCAGAAACAAAGGUAAGUAUCAGAGUAAAGUUAAAAGCUGUUUAUCAAGAAACAUUCAUUUGUGUUUACUUGAAACAGGUUCUUAUAAGGAUGCUUCCAGCUUACUACAAUCAUGUAAGGGCAUGUGAAAACACUCUAGUUACCAAGUUCUUUGGUCUUCACUGCGUGAAAUUGACUGGCACUGCACAGAAGAAGGUCAACUACCAUUUUUGUAAUUCAUCUAUGUGUGUUCUUGUUAUUAGCAUUUUCAGUUUUGGAUGUAGUGAUGGAAGAAUACUUGCGCAUGCAGGUUAGGUUUGUGAUAAUGGGGAAUCUCUUCUGUACUGGUCACUCCAUACAUAGGCGGUUCGACCUCAAAGGAUCAUCUCAUGGCCGUCUUACCACUAAACCAGAGUCUGAAAUAGAUCCAAACACAACGCUCAAAGAUCUUGAUCUAAAUUUCAUAUUCCGUUUGCAGAAGAACUGGUUUCAAGAAUUCUGCAGGUGAUUUGAUUCAUUACAUGUAAUAACACUCUUGCUUCUUCUUUCAUUAGUCACCUAAUUUCUAGCAUUUUUGUUGAUAGGCAAGUGGACAAAGACUGUGAGUUCCUUGAACAAGAGAGGAUCAUGGACUAUAGUCUCUUGGUUGGUCUUCACUUUCGGGAAGCAUCCAAGGACUCUGCCACUCCUACUUCCGGUGCUAGAACCCCUACCGGUAAAAUUCUAUCUCAACUUUCAAAUUUUCGACCAUCUCUAAUCCAUCUCUAUAUAUAAACUGUUUUUGAGGUUGGUUUUGCUCAAAUUAAUAUCUCUAUACAGAAAAUGUUAUUUUUGAAGGGUAAAAAUAACGAAAAUAUAAUAAAUGUUAGUUUAUCUCUAUAUUUAGAGGAAUAAAUAACAUUCUUUUGUUGAUAAAAAAAAAAGAUAAUAACAUUCUUUUAUAGUUUCUCUGAAUAGUAUAGUAACUCUGUUAUACAACAUACAUUAGAGCAAAACCAAAUUCUAUAAUAAAAUUUUAUCUUAGAGAAAGAAUAUAAAAGUGGAUAGAAAAUGCUCUAAAGCUUAUUUGUUUAAGGCAAUUUUCUCUUGUUUGAGCAGGAAACCCUGAUAGUGGAAACCCUCGUCUCUCCCGAGCAGACAUGGACCGAUUUCUUCUUGAUGCCAGCAAGUAAAAACCACAAACUUAAUGGUUAUACCCACAGUUUAAGGGAAACUGCAAAUGGUGUUUUAUUAAACAAGGGUGGUUUCUUGGAUGAUUCUUUUUCAGGUUAGCAUCAAUAAAACUGGGUAUAAACAUGCCUGCAAGAGUUGAAAGGACAAUGAGAAGAAGUGACUGUGAGAAUCAGCUUGUUGGGGAACCAACUGGCGAAUUUUACGAUGUGAUUCUCUACUUUGGUGUUAUAGACAUUCUACAAGACUAUGAUAUAAGCAAAAAGCUUGAACAUGCAUACAAAUCAAUGCAGUAUGAUCCAACUUCGAUCUCAGCUGUUGAUCCAAAGCAAUAUUCUCGACGUUUCAAGGAUUUUAUCUUCAAGAUCUUCGCAGAGGACACUUGAGACCAAGCCAUCUAAUUAACUUGCACAUGCCCAACGCCCAACAAAGUUGAGGUUUUCUUUUUGUUAGAAAUUCUUGUUUAUUUUUCUUAAUAGAAAUAUCUGUAAAUUUUAUUAUUUAACCAAAAUCCAUUGUAAUAGGGGAAAAUGAUUCUUUUUGUAACUAAAUUAAGUUCAAUACUCUGCCUUUUUUUUUUCUUUUUGAUACUCUUUGUAUUGUGUUUCUUUAUACGUGAAAGAAAGGAUGUGUACAGAUGUUGACACGUAUUUCUUAUUAACUUAUCCCAUCCAAGUUUACAAUUCAUUUUUAUAGAAAAUGUUUCUAUUUUUUUCAGAUUAUUAUUUUUAAUUAGACGUGGUUAUUUAUGGUUUUCAAAUUGAUUUUUAAUAGUGAGAACAAGUUGACUAUAUGAGGUUUCUGAUCAGAGUCGUGCCUAAGGCAUACAAAAUGAGGCAAUUGCCUUAGGCCCCCUCCAAAACUGUUAAAUUUAGGGCCCCUUUUUUCCCUAGUACUUAGUUUAAUUAUUUAUAUUAAUUUCAUUUAAUUUUAUAAUUUAGUUAAUUGUUAUAUCACAUGGUAGUUUGUACAUUGAAUUAGGAUUCUUGAAUUUGCAACGGUAAUAUUAUCUAUUUAUACUAUGAAUUAAAGAUAUAAAUUUAUAAAUAGAUAUAUAGUUUUAUUUUUCAUGGUUGUAAAUAAAUAUAAAUGUCUACUAUAUUAUAAAUAUCUUAUUUUUAUUUUCAAUAUAUAUAUAUUAUAUUCUAUAAUUAUAAAAUUCUAAAUUUUUGGUACAAAUAUAAAAGCUUGUAUAAUUUUAUUUUAUUAAUAAUUUUUGUAAAAAAAUUUAAACCUAGAUAAAAUUAUAUUAUUUGUCUCGGACCCACAGGGUCCUUCGCACGGCACUGUUUCUGAUGAUGCACACACUCGACAGACCAACCUCAAAGUCACUGCUAAUGGUUUUCAAUUUUUCAAAGUAAUUAGUUUACAUAUGAUUUUAUACGUUUUGUUUAUUUAUUUCUUUAUUUACAUAGGACUUUACAAUUGUAUGUCAGUAUGAAACAAUCACGUCAGGAAAUAAGUUAAAAACAUCUGUUUAAUAGGUUGGUCCUAAGUUUGAGUCCUUGUAGAAACUAAGUUAUUACGAUUUAACUAGAUGAAGAAAGAGUCAUGUCUUAAGGCUUCAGUCAAAUAAUAAUAAAAAGAGUCAUGUUUUAGCCAUUGUUAAAAAACACUAAGAGGUUGAUUGUUUGUAGUUUUUAAAAUGGUUUUUGGUUUUGAAAAACUAUUUUAUUUGCCAAUGAAGAUUUUGCUAAAAAUGAUUUAUUUAAAACUUGAAAAUUAUUUUUUCAAAUAACUACUUAAUUUCACACAAAAACCAAAAUCUGUGUUUUUUUAGAUUUCUGGCAGUUUCCUACGAUGAUUUUUUUAUGAGUAUUUAGGUCCCAUAUACCUACAAAAAACCAUAAUUAAGAAAAUACCCUUUCACUAUAUUUGACACUGUUGAUAAUAGGAUAAUCCAAUUAUACCCUUUACUCAUGUUCUCCUUUCUCUCUCUCAUAUUUCUGGAAAUUUCUACACUAUUUUUUCUUUCUUUUCUAAUAACUUCAUCUAUAUUUCUUUAACCGUAAACAAGAUUUAAUCUAUUGUUUCUCCUUGUCUCUUCUCCUCCACCAUUUUCAUCGUGUCCUACACCUCAAAAAAAAAUAUGAAAAGAAGUUUCCCCUUUACAUGACGAGUGCCAAUGUUUCACCACUGUGAGAUAGAUUGAAAGCGAUACCAUGGCAUGUGAUAGAGAGAUAUCUUUGGUUCACGAGUUGGUAAAAGAACUAAACAUAUUAAUCAAGCAUAAAGUUAGAGAAAGAGUGGGUUCUUUCCAAGAUAAAACCCUGAAUCUCACAUAUUUCAAUUAUGAGUAAUUGUAGUGACUAUGUAACAAAUUAGGUUGUGUUAACUGAUAAAUAUAUGGUUAGUUGCUACAUAUUAGGUAUUAUGUGAUGAUACAUGUUUUCUUAUAUUGUUAUCAAACUGUGGGCAACGAUAACUGAUAAAUGAUUAGUUGGAUGUUACAAAGUUAGUUGAUACAUGUUUGAUUAGAUGUUACAAAGAAUAUUGUCACUUUAAAAAAUGGCUGGUAAUUUUUUCAAAAAAAAUAUUAACUGAUACAUUAUAUGUUAAAUACUACAAAAUAAGUUAACGGGAUAAACUAAUAAUUUACGUCUAAUAUUAUAUUUACAUGAUAAAUAACAUAUUAGAUUGAUAUAAAUAUUUUCUAUUAUGUAUGCUAUUGAUUCGUUUAUGUUUUACAUGUAAAUAUAACCUCUAACAAAAGAUGUAUCAGUUGAUAUAUUUUAUAGAAGCAUACCUUUGGAUUGAAAAGCUAUCAACUAACAAUUUAUAUAAUACUUUAGGAUAAAGUUUAGUGUUUAACAUUUUUAUUAACGUACGGCCAACCUGUACUUCUCUUUCCUCAGGAUCAUCAUCUUUGAAACUAGUAGCAGAUUGUCAAUUCCCCAGGGUCUUGUAAUACAUCGAAAUCCAUAAGCCAUCCAUUGAUUUUCAAUUUCCAAAAUCAUAAUGGAGAGACACAUGAUGCACCCAACGUACAUGGAAUUACUGUGAUAGUGGUGAUCAUGAAUUGACAAGAAAGAACACUUUUAUAUGAUUGGUAACAAAAACGAAAUAGAAGAUUCAAAAAAGAGAUUGAAUUUGAAAAGAAGCCAUUAAUGUUGGUGAAAGAAGAGAAAAGAGAUCGUAUGGGGAAGAAGAUGAAAGUUUACCUUUCUUACUCUAAUGUGUUUUAUCAGAAAGGGUAGAAUAGUCAGUUCAUGUCAGGUUUGCUACAGAGAAUGUGAGUUUACAGCUUUAAGGGUAGUUUGCUAAUUUUGAACCAAAUUAGGUAUAUAGAGCAAAUUGACUCUUUUUUUAUUAUGUUUUCUUAUUUAUCAUUUUAAUUUUAAUGGUCUUUUUAUGCCUGAUCUUUCUUUUCAUUAUUUGUCUCAUUUUUAUGCCUCAUUGCCACUCUCAUACGUUCACUUCACCAUCACAUCAUCAAUACAUUUUUUGUACUUUAUCUACUAAUAAUAGCAAUCCUGAUUAAUUCCAAAGAUUGUGAACUUCAUUUAUGUCGAAAGGUUAUGUGUUUUCAACAAUUAAAAGUUGUGUCCUUUUAUAUUGAAAAGUUGUGACUCUUCAUUUAAGUAUUAUUUCAAAAAUAUAAUUUUUAAAUUGAAAAGAUGUGACUAUUCAAAUAGAUUUACAAAAUCUAUAAAUAGUUGUGUCCAUACACUUUUCAAAGUAAAAUUUUCACUAAUCUAACUAAUUAUAAAAUUGAAAUAUUGUUUAUUUAAGAUUUCUCUUGCCAGCGUAUUCCCGUUGUUCUCGUGGUACAUCGGCUUUUUCUUUCCGGCAAGAUUAACCGGAAAUGCAUAAUUUAUUGGAGAACAAUACCAAAGUUUGUAGCACCACGGCCAGGGGACAAGGCAAAAGUGAUCAGAAACCAAACUCUAACAAUACAGGCUACACAACUCUCGUUCUUUGCAAAAUUGCAGAAAUGUUUGAAGGAAUCAUUGUUUCUCUUAACGUUUGGAGUUUAGUGAAUCUCAAUCAGAGUUAUCUUGUGUAUGUUUUGAAAUUGUUUGAGGAAUGCCUCAAAGGAUAUAUUAAACUGAGUGCUCUUCGAAACAAUGCAAUCUUCUAUAUAAAUAUUUAUGUUGUUUUUAAUACGCGUUUUUUUUAAAUAGCUGAUCUAGAUAGAAUUGGAAUUCAUUAUUGAAAUUGUCUAUCUAUAUAGGACACUGAAAAGUUAUGAUGGUUCGGUGGUGUCCCCCUUUUUUCUUUUGUUUUUGGUAAAUUUAUUUCUGAAGGUAUAGUCACACCUCCUCAAUUUUUUUUGGACAAACACCAUUUCACAUAUUGUUGGCUAUUAAUGGUAUUAUACGUAUUUACAUAAACAUAAGUAACAAUAGUCACAAUUUACCUUUUAGUAUAAAAGUUCCAAAGAUACGUUGUUUUCUUACACGUCUGGUGAGACAGGCCUGUUUUACGAUUCUGGUUGUUGCAUCUGAUCAUUUUUUUUAAUAUGCUGGAGUUGUUCAACUAUUAAAUAUAAUAUUAUCAGCGACUGAUAGAAUAUUUUGCGUCGAUUGAUUUUCAUUAGAGAGACCAAACAAGAUGGUCAUACCUUUAUGGGAUACUUUUGUGGAAAUGUCUCGAAGGAAAAUUGGUAAUGAUGUUUUUGAGGGGAAGAUGGUGUGGACUUUGAUCUAUGGUAUAUACACAUACAUGCAAAUUUGUAUUAAAAUGAAGUUAUAAAACACAAUAUAUAUAUAUAUACAUUUGAAGAGACACAAGUAAUAGAUGCAACUUUUCAUCUCAAAAACUAAUAAAUGCAACUUUUCAUAUAAAAUUUAAAAGAUGCAACUUUUCAUAUUAAUACACUAAUUUAAAAAAAUAAGAAUUAUAAAUAUUUAGGGAAACUGUUAAUAAAUGGAUAUGAGCACACUAAAAACAAAAGGUACAAAUUUUCAUCUUAAAAAUUUAUAGAUGCAGUUUUUCAUGAUACAACUUUUUCAUUUAAACACUGAUUUUAGAUAUAUAAGAAUUAAAAAUAUUUAUGUGAAGUAUUAAUGAAUAUAUAUAAACAAGUAAAAUGAAAAGACACAUAUGAAAUGAUACAAUACAUGUGAAAGAUUGUGUCUUUCCAUUAUAAAAACUGAAACUAUUCAAACAAAUGCAACUUUUAGGAAGAAACAAAACAACCUUUUACUUAUGUUGAAAAAUUGUGUUUUUCAAUUAGGUAACUACUGAAAAACAAAUAAUGAUAAAAUGUUGUGUCUUUUCGACCAUGUAACUAUUGAAAAUGUUUUAGAAAAAAAUAUCAAGAUAUGUCUUUUAUUUUAAAAAUAUAUUUGAAAUCUCAAAUAAUGUGAAAUUUGUGGUUUUUUCAAUAUGUAACUAUUUCAAAUGGUUGUGAAAAAAAAUUAGAUGUGUUUUUGAUCUUAUGAACGAUUUUAAUAAGGGUAUUUUUUUUUGUAAUGAUGUGUCUCUUCAAAAAAAUAUUGUAGAGAUAUCAUUAAAAAAACUACCUAAAAUCUGAAAAUUUGUGACUAUUCAUAUAUAGCUUUGAAAAACUAUAAAUAGUCCAUGUUCAUGAGUUUUUUUAUUGUAAUUUUUUUCACCAUAAAUUAAAAUGUGUUUUUGAUCUUAUGGAUGUUUUUAAUUAUAAUAUUUUUUUGUAAUGAUGUCUCUUCAAAAAAUAUUGUAGAGAUACCAUUUUAAAUGUGACUAUUCAUACAUAGCUUUUGAAUAACUAUAAAUAGUCAGUGUUUUUGAGUGUCUUAUUGUAAAUAUCUCACAAUUAAUUAAAAUGUGUUUUUGAUCAUAUGAAUUUUUUUAAUAAGGUAUUUUUUUUGUAAUGAUGUGUCUCUUCAAAAAAUAUUUUAGAGAUACCAUUUUAAAAUAACUACUCAUAAUCUGAAAAGUUGUGACUAUGUAUAUAUAGCUUUGAAAAUCUAUAAAUAGUCCAUGUCCAUGAAUUUUGUACUGUAAAUCUUUCACAAAUUAUUAAAAUGGUGAAGAAAAAAAGUUUUGUGUAGUUACCUGGUUCUAAAUAUUUAGAAGAUUAAUUGACAAAAAAAAUUUAGAAGAUAUUCAAAUGAAAGUUGUUAAUAAAUAAUUGUAAGAAGAGUCAUUCAUGUUUGGCUAGCAACAAAUCUUAAACGAAAUAAUGAAUUUACUGGUCUAAAUUUUCUUCUACUAGAUGAAAGUUGUUUUUUAAGGUAUGCUUUUCUUUCUUAUAAACUUUUCAUUUGUGAUCAUGUCACAAAAUCCUGUAAAUUUUGGUAACAUAAUAUCCUUUUUACGAGAUUGAGAUUAGAACAUGAUAGUUUAAUAAAUUUGAGGAAGCGUAAGUGGAUAAGCAUGUCUGCCUGAAUGAAUGCAUGCUGUUUAAUGCGGUCAAACGUUUAAUUAGUGUUUGUUAGUUUAGUGAUCAAGAAGAAAAUUAAAAACACGGGACAUUAUUUGUGUGAUGAAAGGUCACACCGGUUCAUGUGAAUGUGUGCAUCCAAUGAACGUAACAUGCGCAUAAGCGUUUGUGUGUAUUUAUGUUUGUUUUUGGUAAUAGUUGAAAGAUUAUUAGAUUAAUUUAUAAAAAAGGUCAUAACUUGAAAUAGUGAAAGGUGGCAAACAAAAGAAUGGUCAUAUAAUUAAUUUUUAAAAUUACUAAUUAUGAGUGUUCCUUAUAGUUUUUGGAACUCAUUUAGUUACAUAUUAUUUUAUUAGUUUAAAUAUAUAAUAGGUGUAUAAUUUAUUGCUUCUGCUGUAUUUUAAUAAUAUAUCAAAUUUGUGUUAUGAAAUAUUAUUACUACAAAAUAUGUUAUGAAAUAUUAACAUCUUAUUAGCAUAAAUUUAUCUAUUAAUCUUUAAUGUUUAUAUAGUAGUCACCAAAGUGAUCAUAUUUACAUAUAAUUCCUAAAAAUUAAUAAUAGUAUGAUUGAUCAUGAUUAAAGAAAUGUUAAAAAUAAUAUUUGUAAAUGUAUAAAUUACAAUGAAAAAUCUACAAGUUUGUAGAAAAAUAGAUCACAAUCAAAAUCUGGGGGAUAAAAUACAGUAACAUUUAUAAUAUAGAUUUCUAUGGUUUGUGGAUCACAUGUUUUUUUUCAUUUAAUAUUUUUUUAUUGAUAUGGUUUGUGGUUAUUUAUCAUUUUACUUAUAUUAUCUAUACUAUUAAAGCAGAAUCCUUCUUAGGAUUAUGCCCCUGAUUUUUCCAAUUAAUUACAAAAAUUUCCAUUACUUUUUUCAAUUGUUUUUAAUGGUUUUCAGAAACUAAAAACCCAACAUUGCUUCUGUCCAACUAAACAAAACAGCCCAAUAAUUUAAAAACUUAAAGUCAAAGAAGCCCAACAGUGUUUUCUCUUAAAAACAAUUAUAAGUCAAUUUAAAUACAUAAUUGUUAUUUAAUAAUUGUGUAAUUAUAAUUUAAAAUUUAUGCAUUAUUUAAAAAUAUGUAGAAUGAAAAAAGUAAUGUCUCUUACAUUUUUCAUAUAAUAUUUAACUAAUAAGUUAAAUUUAUAAAUAAAUAACCUUAGCAAAUAUAUAAUCACAAUAUGAUUAAAUUUAUUGAGUAGAAGUUUACCAUUUUAAAAUCUUUUAACUAAUUAAUUAGUACACAAAUUUAUUAUUAUAUAAUAAAAAAAUAAAGAAGACAAGAUUAUAUAAAAUUACUAUAAACAAAUAUAAAAUCUAUUAAAAUAUAAAUUAGAUAAAUAUUUAUUAAUUUAAAUAAAAUUUUAAAAAGAAAGCGCGGAUCAAAAUCUAGUACACUUUUAAAAUUCAUGAAAAAAUAAAAAGAUAUGUAAUUUUCUCCUUAUUUUAGUAUACUUUAAUGACAAAUGAAUUUCUUUGAUAGCAAAAUAAGAUGCUUUAUAUAAAAUUAAAUUCUACAAAGUGGCAUAUGCUUUUUAAUAAAAUUAAUUCACGAUAAUAGCUUAAAUGCAGAGAUACUUAAAUGCGUGUGCAUUUCCUAAUUGGUACUGACAUAUUUGUAAUUUUAUUAUAAAUAGCCUAUAAAAAUCUCUAAAAAUGCAUGUAUGAUGAAUUUGUAACACAUAUAUUUUUCCAAAAGCAAUUAUAUAAAAUGUGGCAUAUUGUUUUUUAUAAAAUGAGUUCUCGUGUGAUAUCGCACGAGUUUCUUACCUAGUUAAUAUAAAAGAAGUGAUUAUAUAUACAACUAGAGCAAUUGUUUUCGAGUUUUUCACCUCAGCACUCAAAAAAUAUUUUAUCAUACUUGUAAAUUAGAAGAAGUUCUCUUACUUGUAAACUAAAAGAAGUUCAAAAGGAAAUUUUAUUUUAAAAGUCACAAUUUUUAUUAAUUUCUAUAGAAAUUAUUUAUACAAAAAUAACCAUAGAAAUAUAUGUGUGAAAAUUAUUUUAGAAAAAAUCAUCCAAGGUAUGAUACUUUUUUUAAUGCUUAAUUACUUGUAUAAGUAGCAUUUGAGAUCAAAUAUAAAAGGCAUUCGAGACCAAAUUAAUAUAUAUAUAUAUAUAUUUUUUUUUUAUUUAUAUAUAUAUAUUUAUAUGGAAUUUACGAUAGUUUUAUUUUGUAUUAAUAUUUUGUUUUAAAUAAGUUUUGUAAAUAAAUUUAUGUGUAUUUUAAUGACAGAGUGAUGGCUCAAGGUCAAAAGAUGGGAGAGAGUGCAAAAAACAUUUAAAAUAUAAUUUUGACGCCGUUAAUCUUAAAAUCAACAAAUGCCUAAAAACAAAGUUAUUGAAAUUUCAUAUGUUUUACAUCAUAAACUCACUUCACCACUAACAAGUAGUAUUAUACAUACAACAACACAUUAUUAAAAAGACAAAUAUAUAAUAUAUUAACUUAUUGCCUACUACUACAUAACAUAAUAAAACAUCAAAUAAUGCUCUUCACAAAUAAAUACUGACCACAUAAUCACAUCAUCAGAAAAUCAUAUUAAGAACAAUAAAAUAAUAUUUCGCGCGAAGUGCGGACAACCUCUAGUAGAUUAUAAGAAGCACAUGGAGUUUUGAGACACUGGUUUCACUUUCUGAUUCCCGAGAGGCACCGUGGUUCGUAACUGGAGACUUUAACGAUCUUACUUGCAACUCGGAAAAAACAUGACGACUAGAGCGCUCAGAAGGAUAAACUAUAGUUUUGUUUGAUAGACAUUCAACUUUUAUACAUUAUAGUAGUUUUAUUUAAUAAAAAUCAAUAUCAUAUUUUACUAAUUAAUAAAUAUUUUUCUAUUUUUAAAUUAAAUAAAACUAAUCUCUAUUUGUAGAGAAUCUAAAAUAAUACAUUUUCGUAUAAGAAAUAAAAAUAAAUAAUUUAAUUUAUAAAUUAUUGGUUUUAAAUAAUUAGAAAGAUAUAAAAAUAUCCAAAAAUGACAUGUGGCGUCAGUGGUCUCCAUUUUUUCUUAUUAAGCAUGUUGAAUAAUUUCAACAUCAAAUAAUCCAUAUCAUCAAAUUUCAUUUUUUUUUAACAAGUUCAUAGUUAUCCAACUGUUAAAUAUUUUAUUGAGCAUCUCCAUUGUGGAUAGAUUUUUGAAAAUAGCUUCUACUCAAUUUUGAUCCAACAUCCCCAUUGAUUAGCAUCUAAUCAGCGGUUAAAUCUUUGCCAAAGUCAAUAGUCUUUAUUUUCCUUUUCUUUUGGAUCAGACCAAAGUCAGUAGUCUUUAGUCUUUACUUUCUUUGUUUAGAGCAGCUCCAUAUUUGGCAUGAGAUUCUCAAAAGUGAUUAGAUGCUAAUUUAAUGUUUAAAUAAUAAAUGGAGUUUUUAAAUUUUAAAUAUUUGUUCAAUAGUUUUUCAUUUGAUAAUUUAUUGGAUAUGUAUAGUAAAAAAUCUAUAAAUUAAUAAUGUUGAGAUUUUGAAAAUUAUUAAUUUAUAGAGUUAUUAAUUUAUAAUAAGAUUCCUUUUUAGAUUUCUAUAUUUUAGAAUAGAAUUUUUGUAAAAUAAAAAAAUAGUUGGUUUCAUUGUUUAUAUAUUCAUUAAAUUUGAAAAUUUUAACUUUCAUAUUUCUUUAUUAUAUUAUUUGAUGUAUAUAAGAUAUGUAUCAUAUAGUUUUAAUGUGUUUUAGAUAAAAUUUUAUUAAGAACAAUCAAAGUGUUAUGAAAUCUCAAGAAAAAAAAAGUAGAAAUGGACUAUAUUGUGAAUAUAAAACAAACAAUACAAUGUAUUACUUUUACUUAUAUAAAUUAUAUAUAUAAAAAUUAUUAAUUUUGAUUUUUAGUGAGACUAUAUAUUUGCAUGGAGUUUUCUAAAUUAUUAUUAUUUUAUUAUAUCUUAUAGAUUUUUGUCAUAUUUUAAACCGGUCCAACUUGAGACGACUAGAGUUUAUUAAUUUAUGGAGUAUUGUAUCUAAAAUUUUGAGAAUUUCAUCAUUCACUUUAACAUUAAUUAGUAAUCUAAUCAACUUUUGAAAACUUCAUAUUCCAUUUUCAGAUUUUUAUUUAUAUAUUUACUCAUAUAAAACCUUUAAAUUAUUUUCUUUCGUUACUUUUAUGAAAAUGUUAAUAUAUUAAAUAAACGUCAUCGUACUAAAAUUUUGGAAACGAUUUGAGUAAUAAACUUGAGGAAUUAUAACGAAUAUUUGAUGAUAAAAAUGAAUUAUAACGAAUAUUUUCUUCCAAAUCUGUUUCAGUCAGUACCUCUCUAUCUCUCCCAUCUCUAUAAAUAUAUAUAUAUGCAUUUUUGCAUUCUCUAUGACACCUCACUCAUUUCCUUCCUAAUCAUUCUCUCUACGUCAAACCCAAUCUUAAUCUAACUUUUGAGAGAUAAUCUACCAAAAAUGUAUCAAAAGACCAUAAUCUUCUUAACAAUACUCUUAACGUCUCUUCGCUCUUGCUCUAGCAGCUACCCGUUUGAUCCUAGAUUUGAACAUUCCAUAUCUCCCAAUGUUUAUUAUGAAACCAAUCACCAACACGGUCACAUUACACACAACAGGCACAUGAAAGAUCCCCAUGCCGCUCCUAGAUCUUCUCCUCGAGCUUUUAACGUCAACUCUUUCGGGGCUAAAGCCAAUGGAAACGACGAUUCUCAGGUAUCCCUGUAAAUUAUUUCUAUAGCAAUAUAUAAUCAAAAUCUUGUACAUUCAAUGUAAAUGAAAUAUUAUGUUUUGAGUCGUAGGCAUUCAUGAAAGCUUGGGAAGCAGCUUGUUCGUCAAAGGGAACAGUUUACAUCGUUGUUCCGGAAAAUAGAGCUUACACUCUUAAACCGGUUAAAUUCUCCGGUCCAUGUAUAUCAUCCAUGAUUGUUUUUAAGGUAUGAUAUAAACCAAUGCACGUAGGCUCAGUUUUUAUUGUAUAAUGUUUUGAUCAUCUUAUUCAUAUAUAACAUUUUUGACUUAGAUUUACGGUAAGAUUGAGGCAUGGAAAAACCCAUCAGACUACAGGGAACGUAGGUUCUGGAUUGUUUUCCAAACGGUUGAUAACCUUCGUGUUGAAGGCGGUGGACGCAUCGAUGGUAAUGGAAAAAUCUGGUGGCCAAAAUCUUGCAAGAUCAACCCUGAACUUGUAAGCUCUAAUUCUUAGUUCAAUGUCUUAAAAGACAUAAGUUGCAUAGAAACUGACUAAUGAAAUAUUAAUUACCAUUUAUUUUUGUUAAACAGCCAUGCCAGGAAGCUCCCACGGUGAGAACCUCAAACGCAUUACCUUUGUUUUCAGUAUUCAUUUCAGUUUCGAUUAAUGGUUGAUGUAAAUGGAAUAAAUGGGCAGGCGGUAACGUUUGUGGAAUGCAACAACUUGAUGGUAAGAAACAUUAGGUUGGAAAACGCACAGCAAAUGCAUAUGAGGGUUCAAAAAUGCGAAAACGUGAAGGCUUUGAAUCUUAUGGUCACGUCUCCGGGUCAUAGUCCUAACACCGAUGGCAUUCACGUUACCGGAACUCGCAAUAUCCUCAUUCAGGACUCUAUCAUCCGUACUGGUAAUCAACAAUCCUUUUUUAGAGAUUAUACUAAGAAAAUAAAUAAAUAAAUAUUCCACAAAAUAGGAGUGAGCUAGAAAUUUUCGUAUCAAACUUUUGUUUUUGUAAAUAAAUUUCAUAUCAAACUUUACAUUCGACUUUCUCUUUUUGAAUAUUUAUUUUUGAAAGGAAUUUUCUUUUUAUAAAUUCAGAUAGUAAAGGGGAAACAAGUGAGCUAUAUUAUUUGUUUAUUUCUUGUGGAUAAUAAAUAGUAAUGUGUUGGUUUGUUUUUGGUGAUGAAGGUGAUGACUGUAUAUCUAUAGUGAGUGGGUCGGAGAAUGUGAGAGCGACGGGCAUUACAUGCGGGCCGGGUCAUGGAAUCAGGUCAAACCAUCUCUCUCCCUAUUUUCACCUAAUGUUUUUGUUUUAAUCUUAUUUUAACUAUGAGCAACAUUCAAUUUGUCAACUAACUGUUUUUCUUUGUUGGAAAAAGAUCAACUAAUUUUUAUCAACUUGAAAUCAACAAUUUGUAUAUAAAAAGAGAUACUGCAAGUUAUUAAAAUAUACGAGUAAAGUUAGAUGCAAUGUUUUAAAAAUGGUCUUAGCCAUUCUAAAAUCAUCUCCAUUUGUCAGAUUCUUAAACAAAUAUCUAAACAAUAUAGUAUUCUAAUUUAAAUUUCAUUCUCGCUUUUACUUUGUUAACUACAUAAUAUCUCAAUAUUACUAUUUAUUUCUUUUAGCAUUGGGAGUUUGGGAGCUCAUAACUCAGAAGCAUAUGUUUCUAAUGUGGUAGUCAGCAAAGCAACUCUCAUAGGAACCACUAAUGGUGUGAGAAUUAAGACUUGGCAGGUAAAUCUCCAACACUAUUAAUUUAUCAAUAUUUUAUAUUAGUCAAAUUUAAUUUGAUGAUCCAAAAACAAUAUAACUAAUAUUCAUGAACAGGGAGGACAUGGAAUGGCAAAGAACAUAAUAUUCAAAGACAUCUUAAUGAAAAACGUUACAAACCCAAUAAUCAUCAACCAGAACUAUUGUGAUCAAACUAAAGCAUGUCCCGAACAGGUUUGCACCGAAAAACCAAAUAUUUUCACCAUAGUUUGAGUACUAAUAAGAAAGCUGAUAUGGGAUAUGUUGCAGAAAUCUGCGGUACAAGUGAGCAAUGUAUUGUACAAAAACAUACAUGGGACGAGUUCAAGUCCCGAAGCUAUAAAAUUUGUGUGCAGUAAGAGCAUUCCAUGUCAAGGCAUUUCAUUGCAAAACGUUGAACUGGUCGAUCAAAUUACCAAACAAGAUGUCUCUAAAGCAACUUGCUCGAAUGUGAAGUUAAAGAGUAGCGGACGUCUUUCCUCCCUUUGCACUUGAUCAUUUUUGAUCUCCGUGAACAACGCAUUUCAAACUUUUCUAUAUUUACUUAAUUUGGUAGUGAGUUGUGUAUAUAGACAAUGUUUGAAGUAUCAGCUAGUAAGAUCAUAAUGCUAUUAAGAAGAAGAAAAUCAAGAAUGAAUAAAGAAUGGAUACAAAUUUAUGUAUCAGAACGUCAGCAAAAUAAAACAAUCAAGUAUCACCCAAACGAUCAAGUGUUGGCAUCUCUUGGGGAAACUAAAAAAAACUCAAGAGAGCCACACAACUCAACAAUUACAAAACAUUUGUAAAUGGAAAAGAAGAAAAAUGUAUACACUUUUGAGUAUAAUCUUCCUGCAAAAAAAAUGGAAUGAAUGUACAGUUAGUCCCAAGGCAGAGGUUGGUUUUGGACUCUCACAAGACGGUGUUGAUGUGAAGUGCUUUGAGGAGAGAUGUAGCCAUUUGCUUCACCAGAACUUGUCCUCCUAAAUGUUGCCCUUCACGUCUCUCUUCUAUAAGAUUCUGCAGUCUCUGAGGGAGAUCAUUCUCUACGAUCAGCUGUUUUGGCCUUGGAUGGUGCUCAUAAACAGCCUGUUUCAAUGAUACACCAAAACCAAACACUCAGAACAAGACAAGCAAGAACUUAGAUGGUCUAAUGAUAUAUUACCUUUAUGAGUUUCAGUAGGUUAAGUCUAGCAAUAGCAUCUUGGUGAUCUAGCCUUGCAAUAAGCAACGGAGUCAAUCCAUUUACAGCUAAUGUAGUAUUGAUUCGAGAUGAUUUCCUGGAUUCAACAACAAGAAGAGGAUUAGCUCCACCUUAAGAGGAGGGAGAUACAUCAACUUCACUCAUGGUUAGAUGAUUUGUUAUAUGAGAGGAGAGAUAUAUAUAUACGUGAUAAUCUUCAAGAAUGGUUCCAAUAUGUGCACAAAAUGUCUUUCAGGACAGCUCUGGAAGAAGUUAACCAAUGUAUAUAUUGCAUCAUCUUUCAGCAAAGCCUGCUCCACCUUGCGGUUGUCAUUGUCUUGCGCUAAGCAAACAGCAAUGGAGUCUAAGGCAAUCACAGACCAAUAUUCAUCGUCUAGCAAACUCAAGUAAACAUCCAGACCACCGUGAGACCUUAACUGCUCUCUUGAGUUCCGAGAUGCAUGAGCCAUGUCACAUAGUAGUGGCAAUGCAUAUUGUUUCAGAGGAGAAUCAGACAUGACGAAAAGCAUCAGGUGAGGUAUGAUUCCAUUUUCAGCCGCUUGUUCUUGUCUCCUCUUGUUUAUCUUGCACAGGUUGAAUAGUGCACUAAGUACCUAUACAAAAUUACAGUUUUAAAAACGUCAGUUUGGGUUUAAACUGGCUAAAAACAGCAACAGAUGAUAUAAAGUAGGCCUGCGGGUUUGAACCGAACUGAAAUUUUUGGUUUUCGGUUCAGUUCCGGUUUAAUUCGGAAAGCUUUUGAAAAUAUUUUGGUUUUUGGUUCGGUUUACUGUAACAAAAAAGAUUUAAAACACAAAAUUAUCCGAAAUUAACCAAAAUAACCGAACCAAAGUAACCAAACUAACCAAAAUUAAUCAAUCUAACCAAAAUACCCGAUCCGAAUAAACCGAAUCUGCAGGACUAAUAAAAACUGGAACAAGAAUCUAAACUUCAAUCUUUCAACAAGUUGUAACCAAUAGAUGAAAACUAUCUCUAUUCAAGUCAAGAAGUUAACCUCAUGAUGGAUCUGGUCAACAAGAUUCCCCUCUUUAACCUCAAGGUUGGGGAUCAAAUGCUUAAUUGCAUCUGCACGCUGGAGACUCUCCAAGCAAUUUGGAUCAGUGGACAAAUGAUUGGUGCACUUCAGUAUCUGUACAAACAAAAGGGCAUUAUAAGCAUGCGACCUGAAUAAAGAAACAUUCAUAAUAUUUUUGAAGUACCUUUAGCAGAAUAGGAGGCUCUACACGGUUAAACAUAUGGAAGAGACGACUCAGUAAGCUUUGGCUGCACAUGUAUGACUUUACCGUCGUAUCAGCACGAGCAAAUUCAAGAAGCAAAUCAGCCACUUUCUCCAAGUACUGGCUUGCGACCUCUGCACUCAGCGUGGUGACCAUAUGUGAAAGUAAACCAGACGAUGUGUCACUUCCAAGUCUAGCAUUUAGAACACCAGAACCUGACAGUACACCAGAUGCAGAAGCGGCUCCUUCAAUAGCCAUAACCUUCUUCGACAUCGUUUUACUGAAAUAUCUAGGCAUAGUAUCAAUGGAUGCACGCAAAAGAGGGAGUAUACUUUCAUGUUUCUCUAAGCCAGCGAUGUGCUUGACGUAGUCUAGCUGACCAGAGACAUGUCUUGAAGGAGGUUCUUUCUCCAACAAGCUAAGCAAAGGUCGGACUUGUUCUGGCUGAGUAACAGCAUAUCCGUUAGAGGCACUCUCAGCCAGUUUCUGAAUCUUGUCUGUUGAUGUUCUAUUGGAAGAGAUAGAGAUCCUAUGAUGUUGUUUAACAUCUUCUGUUGCAUCUAGUGCAGCACUGCUUGAUCUAGGCCUAUCACCAUCUGGUUGAUAGAGAUCUGAUCUUUGAGAAUUUGAAGGCUCUUCACCACCUCCAGGUCUAGUUUUCAACACAUCGGGAUGAUCAAUCACACUGAGUAAAGCCUCAUGCUGAUCAAGUUGACCAGAGCGUCCUUCAGAAGCUAAUAGAGUUGCCUCGUUUAAGCUAUAGAGAGUAUUGAUCAGCCUUAGAAGAAUGCCAUUCUUUGCAGCUAUACGGCAGAAGUCAUUUCUUGGAGUGGAUCUUUUGAGCUUAAAGACCUGCCACCUCCCAUCAAUAGCUAAGUGAACCAUCUCCCGGGACACACAAAAAAAAAAAAAACUCAAAAUCAGUAGAAACUAGUAGGCAUGAUGACAGAUGCUGUCUCACAUUAACUUCUGAACUAAAUAUAUUGAAAGUAGUCCAGACACUGUAAGAAGACAGUUCACUGAACCGACCUGUAUUUGGCAUAGUCUGCUUCAAGGAACCCCACCAAAACUGGUAUUCCACGGCAAGCUAUGAACAUUUGCAAUGUCAAGGAGCUGUAAAGAAGCUAAGAAAUCAACUCUAUGACUUGCAAGAAAUAAAAACAAAUAUAGAUGCAAAAGUAAUAUAUAUUUUGAUGGACUUGUAACCUUGACUGACAAAGCUGCUGCAAGAAGUAGGCUGCUUCCUUACGGAUUUCUCUAGACCGAUCCCUCUCAGGACCAGCAAAACUCAUUACCAGAGGUAUCUGCCAAAGAAAACAAAGUUAACUAUUUAAGAUAGUCAUGGAAGUUCAAAAGUGAUAGUGUUAGCUGUUGAUAUGUUUGACAUUUAAGACACAAGCCUUUAUAGGAACAAACUUGUCACAUUCACCACAGUAUACCAAACUACGGAUAAUGAUUCACCAAGUAAGACUUACGAGACCAACGAGACAAGCAUUCUCCUGGAAGUCAAUGUUGUCUUUUAUAAUUUCGUUUAUGAGCUGCAGCACGGCACAAGUUACCUGAAAACACCAGAAAAAUAUUAACAAAGCAUAAGCUAGACCGUAGCAUUCACAUUGAACUAACAACUACUGAUGAUGAAGGAGACAAACAAACAUACACGGGAUUUAGGACUAUCGAGAAGAUCCAUUACAGGGAGGAAACCAUGCUGUGUCACAAACACUACUUUCUGCUCAGGUCUGUGACGGAACAUGGCAACUAGUUUCUGACAGGAAGUUACUAUUGCAUCUUCUGUUUCACUUGGCCGUAAGGAGCUCACCAAUCUGCUGAACUCAACUGCCUACAAGAACUCAAGAAGUUAAUACUAAGCUGAGAGUCACUCAAGUAGAAUCAGCAUAAUAUCCAAAAUUUUGACACAAUUUUAACAAAAUCUAACCGAAAUAAAAAACUUCUGUAGGAUUUUCAAAUACCGAACUAACCGAAUACUGAACUUUAUUUCGGGAUAAUUCGGUAAGAUUUAUGCAAACCGAAUUAGAACUAGCUGAAAAUCGAACUACCCGAACCUGCAGGCCUAAGCAUCAGCAUGAUAUAAAGUUGAAGAAUACCUGUAGAGGAAGCAGAUUAUCAGGAGAGGCUUUUUCAUCAAAUACCUAAAAACAGGAUAUGAAAACAUGUUAAAACAAUAAACUACUUGUGAUUAUCAAAACCUACAUACUUGAGAGACAGAGAGCAUACCAAGCCAUCAAUGUCAAUAACAUCAUCUUUCAAAACACCCAUCAUUAACCGGAAAAGAUCACCACCAUCAUUUGAGUGCCCAGUUUCACCUUCCAUUUGCUUCUGAGCAAUUCUAGCCCUCAGCUUUGUUGCCAGAUCAUUCUUUCCACCAUCUGCUACAGGAGAAUCUCCCUGGUUGGCGUUUGACGCAGGCGUUGAUGCUGAGGCCUCAUUUAGUUUUCCCUCAGGAACUUUAUUCAGUGGAUGGAAUAAAUCAUGCAGACAAGCGUCCCCGGGAGGAUCACUGAAUCUAGUCAGUUCAUUCCCACCAUAACUAGAUGGAGUCUUCACUGCCUUUAAGAUAGUUAUACCAAACAUAACAGAUCUAGUCAGUUCAGUAUAAAAUCUUGUAUAGAACAAGACCAAGGCCCAACAACAAACAAAAAUCUAUCUCACAAUUGAAGCAUCUAAGCAUGGAAGAGUGGAACAUGCCAAGAACAAAAUCAAAUAACUACAAGUUCAGCAAACUGUUUUGUUUCUACCAGUAGAGAAAAAGGACCUUACCAAUUAACUCAACACACAAAAUCAAAUCAUACCCUAGAGUGACCAUAGUAUCCAAUGUUCAAGAAAUAGCUAGGCGCGCUAUAGGGUAUCACGCCUAGACUGAUCUUUUUUAAACCCCUAACCGAUUUUAAAAAAAAAAACUUUCAAGAAAAUUCUAUUUGCGUAGGCCUGAUUUUCCGCCUAGACCAAUUUUUAGAACACUGAUAGUAUCUGACAAAGUGCUAAGACAAAAAUGAUGCAACAACACACCUUUCGAAGCCCACGAUCUUCACCUUUUGGGCCAAAACUAUGUGAUCUCUGCUGCAUCUGGAUGGAAGAUUCUUUUCCAACCUGCUUUGUUGCUGAAGCUUUUCGUCUACCUUCAGAAGCUUCCAUUUCAAGAUUUCCAUCAGGUUCAGAUUUUCCAUCUUGAGAUGUCCCCUUUGCAUCAGAAGAUAUACUACAAGUACUGGAUUGAAGAGAAGACUUAUUAUCAUGGAUAGACAACGUAGGACCUUGAUCUGACAUGAUAUCAUCUUCUGAAUCUGCUCUUUCUUCACCAAUAUCACUGGCUGAAGACUGAUCUUUCUCAGACCUAAAACUCCCCACACCUAAUUUGCUUUUCGAGUUCUGGACAAACAAAAGGUCCUGGAUAAGUAACUUUAGCAAAGUUCAUCUGUAAAGCUUAGGAAUCUUACAGUUUUUGACAUCCCCACUUUCUCUGCUGAAACACUCUCAGCUAUAUCUUGACUACCUUCACCGUCCUUCUCUGAACUUGAAUCGGCUCCCUUCAUAUAUCUGCAGAGAAUUAAGUACUCAAGGGUGAGAUAGAUAAAGUAUUUUGAAAUAUUUUUCCAAAAUUUAAAGUAAAACACACAAGUUUUCGCACCUGAUGGUUCCACUAUGACGAAGUGAUGACUGCAAUGCUCGUCUAGAGUUCCGUAUCCAAGGAUGAGAGAGCAGUGUCUUCGCAUCAGGCCUCUGCCUAGAAUCCUGUAUUAUGCAAAAUACAAAUCAGAUAUGACACUGAAAGGUGUACAGUGGUAAGUAGAAUGAUCAAACAAUAUCGCAUCAAAUUUUACCUUCUUGAAGCAUUGUCGUAAGAAGUCUGUAAUAUCUGGAGAAAGACUAUCAGGAAUAGGAGGGCUAUCAUCCUAAAACCAAAAUCAGAAAAGUGUCAAUAGUUUGUAAUCAAAGGCUGACAGCAAUUACCAUUUUCUUCACCAUUAACGAGAUAAAACAAACUUGUAAAGUGUUGGAAAAAACCUGAACAAUACGGAAGAGAGCAGGCAUGGGUUGCAGAUCAUAGUAAGGAGGUACACAUGUCAAAAGUUCAAUAACAGUGCAUCCAACACUCCAUAUGUCUGAAGCAGCACACACCCCUGACAUUUCAAUAACCUUCAACCAAAAUUUGAGUCUCCAUCAGUACACAAAUAACCAGUUACAAUUAUAUAUAACUUUAUGCAUUUUUCAAAACAAGAUAGAUAUGUAUUGUCAAUGGUAUACCUCAGGAGCCAUCCAGUAAGGAGUUCCAACCACAGAGUGAGUGUUAACAUCAGCCUCGUUUAGUUUAGUAGCAACUCCAAAGUCAGCAAGCUUGACAAGGCCCUGAAGCAUGAGAUUUUUCAAGUGUCAAAGAAAGAACAGCCUAGAUGAAUCUUGUGCAUCGCAUAGUACAAUCCACAAAGGUAGAGAAAAACACACACCUCUUUUGUUGUCAAAAUAUUUGCACCCUUGAUAUCACGAUGUAUGACACCUUGCUCAUGCAGAUAUACUAAACCUUCCAAGACCUGUAAUUCAUUAGUUAGUAUACAGAUAUUUUCAGAAACUUAACUAGAAAAAAAACAUAGAUAGGGACGGACCUGAGCAAUGUAAACAGUGACCAAAGAUUCUGGGAAAGGUCCAAAUUUAUUUGGUUUGAUAAUGUUUGCAAGAGAGCCAUUCUCCACAUACCUGCAAAUACAUAUUUGAUUGGACUUGAACUUUGGGUGGAAAACAAAAAAUAAACACAAAACUAGUAGUAGUACUUACUCCAGGAUAAUGUGAAGGUGUGUCUUUGUCUUCAAGGAGCCAAGAUACUUGACAAUGUUUUUAUGGUUUAGGUUCUGCAUUAGAAACCUUAUGUUAGAAGGACAUAGAGAGACACUACAGAGCAGUAACCAUUAAUGAGAAGAUACCAAAGCUGAGAAGGUGAUUAAUUAUCUCAAAUUUGUAUAACAGUUAUGUCUAAAUAAUGGGUCAAGCUCUGCAUGCAUUGCAGUUCCAGAGGAUAAAGAGUAUGUAAUGGAAACUACCUUUAACAAAUCGAUUUCUUGCUGGAGAACACAAUCAUCCCCAACAGCCAAGAACCAUCAAAAAGUAAAAAGGAAAGGAGAUGAGAGACAGAACACAUUAGUCCAUAAAGGACAGAACCAAAUAAAGAAACCAAACCAUGAUGGUGUUGAGAUCCUCUUGAACAAUAUUCUCCAAGGAGACUUGUUUAAUAGCCACAAAAUCUCCAUUCUCCAGGUCUAAUCCUAUGUAUACUCGACCAUAUGCUCCUUUGCCAAUCUCAUCCCCAAGCAUCUGCCAUCAAAAAUAGUCAAAACAAAAAAAAAAACAAAAGUUUCCUCCUUUGCCUCAGAAUCAGAAGAAGAAGGCUUUACAUAUUUGUUGUCGAGGGUCUUCGAUUUGUGGAACUGAGAUGACGUCAUUUGUCUCGCCAUCUCUUCUCCUUCCUUCCUCCGUCGUCAAAACGAACAAUUGCUAACGAAUCCGAUCCAUUUUACAAGGGAAACAAAUCACAACAACAAGAACAAUUACAAUUAGGGUUUUAAUUACACAAAUUCGAGAGAUUGAUUAUAGCUUCUUGUUGUUUAAUUAUUUUAAAAAAAAAUUCAAAUUAAAAAUUAAAGAAAAGACAACUAAGAUUUUUGGUUCGGACAUUGUGACCGAACUGGAUUAACAGAGAGACAGUUAUGUCGUCGAUUCCCUCACGCGCCACUUUCUUCGUUUGUUAUUUGGCCCCUGAAAUUUUAUUUCUUUACGAUUUCAACCCUCCAUUUCUAAAAUUAUCCAUUUAACCCUUUUCUAUUUAAAAUGUGGCACAAACUUUUUUUUAAUUUAAAUAUCUUUAAAAAAAAAUGUGGCUGAGGAAGGACCAACCGAAAAGGAUAAAUCUUUGGGUCUGCACAUUCAUCUUCUUCUUCUCUGUUUUCCUCAAAGCUCCCUCCUUUCAAUGGCGACUCUAAGCUUCAACACCACUCGUAUGCGAACACCUUCACUUCCAAGAAUCUCUAGACCAUCUUCUUUCACUAAACCCAUCAAAACCCAUCUCUCCUCCUCCUCCUCCUCACAAACCUUAUCCAAACGCCACCGUUUCGUCUCUCGAUCCUUACCUGAGACAAAAGAAGAGACCCUCAUCAUCAAACAGGAGGAAGAAACCGAAGACGAUGAUCCAACCUCUGAGCUGAGCUAUCUCGAUCCGGAAACAGAUGCAGAGAGCAUAAAAGAGUGGGAGCUGGACUUCUGCUCGAGGCCGAUUCUUGAUUCAAGAGGGAAGAAGAUAUGGGAGCUUGUGGUUUGCGAUGCUUCGCUCUCGCUUCAAGUCACCAAGUACUUCCCCAACAAUGUCAUCAAUAGUAUAACACUCAAAGAUGCUAUUGUUUCUAUUACGCAAGACUUGGGUGUCCCUCUUCCUGAGAAGAUUCGCUUCUUUAGGUAGUGAACAAAGACACAUUCAUAAAGUAGAUCUUUUUCAAUGAUCUUAUUGUUGAAGUUUGUGUUUUUUUUUUAAAUGGCAGGUCACAGAUGCAAACCAUUAUCACAAAAGCUUGCAAAGAGCUUGCUAUAAAGGAAGUGCCUAGCAAACGGGUAUGAGCACUCUUUCUUGUGUUUAUGGUCAUGAGCAUAGGCUAGUGCAUCAAUAGUCUUAGGCCUGAGGGUUCGGGUAGUUCAGGUAGUUAGGUUCGGGUAGUUUGGAAUUCGAGUAGUUCGGUUCGGCCAAAAUCUGCUGAAUUGAAUCGAAAAAAGUUUGGUUUGGUAUUCCGGUAAUUCGGUUUUUCAAAAUUUUGCUUAAAAUUGUGGUUAAAUCGGUUAAUUUUGGUUAGUUCGGUUCAAAAUUUUAGUUAAUUUGGUUAGUUCAGUUCAAAAUUUUAGUUAAUUUGGUUAACCUAUUUUUUGGAAAAAGCCGAAUUAACCGAUUAACGAACCAAACCAAAAACUGAAGUUUUUUAUAAACCUGUCGAAACCGAACUAACCAAAAUUUUUGGUUUGGUUCAGUUCAUAACCGCAUGCCUAAUUAGUCUAUAUCCCCCAAAGUUUUAGAAAAAUAUUUACACAUAAAUAGGUCCAUAAAUUUCGUUUUAAAAAAAUUAUAUAAACCAUUACUAAAUUGUUUAUAUCUCCUAAAAUCUCAGGACAGCCCAUGUUUUCUUGUUUAUUAUAUAACAAAAGUGAACUCUAUUCUGCAGUGUCUGUCUCUGUUUCUAUGGUUGCAAGAACGUUAUGACACUGUGUACACGCGUCACCCUGGUUUCCAGAAGGGGUCAUUGCCUCUUCUAUCUCUAGACAAUCCAUUUCCAAUGAAUCUUCCUGAGAAUUUGUUUGGGGAGAAAUGGGCGUUUGUUCAGUUACCUUACUCAGCCGUUAGAGAAGAGAUCUCAGACUUUGAUGAGAAGUUUGUGUUUGGUGCAACCUUAGACUUGGACCUGCUUGGCAUUGACGUUGAUGAGAACACACUGAUCCCUGGUCUCUCCGUUGCUUCUUCGCGUGCUAAACCUCUAGCAGGUUAGUGUCUGUAGUUUCUUGACAAGUCAGUUAUGUGGUUUCUGAUCAUUAUGCAUUGUCAUUAUAUAGCUUGGAUGAAUGGUCUUGAGGUAUGUUCGAUCGAAGCAGACAGUUCUAAAGGAUGUUUGAUUCUGGCCGUUGGGAUCUCGACAAGAUAUGUCUAUGCAACUUACAAGAAAACACCUGUUACUACUGAUGAAGCUGAAGCUUGGGAAUCUGCGAAGAAAGCAAGUGGAGGUUUGCAUUUUCUUGCAAUUCAAGAUGACUUGGAUUCUGAUGAUUGUGUUGGCUUUUGGCUUCUUAUUGAUUUGCCACCACCUCCUGUUUAGUUUCACAUUGAUAAAAUUGGUAAUAACCAUGUUUUGCUAUUUAGUAAGAGAGUAGAACUAUGGGUUUCUCUCACAUUAUUAAAAGAAAUAGUUACAUGAGUUUGCAAAAAAAGUAGUAUUAUUAUGGACAUAGCGCAUAGAUGUGAGUUACAGACUUCUUUGAAGCACCUAGCCUAACCAGACGUUUCCACAAAGAAAAUGUCUAGCCAUCUAGGUCUCCAUAUAAUCAUCGCCUGAUCAAAUUAUUUAUCUGGAACUCUUUAAGCUAAACAAGAUAGAGAGCCCUUUCGUGCAAAAUGUGAAAAGAACACAAGAAAUAUACAACAAAAACGAAGAAAUGCAGAAGAAGAUGCAUCUCAGUAUAAACUAAGUCCUAGGAAGAUGAAGGGGAUCGACCACGCAAGAAUUUCCACGGUCCAGUUCCAGUUGCUAUCCUGCAUAAUUUCAAAGGAGUCAAAGACUGCAUCGUCUACUAUAAAGGAGAAUUAGAUUUUAACCCGCACUUCCGUGCGAAUACUUUUUCAUUUUAUAAAUACAUAUGAUAUUAUUACAAAUGUUUAGAUAUAUAAUUUCUAUUUUAAUAUUAUUUAUUAUGUAAUUCUGAUGACAAACAAAAAAUUGUUUAACUCUAUAAUAUUAUUGUUUAUUUCUUAUUUGACAUUAUUAAUAUAUACUGAUUUGUUUAAUACAUUUUACUUUGUUAUUAAUUUUUAUUACUUACUAAUAUAUUUUCGACUUAGUAUAAUAAAAUAACAAUAUGAAAUAAUCAAAUAGAUAAUCUCCUUCAAAAUAUGUUUUUUUCUUUAAUUUAUACAUUUUGCUAUAAUACAUUUUUAAUAUUUACUUAUCUAUAUUAUAGAAAAGAAAUUUGAAAUAUUAUCAUUUUGAGUUUGAAUAUUUAUUUUCAAAAUUUAAUAUUUUGUCAAGAAACUUUGAAAAAUUACAUUACUAUUUUUUAAUUUGGAAGAUUACAUGAAUUUUGAAUUUAUUUUUGUUACUACAUUAAUACAUUAUUUUAUUAAAAAAUAUUUGAACUUUUGGUAAUAUUUUCUAUUUUUUCUCAACAUAUUUUUUUAUAAUUAAAAUAAACUAAAAAAUUUAUAAUUAAAAUUUUAUUUGUCAUUAAUAUUUUAAAUGAAUUAUUAAAAUUUCAUAGUUUUCUAAUAACAUAUUUUUUAAAUAGUAUAUGAACUAAAGGUUAUUAUACACUAUUAUAUUUUUGUAUAUAAACAUUUUAAACAAUAUAUUGUUGAGAGUUUUGAAAUAAAUAAGAAGAUAACAUAUAGUUUGUAGAUAUAAAAUUUUAACUUAUGUUAAUAAAUUUAUUUUUGUAUAAAAAUAUUAUAUAUUUUACGAAUUUUAACCCAUUUUAAUGAUGAUAGAUAAUUUAUUUAAAUGAAACAAUUUAAAAAUAAAUUUUUAGUUUACCUAUUUAAUAUAAUUUUUGGAUUUAAUUAAUAUAGCACUUCUAUUUUUAUAUAAUACAUAAUAUAAUUAUAUAAUUUAUAAAAUAGUAUAUAGUUUUAUUUUCUUGUUUUAUAAUAAAAUUUUGGUUAACAUUGAUUUAUAACAAUAUUAUAUUACUAAUUAUGAAAUUAAUUAAUAUGUUAUUUUAAAAAAAUAUUUAAAAUUUUAAGUAAGAUUUUGUUAGAUUAUUUCUCAAUAAAUGUUUUUUAUAAUUUAAAAAAAAAUUAUAAUUGGUUUAUUAUUAAUGUAAAUAAUCAAAUAAAUUAGGUAUACAACUUACUAAAGGCCCAUUAAGGCCCAACUAAUUUACCUGGCAAUUCCAGUAAUAGCUCGGAGGCCCAUAUAGAUGGUAAGAGCUAUCCAUAUGCCUAGAAAACCAUUGAACUUUGCCAUGUAUAUUAUUGCUGCAAUGCUUAUGGCCGCAACUCCUACCUGAUUUAUCAUAAUAAAGUCAACUUUCAUGAAAAACAUGCAAAAAUAAGUAAUCAUUGUGAAAGCAUAUUAAUGAAGUAAUGAAAAUAGUGCGUACCAUGGAGUAUGCAGUAUAAGCAAAAUCAGAUGCUCCAAAAUUGACUCCGUCCAACACAAAAGCGAGUGAGUUUAUUGGCUGUGUUGCUGCUACAAACUGAUGUCUCCCACACAGAUCAGAUAUAAUAUAACAUCUUAUUAGUCACUAUCACUACUUACUAGUAUUUAUAAGUAGAGAUAUGGUAUUAUAUAUUAGUACCGGUAUUCCAAUUGCUAUGAGGUGAAUAACGGCAGGGGCCUUGGUGAAUAUUCCCGCACCAAAGAAUAGUCCUAGUCAUGCUAUGAGGUGAAUAACGGCAGGGUCCUUGGUGAAUAUUCCCGCACCAAAGUAUAGUCCUAGUCCAACGAAAACGGACAGUCCAAGUCCUAGCACAAACCCCAUCUGCAUAUCAAAUUCAUUUGUUUUACACUUUUUUAUAAAUGUGUGUCUAGACCGAAUCCCAAUUUUUUCCCUGGUUGUUAUCAAUGAGUAGCUCAACCCCCAUAUUUUAAAAAUGAAGCAUAAGACAUGGUCCCAUGUUGCUAGUUACCAAAAAAAAAAAUGGGAAAAAGCAAUUAUCCUUAGGGACUGGUAUCGUUUCAUGAAGAUGAUCGAGACAUAACCUGUAGAACACGGGAUGCACACGAAGACACUUUGUUGUAGUCUUUCUCGGUAAAAGAACAAGCCAGAAUCGCCUGCAAAAGAUUUUAAAUGAUGAUGAUUUACAUAUACAACUUGAUCAAGCAAUAAUAUAUACACAAUGGGAACAUGAUAAAUUAAAUAAUACUAUAAUAGUGAUUAUACCUGACCGGCAACAGCAAGACCAUCAGCGAGGAGAGAAGUAGUUAACCAGACUUGUAAACAAAUCUGAAAAGCAGCCAUUGGUGUUGCUCCGAGCCGAGCCGCCAUGGCUGCUGCUAGUGUCUGACAAAACGUCACAGCUAUGGUCCUCGCCAGCAAUAGCCCCCCUUUCAUUUUCAAAAUUGUUAAGACAUCCCACAUUUCUAUAUAUUUUAUAAAUAUAUUUCGUCACUAAUCCAAUAAAUAUACAUGAAAUUUUUGAAAACAUGAUGUUUUCACAAUUUUUUUUUUACUUGUAAUAAACUUUACUUUGAUCAUUGCAAGAAUGAAUAACUUUAAUGGAUAUGCAUCCCUACCAUUUUUAAGGAACUUUCCGAACUGUAAAGCUGCGAAGUUUGGUGGCAUCAAAUUAACUUUACUCGCCAGGCGGGUGAAUAGUAUUAGAGUCAUGAAGUACCUUCACACAAGUGAAACCGUUAGUUUUACCUUUCUUGUUUCUUUUGAUUCAAGCAACUCUUGGAGUUACAAGUUUUAGUUUCAUAUUUGCAUGUGUGAAAACAUUUUGAGAGCUGUUCUCUUACUGAGAAAUGACAUGGGCAAUGGCUGCACCGCUGAUGCCAAGGUGAAGGACAAAUAUGAAAAUUGGGUCGAGAAUGAUAUUGAUAACAUCUGCUACGACUGUUUCAUGCAUCAAGAUGAUACAUGUUAGACUCUCAUGAUAGAUUGAUAUCUAAUAUGUUUACCUAAAGAUGAUAAAAAUGUAACUUACUAGUAGCAUAGAGAGGAGUUUUGGUGUCCUUGAAGCCACGAAAUAUGCCUUGCAUUGAAAGGGAUAAUAGCAAUGCAGGAGCACCUAAUGAUCGUAUGGUCAAGUACUUGUGUGCUGGUGAUAACACUGCCGAAUUCUGAUAAUCAAAAGUCAACUCAAAAUAGUCAAGCAUUUUGUCAUAUCCACUAUUAUGUGCAUGACUAUCUAUAUAUAUAACCUUAUACCGGUUUCACUCCCAUGACACCUAGGAGCACUUUCGAGCUGAAAAUCAAGAAUAUAGCUUGCACAAGGCCCAGGAUUAGCCCUAUGAUCAUGGCCGUUGAUGCCGAUUUGAUAUUCUUCUUUCCUUUCUUAUUUGCUUUGUUUCCGCUGCUUGAUUUUGUAUCUGAAGCUAGUACACACAUCAACAAAAAAACAAGAAAGUACAGUUUAUCAAAAUUUACAAACAACAUUGUUUAGUUUUUUUUUUCAAAAACUAGUUUAGAAAAGUGUAAACUUAAAUUACAAAAGGUGUAAACAUCAAAGUCAAGCACAAACCGAAAGAUAAACCGUUUGUAUUUAUAGUCAAGCACAAACCGAAUGUGUAAACUUAGAUUUUGUUUCCACAAAAUUUUUCACAUAAAAUAUAUGCACUAAACACGAAAGCCAAAAAAAAAAGGCAAAUGUUAAUCAGAAAAUGAAAAAAAAAUAAUCAAACUUUAAUCAAAAAGUGAAAAAGAACUAAAGAAAAACCAAAAAAAAAAAUCCUAACACUAUCUAAACCCUUGUUCUGUUAGAAACGUAAUAAUUUCAUUAGGCCAUGACAAUAUUUACCGGGCGUUUGCUGCGGCUGGUUCAUGUUGUUACUUGUGGGCGACGCAAUGCCUUUUUCUAAUGAAUCUUGAACAGCUAAAGUAUUUGCAUGAACACGAUUGUUUUUCUUUGCUUCUUCUUCCUCUUCUUUUAUCUUCUCCAUCGUGUUUUCCUCAGCGACAAAGGAAGUUGUGACGCUCACAAUUGGGAAUAUCGUGAUUCUAGAAGCUUGAUUGAAUAUAGCAAUGGAUACUCCAACCGCUGCUAGCUCGACCGCUCCUAAACGUCCGAUAUAAGCGGUGUCAAUCAGAGAGGCUAUUGGAUCAGCAGCUAAAGCUAAAGCCGCAGGAAACGCUAUGCCUAGUAUCUCUCGCCCAAUUGCAUCCUUACUGAACACACGUCUGCAGAUUUAUAUACAACUAAACGUUAUGCAUUACUCCUUUUUUUGGUCAAAUGCAUUACUCCUUUUUAAUAUUAUUAAUAUCUGCCAUUUCAUAUAAACUCACAUUUUUGGUAUGAGAUAUAAACACACUUACGUUAACUCGUUGAAGAUAACAAGAAAUGGGAUCUGCGUGACCACGCUGGCCGGAACUGAAGUAAGAUCACCAGUUUCCGUCAUCAAUGAAGCUUCUUUCUAUGUGUUUGGUUUGCCGUGUCUGAAAAUAUUAUCUUAACUGUUUUCAAGAAUCAAAUGUAAAGGGGAGGUUUAAAUAAGCGAAAUUUCUACGUAAUGAGCAUGCAUAUAUUUAGUAUUUAAUUUGAAAAAGUGUGAGCAUUUCUUUCUUUCUUUGAAAAAAGUACGAGUUUAAAUAAAUAAAUGUACUUCCCUGGCCAAAAAAAUGAAAAUAAAGGUACUUCUAGGGAUGUUAAAAUGGAUAAACCUUCCUCACUUAAAUCCAUUUCAUAUAGAACCCACCCCAAUUAAGUCCUGAACUUGUUUAGAUCCAUAUAGUUCUAAGAUGUACGUAUUAGUAUUAGGGUUACUCAUUUAGACACGCAAAUAUUAAAUUAUCCCAUUUAAACUCGUUUAGACCCAUUUAAAGUGAUAUAUGAUUUUUAUGUUUUUAAUAUUUAUAUUUAAUGUAAGUUUAUUUGGAAUAAAAUUUUAUUAUUAAGAAAAUAUAAAAAUAUAUAAAGAUUGAUUAUGGAAAAGGAGAUUUCAGUUUUCUUUUAACCACAAAAUCUAAUUAUUCCGUCAACCAUAAAAUUAAUUUCCGCUAAAAUCAUAAAAUAAGAAUUUCACGCCAAAAUCGCAAAUCGAGUUUUUAUGUCAAAACUGUAAAUAAAGUUUUUCAGCCAAAAUCGCAAAUCAAACUUUCCCGCUAUAACUGCAAAAUCACGUUUUCCCACAAAAUCAAAAAAUCGAAUUUUUAUGCCAAAAUCGAAAAUUACAAUUUUCCCCAAAACUACAAAAUCAUGUUUUAACCCAAAAAAUUUAAAAAUCGAGUUUUUCCACCAAAACCGCAAAUCAAGUUUUCCCAUCAAAACCGUAAAAUUGAAGUUUCCCACCAAAAACACAUAAUUGAGUUUUCCCGCCAAACCGCAUUCACAAUUAAUGCAGCCUUAGAUGCGUUGAUAGUNNNNNNNNNNNNNNNNNNNNNNNNNNNNNNNNNNNNNNNNNNNNNNNNNNNNNNNNNNNNNNNNNNNNNNNNNNNNNNNNNNNNNNNNNNNNNNNNNNNNAACCAUGACACCAGUUUUGGGAAAGGAAUAUGAGACAGAUCACAGCAAAUAAACCUGUUAAAACUAACAAUCAAGAGGGUAAGGAGGAUGAUAGGUACAUAAUUCUAAAGGGUAUAUUUGAUCAAUUCAACGUAUGACUUCUCUCGUGGCAUAAAUUUAGCAUCAGAAAGAACAAAGCUUAAGCAUGGCAAAAUUGAGAAGAGUACAACCAAAAGAUGUCACACAUACCUGCUCUCCCUGCAGUGGUAAUUGCGCAAACUCAACCAGCAUAAGUUGUAUAGUAUUAUUGCCCUAUCAAUAGCAAAUACAUCCAUUGUGGCUUCUUGGCCAAUAAAUUCCAGCAACUCACUGACAGAAGGUUGGUUGUGGCUGGACCGUUUAGUUUUAAAUAAAACAGAGAUACUAUGCAGUAGUGCUUCAUAAGCUAGAUGAACUCUACCAGAAUCCGCCAAACAUUUUCCUGAAUUGGAAAACGAGAUUAUAAUGAUGCUUAGUGAAUGAAAUGUGUAUAUAUCACGGAUCUUUCGUCAGAGUAGCAGACAUAUUUUCAUGUAUAUACAAGAGAACGGCCAGAAAACAAAAAGAACACACGGAAAGGGAGAAUAAGAUCAAACUAAAUUUGGCUCAAAACUCACUCAAGGUUUCCAAGACCCUUUACUCUUUUUUUAAUCAGCAAUUGAUGAAUUUAAUGCUAACUGAAUUUCAGUUCUCGUCUACCCUAUCAAGCUAUUAGAUUGUAAUCAGUAGGAACAUGUCAAAAGGACAACUUCAUAUGCAUGAAUUCACGUUUGCAUGAGCAGCUGAGGUAUUAGAGCGUACCGAGGUUAACAAGUAUUGAAGACGCAAGCCUCCUAUGGCAGAGUUCCCAUUUCAAACUUACCAAACUGUUGAGAGACCCAGAUUCCAUUACGUCUAUAGAUAGACAUUGCGUACAUUUUCCUUUGUAGCAAAUGCAAAAGCCAUGGACUGUGUUUUCUGUGUCCAACAACACCCUUUCACCACCAGAACAAUCAGAUACAUUUGAAACAACUACAGGCACACAGUUUUGGCAUUGCUCUUUACGUGACUGACGCAUUGAACGAGUCAAUCUUGAAGUUGGCUCAGAUAUCAAAUCAUGGUCCUUUGACACGCAAGUUUGGGAAGCUUUAGCUCUCCGUCCCCUCCUGGGGCCUUUGCUUUCAGUUGGCUCUUUAUUUACACUGAGUUUUGUUUUUCUUGAUUUAUAUCUUAAAACUUCCCCUCCAUUUUUGUCAAUCGCUGUUCCAUCAGCAAUGUCUUCUCCAUCAGAUCUAAUGCAGCUUUUCCAUGCUGAGCAACAGAUUUUUCCAAGGGCAGCACUAAACAAGCUUUCAGCAUGCAAGAAUCCAUCUGUCUGGGAAAUUCUAUCCAUUUGUAUUCGAGAUACAUCUCCAAGCUGCUUAUCCAGUGUAACUUCUAACUUGAGUUUGCACUUUACGCAUGAAAAUUCUCGCUGAUUAGUAACUAAUAUCUCUUUUCCAUUUUGGAUUUCCUUUUCUGCCAGAUCCAGACUCUGCUUUUUGAGGUAAAAAUUUCCUUGCAUGAUUUAACAAAAUAUAUCAAGUGGCUUAUUAACAAAAGGAAUAAAGAGAGUAGUUUCAUACUUAAAGCAGAAGAAAAUAAGAGAGUAGUUUCAUACCUAAAGCAGAGGAAAAUGCAACUACAAAAGGGAAUAGACUUUGCGAACAUGAAAUGGCUUUCCCCCAUGACAGAAGGGAUUCUGCCUCCAACCCAUUCCCUAUCAGCUCAUUAACAAUUCCAACCUGCACAUUUGGCACCAAAUUGAGAAACAGAGAAGUGAUGGCCCCGUUAAAACAGGUCUGAGCAGAAACAGAACCUGAAGGGUGCUUUCCAAAUAACAUUGGAGUACAUUCCAACGACUUAAGUAGCAGUGAUUAAUGUCCCAGGAAAAAUUCCCACAUGGCCAAAAGUCAGUUGCUAACGAUCUGUACACUUCGAAAUCUGUUAUGCUAUAACUCCGUAUCUCUGAUAUUUUUCCUGCGUCAUUGUAUUUUUCGAACUGCUUCUCAGCUGUAUACUUAAAUUUCUCUUGAAAUAAAAGAGUUCGUAUUCUGUAGGCUUCUUUUGCAUAUAAAAGAGCCUGUAAAGAAAACACAUUACCAUUAAGUGCAUGCAACAAUGACUGGCAAUAAUUCACAACAAAAACAUCGUGGAAGUUUUGUAAAAUACUUAUAACAAACGUAUAACAAAUUUAACAAAAUUACCUCAGAAAGCUUGCCAAACGAUAUGAGCCUUUCAGAGAGAUCAUAAUAAAGAUAUGCAGCUGUGAAAGAUGAUUGACCAGAAAGUGAGGCCUGAAAUGACAUUCAUUAGCAAAAUCUAAUAUCACCAUAAAUAAUAUUUGGCGAGAAAAAGCUAUGCAAAUAAGUUAAAUGUCUUACACUUGAAACGAGUUCUGAAGCUGCAUCUGUGAUAUCAUCUAUUGUGAUAUCUGAAUGAAAGGGACCUUUAUCCUUUUUGGAGCUUCGUAGGAAAUCAUUUUGUAAAUCAUGGAAGUUCUGCUGGAACCCAAUUAGCCUCGCUUUUGAAUCUUUCAGGCAAUCUAUCCAGAAGUCAAUGCACGUAGAUUUGUCACCCCAAUUCUCUGAUAAGCUCAGGAUAAACGCAUCACUUAUUGGAGAAGGGCAUAGGGCAUGACUUAGCCUUCUACUUUCCCACAUCAUUCCAAGGCAGACCUCCAAUUUGACAUGCUUCCGUUUGAAUAAUCUGAAAAUCAGCUGGUAUAUAUGAUGAUGGAGCUCCGUACAUCCCUGGGAAUAGUAUCAAGCGCCAGAUAAAAUGAAGCACGCACUAUAAAGUAUGCCACUAAAAACUGUAGUCCGACUAGAAAAUAGGAAAAAGAUACCUUCACUGACAUCAAAUCGAACAUAUUAUACAGUAAUGGAACUAUGUUUUCUGUUGGUAGACUGUCCUCACUAUCAUCUAGGCCAGGAAUCCUCAGCCAGAGAUUUAGCGAAGUACUAAUAUCUUGAAAGACUUUCUGCGCGAAAGAGACGAGGCAAAAUCUUUCAGUGAAAGAUCAACUAUUAACAAUUAGAGGCUAUGUCAUACGCAUUUGCACCUUCGAGUUUGGUUCAGCUUCCUGGGUACAAAAAGCUCUCAAGCAAUACGCAAUAGGUAACUGGUAAGAAGAUGACGCUCCCUCUUUAUUUGUCCCAUGAUGUACCUCACUCUGCUUUCAUACACAAAAUAACUUGGUCACGAAAUAUAUUAUUUAAUUAGUGAGCUGCUAAUUCUGAUGUAGUGAGAGGUAUACCAAUAUAGAGAUUGCUUCUGACAGGAAACGAAUGCAGUCAGCUAGAUGUUCAGUUCCAGAUGCCCUUGUUAUUCUUGCUUUCCAUACUAAGAUUCUUGCUCUCUCUACAUGCAUAUCCUCUGUGACAUAAACAUUCUUCAAGAGGAUAUCUGCUAUUUCGAUUCGCGUUUGUUGACCUAGUUUCGAGCUCAAAGAGAACAUUUCAUCAUAGGCCAGAAGCUCCUACAAGCAUUUAUAAAGAAGAAAAAAUACAAAUUAAAAAGUAUACCAGUAUCAUUUUCACCAAUUUUACAGAUACGUAAAGUAUAUCCAUCGAUAUAAGACAAAGGUAGAAAAAACGGGAUUUAUAGUAGCUUAGGACAAGUACAAACUUUACCCAACCAAUAGCUAAAAGGUUAUUAGGAUCCAACCUGCUGUAGGAUUUUUCCGAUAGCUCGAUUUGACUUUUGCUUGGAAGAUGAUAGCAAUGAGUACAAAGUUGUACAAGAAUCAACCACAUCCAAAUUCGUGUGACAUCCCCGUUCUAUCUGUUGAUAGCACACAUUAAGAUAUAUAUAUAUAUAUAAGAAAGAUAAGUCAUUAAACAUAUACCUUAACCCACUGUUUCACAAUUGCCGCAGGACCUGGUAGCCUUCUCAUCAGAUGUUCAGCCGAAAGCCAAUUUUCCAGAAUGUGCACGAUAGUCUGUCUAAUCUUGCAUCUACUACAUUGCUGGAGUACAUCCAAGUAGAAUGCAGACCUAUUACAUGUUUCACCCACAAAAUCCAUAAUGGCAUCUUCUGACAGCUCAGAUGAACUAGAUUGAUUUACAAAUAUCUGACAAUCUAGUUCAACACAUCUCCAUGAUGCCUUCGAGCACAGCUUGAGCGCCUCACAAGCCUGCAAGGUAGAACAAUUACUCUAUAAAAUGUACUAAGAAAACGAGUAAGAAGAAUAUAUUAUACAGAUGAAUAAGUCCACACAAAUAAAGCAGGAGCAGAUUUUCAUCCAGUCUUCAUACUUUUUGCAUAGAAAAUAUAUAAGAAGUCAAAAAGCAUGUACUCCACCUUUUUUAGCUCCUUAUUUCUGUACAGAACGACACCAACAUUGUAUAGCGACGCUAAUAUAUACUUGAGUUCUUGAGAUCCGAUCCAUGGACUAGCAAUUACAUUCUCAACUAGAUGGACGCUGAUCUGAAAAAGAACAUGUUGGAUCACUAAAUUAGGUAUACGAUGACAUGCUGUAACUUGAACAAGAUAUGUUUCAUAGAUUUGUAUGCACUGCACAUGAAAACCAAACCUCCAUUUCUUGCUGGAUUCUCAACGAGACAAUGAAAGCAGCCAUAGCCACGUUUAACAAAGCUUUGUUAUUGUCAGUUUCGCUACCUCCCUUUUCAGAGGUGCAUCUAAGAAAUGGCCAAAGAGGAGGUGAGAAAAGCAUUCAGCCCACAUACAAAGAUUUCACAUAACAAUUAAAUAGCUUCCAGUUUCUAAGUGCGUUGAAGAUUUAAACGCCAUCUUAACUGCCAACUAUUUGCAUAUUAACAUGAUAAAAAUAAAGAGAAAAAAGUACUGCAUGAAUCAACAACUUAAAAGACGUAACUUCUAAAAUUCCUUAAAAUAUAUUGGAGUUAUUUCCACCAUUGACAAGCAAAACAAUCUUCUCGAAGAGCACGAUCCUGACUAAAUGCAACAGAACUUAGCGUAGGAGAGAGAAUGAUCACCUUACCUCUGAAGGAAGAGACGACCAUCACAAAACUGGAGAAAGGCAUCAUGAAUAGUAGACAAAUGAGCAGAAGCGCAGGACAUUCCCGUUUCCAACACAAUUUUUCUUUUCACUGAGUUUAUCAAGGUCGCAAGCGGUUGGCACAAGAACUUCAAGGCAUCUACAUAUUGUAGCCACCAAUUCUUCAUGUUUAUGCCUGAACAGCUAUCAUCUGUUUUACUGAUGUACCUUUUAUGUCCACCAACCAAUGAUAAAUCAGUCUGAUUGCCCAAAUCAGUCUGAUCCACCAUACCGAGUAAGGAAACUAAAUUUUGCCAUCUAGUCUCGUCAUCGAGCAGGGCUUGAAUCUUCCAAUCAUCAGUUGUAUCUUUAACCUUGCUUUCUCUGGAAUCGUAAACCAUGAUGGACAGCCCAGACGAAUAAAGUCUAAGAAUCAGAUUAAGUUGUGGUAACGCCUGCCAAGCAGUAAGUUUACAAAUUAAGUCCCUGAAUAUAUUGAGGGAGGUUUACAUCCCAUUGCCCAGGAGAGUAAACGUACCUCGGAGAAAUUCGCUGCUAACUCAUUUAACUUCUUCGAAACUUGAAUACAGUUCAUGUCUCCUGCUGAUUGAAAUUUGUGAGCGCAAUAAGCGACAAGCACAACAAAAUCUUCAAUAUCAUCGUUAGAUUCAACCUGAAAAAUAAAGGAGCAGUGUUAUAAGACACUGCAAGUUUGCGGUAGCGCGUCAUCUGAGGAGCUAUCAGAAACCUAAAGUCACCCAGUCCAGUUACUCGAUGCACAGGGUGAUAGAUAAGUAUGAUGCAAAUCUUUUAUGUACAUACCUUGAACUGGCAAGUUAAGCUGCACAACACAGACAUUGAAAUGUCAAUGCUCAUUGACAUUCUUCUAUCCUUAAAUCCGCACAAAACAGAAAGCACAUCACGGGCAAACUGGAAAUGGGAAAUGGAUUACAUGAGAGCAGCUAAAAGAAAAAGCAGGAGCAACAAGGGAAGACACCCACCUUGAAAAUCCGAUCUUUUGCCAACGCAAACUUAUAGUGUUCCUUCACAGUCGCAUCGCAAAAGGAACGCACUAAACCCCCAUCAAAACGCUCAGCUUCUCUAACCAAAGAAAGAGCACAUUUACCAAGAUUCGUCACGAGCACUCUAUGCAACUUCUCAUACGCCUUAGCAUCUAAAACCCUGCACAACAACAAAAAAACCUCAGCCUAUGCUAUAAUCAAAGAAAAAAAAAGAGUUAAUCCCACACUGACCUGAACCAAUCUCUAACCUCCUCGACCAUAAGAAGCACCGUUCUAUACGGCUCAUCAUCUACCUGCUUAGACAUCGCCACACCCUUAAAGACAGCCGCCACAGCCUCAACCAACACCAUCGCAAGCUCCGCCUCUCCUUCCUUAACCUCCGGCAACAACUUCGACCCAGCCUCACCGCCUCUAAGCUUCUCCAAAACCUUAAACGCCUGGGCAAUCACACUCUCGUGAAACCCCCAAGCAUCGAGACAGUAAAUCAUCCGCAAUCUCUGGAGCUGAAGAGUGUGAGGCUUGCAGGCUAACUGAGCGGAGAAGGACUCCAAGCAAUCCAAACAAAGCUCGUACGCGCGGAAGAGAUCCCCGGCCGAUUCGCGAGAUUGGGGAUUGGCGGUGGCGGAGAGGCGUUUGGGGAAGAGGGAGAUCGAUUUGUUGAGGAACGGGAGGAACUGCUUGCCGAGGGAACGGGAGGUUGGUUGUGGAGAGGUGAAAGGGCGGAGGUAAUCGGAGAAGGAGGUGAAGAUAGCGUCGGAGGAUUCGAUGAGAGAGAGGAGACGGUGGUGGUCGUCGGAGGAGGACAUUGUUUGUUUUCGAAUUAUUUGUUUUUGUUGGGAGUUUCCCGCUGCGCUUUCUAGGUCUUCUUCCUUUAUGCGCUUCACUAUACAGUUGACUGAUCUGUAAAAGGGAUGGGAGAUGCUCUCUCUCUCUCUCUCUCUCUGGGUAUCGAACCUGGGUUUCUUGUGGAAAUUGUUCUUUUGUUUUGGGCCUUGAUGUGAUAUUAAAAGCCCAUUAUAUCAGCUGAUAUUUGAUAGUAGCCCAAUUCUAAUCAAGUAGGUUUAGAUUGUAAAGAACUCGGAAUCAAAGAUUCUGGAAUCUAAGAGCAUCCGCAUCGCGGUUAAUUUGGGCCGUCUCUUUAUAUUUUUUUGAUUAAAAAAAUAUAAAAAAAGGAAGAAAGCGGAGGAGACGAGUGUUUCGUUGGCUCGUGAAGAAACGUCUGUUGGUGGACGCGUGUCAACAAGGGAGUGGGUGGAAGUUCGGUUACGCGUUAAACACGUUUGAAACUUGACUUUCUCUCUCUCUCUCUCUCUCGAAUCCUCUCGACUUGGCGAUUUCUAUGGCGAAUCUGUCUCUCUCUCUCUCUCUCAAAUCCUCGCGACUCAUUCUGAUCGGUUGUUAUGUGUUGGUUCUCGUCGAAUCUGGGGCACGGUGGGUCUCUUCGACGGCGAAGGAGCUUUCCCGCGGUAGCUCGGCUCUAAUCAAAAGGUAGUGAUAGGAGAUCAUAUUGUUUUUGAUCAUGCAUGUGAUCGAUUAUUGUUUAACUUGUUCUGAUCGGCUUAUUUACUUUAUAUUUUGUUUGUUCGGUUCGAAUUGGCGAGCUAUGUGGCGACGGAGCUCUCCUCGACAAGGCCGUCUCUGUCCUCGUCAGCGACGGAGCUCUCCUCGACGGCACCGUCUCUGUCCUCGACGGUGAUGAAGCUGUCUCUCGGUGGUGACAGAGCUCUCUCACUUUUCCUUCUCCUCAAAUCAAAGGUAAAGUUUCUGUUGUUCCUCAAAGUCUUAAAUAUUUUAAAUUUUCAUGGAUCAAAUUGAAUUUAUUAGUAAGAUUGUUUCAAUAUAGAUGGAUUGAUCUAACUUGAUUUGUUAAAAGUUACUGAUGAAAUCGUUUUUAAUAAGUUCUGAGUAGUACUUUGUUUGUUUGUGUUCCUCAAAGUCAUUGAUGAAGUUUUUACGUCUUGUUUGUGUGUUUGUGUCAGAGUGCGUGGCUCGAAGGUACAAGAAGAAAGAACCGCGAACGAGAGGAGUGCAAAGCAGAGCAAUACAGGUAAAUGUCUACUCCUUUCGAAUUUAUUGAGUGCUUUAAUGUUGAGUUAGGUAGUUAAUGGUUGGGUUAGUAAUAAAUAGGUGUAAUGGCUAGGUUGAUGGUUAGAUAGAAAACGUGAUGAAGUGUGAUGAAUGUGUUUGGUUGAUGUCAAGUCCAUUUAAUAGUUUCUUCCUUUUAAAAUAGCGUUCUUUGCUUUCUCUCUUCUGGCAUCAACAUUGCUUCUUCUUGUCUUCCUUCUAUCUGUUGUACUCUCUUCUUUUUUCCUUUCUUUCUGUGACAUUCUUGGGGAUGGAUUCCAAUCCAUACCGGCAUGGUAGUAAAUUUGUUGAUCUCCUUACGAGUCAACAAAGCGUCUUUAGUUUAGUUGAAGAAACUGUCCCUGAAGACACUCCUGCUGAGCGUAAGGAACGCCGGAUGUGGACGCCUGUAGAAGAUAUGGUACUCAUCAGCUCCUGGCUCAACACAAGCAAGGAUCCAGUAGUGGGAAAUGAGCAACGGUCUGGGGCAUUCUGGAAUAGGAUCGCCGCUUACUUUGCGGCAAGUCCCAAGAUUGCAGCCACUGAACACCGAGAAUCAACUCAUUGCAAGCAGCGUUGGCACAAGAUAAAUGAUCAAGUCAACAAGUUCUGUGGGGCUUUCGAAGCAGCAACCAGAGAGAACACAAGUGGGCAAAAUGAGAAUGAUGUUCUCAACAGAGCUCAUGAAAUCUUCUUCACCAACCACCGAAAAAAAUUUAUUCUUGAGCACGCUUGGAAGGAGCUUCGGAAUGAUCAAAAAUGGUGUGCCACUGUUACAUCUAAAAACGAAGGAAGCGGUACAAGGAGGAAGUUAGACGAGGGUUCACAGUCUGAGACUUCACACACUGUUGAGGAGGAGCGUCCCCCGGGUGUUAAGGCAGCAAAAGGGAAGAACAAGAAUGUCAAGGGGGAGGAAAGGCUGUCACAGUUUCAGACUAUGUGGGAAAUAAAACAAAAAGACUUGGUCUCCAAGGACAGGCUAUCAAAAAAUCGGAUACUUGACCGUUUACUUGCAAAGCAAGAGCCCUUAGAUGAGGUCGAAAAUGCUGUUGUGAAAAAGCUCCUAGCUGAGUUGUUGAACUAGUUUAAGUAUGGGUUUAAGAGUUUGUGUUGAACUAGCUUAGUUGAACUAGUUUAAGUAUGGGUUUAAGUUUGGGUUUAAGUCUUUGUUCACGUUGAUUUUAUCUUGUUGUUGUUCCUCUGUUGUAUGUUGGUAACGUGAUAAUAUAAAAACGUGUUGUUGUUUCACUUGUUGUUGUUGUUUCACUUGUUGUUGUUUCACGUGUUUCACUUGUUGUUGUUUCACGUGAAUUUAUGUUGUUAUUUCUUUCUUGGCAGACUAGAGCAUUGAGUCACGGAGGGUGAGUGAAGAGAAGACAAGAGAGUUCGUCACGGAGCGUGAGUGAAAAAAAGACAAGAGAGAUAGUGAGUCACGGACACUCAUGUCAAGUUGUAUCACAUUUUGUCUUGUAUUAUUUUUGUAGCAUAACUCAUGUCACAGACACAAGUUUUCAAAGGGUGUAUAAAUGAAACUUUAUAAACACAAGUUCUCAAGUUCUUCCUUCACAAGUUUUCAAACUUCUUCUAUCUCUUUUAUAAACACUUAAUCACUUUCUUCCUUCACAAGUUCUUCUAAAUCUCUCACUUUAUAAACACUUCAACACUUAAUCAAUUUCUUCCUUCACGUUAAACUCUUAAUCACUCUCUAUAUAAACUCUUUUUAAUCACGUUAAUGGCUUCUUCUUCUUCUCACAACACUUUCGAUGACGCUUUUGAUGAUACAUUUGAUGAUACAUUUGAUGAGCUAUUUGAUCAACAUUUUGAUCAAGCAUUUGAGGAUUUUACCAUUCAAGCAAAUCAAGAAGAACGAAGAAAAAAAAGAAAAAAACGAGCUUAUAUUGAAAGACAUCGUGAAGAAGGGCAUAAUCGUUUAUGGAACGAUUAUUUCAGUCAAACUCCAACGUAUCCUCCUUUAUUAUUCCGACGACGUUUUAGAAUGAACAAGCCAUUGUUCAUGAAUAUUGUGGAUCGACUCUCCAACGAAGUUCAAUAUUUUCGGGAAACAAAAGAUGGUCUCGGAAGGAACAGUCUCUCUCCACUUCAAAAGUGUACCGCCGCCAUUCGUGUCUUGGCAUAUGGUUCUGCAGCUGAUACCGUCGACGAAUACCUCCGGCUCGGUGAAACAACAACUCGGUUAUGUGUAGAAAAUUUUGUGGAAGGAAUAAUAAAUUUGUUCGGCGAAGAAUACCUAAGAAAACCAACACCAUCUGAUCUUCAACGUCUACUUGAUAUUGGAGAGUAUCGUGGCUUUUCCGGAAUGAUAGGAAGCAUCGAUUGUAUGCAUUGGGAGUGGAAGAAUUGUCCCACCGCUUGGAAAGGGCAAUAUGCUCGUGGUUCGGGUAAACCAACAAUCGUUUUAGAGGCGGUUGCUUCAUAUGAUCUCUGGAUAUGGCAUGCGUUUUUUGGACCUCCAGGUACAUUAAAUGAUAUCAAUGUUCUUGAUCGUUCACCAGUUUUUGAUGACAUAAUAAAUGGUCAAGCUCCGAAAGUCACUUUCUCUGUCAACGGACAUCAGUAUAAUAUGGCUUACUAUCUCACCGAUGGUAUUUAUCCGAAAUGGUCAACUUUUAUCCAAUCUAUUCGUAUACCACAAGGGCCGCAAGCAGUUUUAUUUGCUCAGCAUCAAGAAGCUGCCCGAAAAGAUGUAGAGCGGGCUUUUGGAGUCUUACAAGCUCGCUUUGGCAUUGUUAAAAAUCCAGCGAGGAGUUGGGAUAAAGUCAAAAUUGGAAAGAUUAUGAGAGCAUGUAUCAUACUCCAUAAUAUGAUCGUCGAAAACGAAAGAGACGGUUACACUCAAUUUGAUGUUCGAGGGUUCCAACAAGGAGAAGACCAAGGAAGUUCACAUGUUGAUCUCACGUAUUCUACAGAUAUCCCUUCAAAUAUCGCAAAUAUGAUGGGUGUUCGAACAAAAAUUCGUGAUACACAAAAGCAUCAACAACUGAAAGAUGAUUUGGUUGAACACAUAUGGCGUAGAUUUGGAGGUGGUGAAGACAACAAUUGAUCUCUGAUGCUUAUUUCAAAUAAUUCUCGUUCAUUUUAAUAAUCUUUGUUUUCAUGUUUUUAAUUUAAAAUCUAUGUUUAAUAUGUUGUCUUUUAUUUACUAAUAAAUAUAAGUUUUUAAAUAAAUAUUCAAUAUUAUUUUAUUUUCAAGAACUCUAAAGCAAGAGACUUGCAAUGCAGACAUUAAAAUCUCAAGGUUUUUGACAAAGUCUCUUUAACACCUUUAUGCCUUAAGUAUUAUUAAUUUUAUCUCAAGAGACCCUUAAUGAGGUUGUGGGAUAAGGAUGCUCUAAUAAAAUUGGUGGUGGAGCAGCGGAGAUUCCUUUCUUCUAUUUAUUUAUUUUUUUUAAAUAAUUUUUUUCUUAUAUUUAAAAAUUCUGAAGAAAAUGGUGCCUGAGAGAAUCAGUCCAGGUACCUCAUCUCUCUCCGGGGAAAUUGGUACUUUUUCAGACAACCACAAAUUAUUUUAAACUUUUUUAAAAUGAAAUAUUUUUUUUGUUUGAAACACAAAUGAAAGCUUGAUUCACCACAACAACAUCAACGAUGCUCUUUCUCUAAAUCCAAUCCUAAGAGAAUGUAUCAAGAGAAUGUCGAGGGUUACAGUUUGAUCGAUGAGGCAGCGUUCGCGUGAUUCCUAUUGAAGGUAUAUAGUUUAUGCUAUAACGUUAAUAUUGUUUUUGAUCCCAUUCAUUACCAAUGUCUUCUUACUCACAAGAUUCUCUCUGCUGAAGUUUUUAUAAUUAUCCUAACCAUUCUUUACCUUCUUUCAAGAUUUGGAGCCUUUCUCGCGCGUUCUAAGGAGUAUCAAGCUAUGAGCUCUGAUAAACACUCUGCUCGUUUCCUAAAUAAACUUAAAAUGGAGAGGGUCAGGACAAUGCUAACGCACACUUACCCUUAUCCUCAUGAACAUUCACGACAUGCUAUGAUUGCUGUCAUCAUGGGUUGCCUGUUCUUUAUUUCUUCGGAUAACAUGCACACCCUCGUUGAAAAACUUGACAAUAAUUUCAAAUGGUGGUCAAUGUAUGCUUGCUUGCUUGGUUUUUUCUAUUUCUUCUCAUCUCCGUUCUUAGGAAAGACUAUUCAACCAAGCUACUCAACCUUUAGUCGUUGGUGAGGAUUAUCCCUUCUUCAAUAAAGUGUAUAUGAAUUUAUUUAUUUUUUCUUACUCAGCAUAUGAAUUUUUUUUUAUUUUUUGGUAAAAGUAUAUGAUUUUAAAAAAAUUCUUUUGUAAUGUUGUGUAGGCAUGUUGCUUGGAUUUUAGUAGCAGCAUUGUACCAUCUCCCAAGUUUUCAGUCAAUGGGUUUGGAUUUGAGGAUGAACUUGUCCUUGUUUCUAACUAUUUACACAUCAUCCGUAGUCUUCCUUUUUGUCUUCCACAUCGUUUUUAUUGGGUUUUGGCAUCUCGGUCUUGUUUCUCGUGUCGCUAGAAGACGCCCUGCGAUCUUAACCAUUCUUCAAAACUGUGCUGUAACUACACAAUCUCCAAACCUUGUACAAUAAAAAAUCACUUGCUUGAAAACAUUAUUUUGAAAAUUCAAAAAUGUGCAGGUUCUAAGCAUAGCGUGCUGUAUAUUCUACAGCCAUUGUGGUAAUCGUGCUAUCCUGAGGCAAACACCACUUGAAAGAAGGCGUUCUAGCAACAGUACUUGGCUUACUAAACUCGUUCAGAUUGAUGAGCUUAAAGACCAAGUCUGCUCAUCAUGGUUUGCUCCUGUUGGAUCUGCUAGUGAUUAUCCGCUUUUGUCCAAAUGGGUCAUUUAUGGGGAGGUCUGUCUUCUUUUUAUAAUUAUUUUAAACUUGUUGCGUCUGUUCUAAUCAUAUCUUUUUCUAGUUGCAGUUAGCAUGCAAUGGGUCUUGUCCUGUAACAUCUGAUGAAAUUUCACCUAUAUACUCGUUGUGGGCAACGUUUAUUGGUCUUUAUAUUGCCAAUUAUGUAGUGGAGAGGUCAACAGGGUAAGUUGGCAAUGUCAGCAACACAUAGAGAAUAAUUAUUGGUCUUAAUGUUAAUUUCUAUUGUACGGUUAGGUGGGCCCUGGCACACCCUGUGUCUGUCAACAAUUACGAGAAGCUUAAGAAGCAGCAAAUGAAACCUAAUUUCUUAGAUAUGGUACCUUGGUACUCAGGGUACGUCCAAUGUUUUUUUAAGGCAUUGUGAAUUAGUUGAAGUAGGAUAUUUUAACACUAUCUGAUCUGUCUAAUUAUUUAUUUCAGAACUUCAGCUGAUUUGUUUAAAACGGUGUUUGACCUCCUCGUAUCCGUGACUGUGUUUCUUGGCCGCUUUGACAUGCGGAUGAUGCAGGUACACAUAUGUUUCUAGUGAUACGUUAUGAUCAGGUCUCUAUCUUUCUAUUGUAUUCCAUUUUCUUGUAACCUUCCCUCCAUUUAUAAAUAAAUAUGUAGGCUGCAAUGACCAAAACUUGUGAUGGAGACGAGAGAAAGGAACUAUUAUAUGAUCAUUUCACUGAUAUGGAUGAUUUUUGGUUUGACUUCAUGGCGGAUACUGGUGAUGGUGGGAACUCAUCAUACUCUGUCGCAAAACUUCUAGCUCAGCCUUUCAUCAAUGUCCCGCUUGAUGAUGAUCUUGUAUCUCUACAAAGGGGUAACGUGUUGCUUAUUGGGGGAGAUCUUGCGUAAGUUUCAUAUUCUCUGUCUUUUUGAGCAUGUUUAGAUGUAACCAAAUGGAUGUCUUUCUUUGAUAUAUUGUCAGAUACCCAAAUCCAUCAGCGUUUACAUAUGAAAAACGUCUGUUUUGUCCUUUUGAGUAUGCGCUGCAACCUCCCCAUUGGUAUAAAAACGACUCAAUAUCUGUUGAGAAGCCUGAGUUACCUGAAGGUGUUUCUGAUCUGAAGCAUUAUGAUGGUCCUCAAUGCUUUCUUAUCCCUGGAAACCAUGGUGGGUCCUCACAUACUUGCAUGCAUACUUGGUUUUUGUUGGUAUUGCUUUUAAUUAUAUGUAAUAAUGUUUUUGUUUUAAUUUUUAGACUGGUUCGAUGGACUCAAUACUUUCAUGAGGUAUAUAUGCCAUAAAAGUUGGCUUGGUGGCUGGUUAAUGCCCCAAAAGAAAAGCUAUUUUGCACUGCAGCUACCUAAAGGAUGGUGGGUGUUCGGUUUGGAUCUCGCGCUUCAUGGUGAUAUUGAUGUCUACCAGUUCAAUUUCUUUUCUGAAUUAGUGAAAGAGAAGGUAGUUAUUAUUGUUGUUGUCUCUGUUUGAUACUAUUUAAUAUCCAAUUUUUUUGCUUUAACGAGAGUUUUUUUAAAAUCUUUUCAUUUUAGGUUGGGAAGGAUGAUGGAGUGAUCAUUAUCACACAUGAGCCGAACUGGCUUCUUGAUUGGUAUUGGAAAGACGAUACUGGAAAGAACAUGAGACACCUGAUAUGCGCCUUUUUGAAAGGCAGGUGUAAACUUAGAAUGGCAGGAGAUUUGCAUCAUUAUAUGCGUCAUUCUUGUACUCAUCAAUCAGAUGGACCAGCUGCCCAUGUCGAACAUCUCCUUGUUAAUGGUUGUGGUGGGGCUUUCUUGCAUCCCACCCAUGUGUUUAGCGACUUUUCAAAGUUUUAUGGUGCUUCCUAUGACAGUAAAUAUGCUUACCCUUCUUUUAAAGAUUCAAGCAGGGUAAUUCUUUUUUUUCUUGUUUCUUGGGUCUUUUAUACGAUUUGCCUAUUUUUCUUUAGCAUUCAAAAACUUUAAUUAUAUUGUUUGUUGUUCCUUGCAGAUUGCUUUGGGAAAUAUUUUGAAGUUCAGGAAAAAGAACUGGCAAUUUGAUUUCAUUGGUGGCAUCAUAUACUUUGUCUUGGUCUUUUCCUUGUUCCCUCAGGUGCGGUUUUGACCUUUUUAAAACUCCUUUUUUCUCAUGAACUGUUUCUUCUGCCACCAUGCAGCUUGUAUUAGGUUAUUAAAAUUGUAACAUCUCCGGUUUGGUCUAAGUUACCAGUGAUCAGCUAUGCAUGUUCUUGUUUGAUUGUUGCAUGGCUGGUCGAGUCAACUUGUACAUAGGACCAGAUCGGAGGUGUCACAAAGGUCUUGUCUACUAAAAUAGUGCACAUUAGCAACAUCCACUAACACUCAUGAGAAGGUAUUUUAUCUUUCUUUCAUUGUUGGUUCCAGUGUAAGCUAGGCCACAUCUUACGAGAUGAUUCAUUUUCUGGCCACCUGGGGAGUUUCUUGGGCACAGUUUGGAGCGCCUUUGUAUACAUAACAGAGCAGUCAUAUGUGUCUUUCACCGGUGUUGUCAUGUUGCUAGUAGCUGCAAUUAUGUUUGUUCCCUCAAAAAUAUCUCGGAAGAGACGGAUGCUAAUUGGAGUUCUUCACGUUGCUGCACACCUUACCGCUGCUUUGAUUCUUAUGUUGCUAUUGGAACUCGGCAUAGAAACCUGUAUUCAGCAUAAGCUCCUUGCAACCUCCGGUCAGUUACGAAUGUUUUUUUGUAUUUGACCCUCGUUACAAUGUCAUUGACACUAAUGGUAACCACAAAUAUUAUUACAGGGUAUCAUACAUUGUAUCAAUGGUACAAAUCAGUAGAAAAUGAACACUUUCCGGACCCCACUGGCCUUCGAGUCCGUAUCGAACAGUGGACCUUCGGAUUCUAUCCAGCUUGCAUCAAAUAUCUUAUGUCAGCAUUUGAUAUACCUGAGGUAAUGUGUUUUGUCAACUUAGCCUUUUGUUUUAGGACCAAACUUAAGUGUUUAACGUUUUAGGUGAUGGCGGUUACACGGACAAACAUUUGCCGGGAAGGAAUGGAGUCGCUUUCUCGAAGUGGAGCAGCUAUAUAUUAUGCUUCUGUGUUUCUAUACUUUUGGGUCUUCUCAACUCCUGUCGUGUCUUUGGUCUUUGGAAGUUACUUGUACAUCUGCAUCAACUGGCUUCACAUACACUUUGAUGAAGCUUUCUCUUCUCUCCGCAUAGCUAAUUACAAAUCAUUCACCCGUUUCCAUAUCAAAUCUGAUGGAGACCUUGAAGUCUUCACUCUCGGAGUAGACAAGGCAAGUCUCUGAAUUAAAAAUGACAAAAAGUAACAAGUUUUGUGAUUAUGGGAUUAUUAGCUUGGUGUUUGUUUUGUGAUUGGUCUUUAACUAGAGGAGUGUAUGUGCUUAAUGAGUCCAGGUGCCAAAGGAAUGGAAGCUAGACAAAGACUGGGAUUCAGAGCCAAGAUCGACGGUAAAGAUGAGUCAUCUCAGAAGGUUUCCAAGCAAAUGGUGUGCAACAACAUCGCAACAAGAUCCUAUCAACACUGUAAAAAUUGUUGAUCAUUUUGUUAUUAGUAGAUCAGAUAAAGAAGUUGGAGGAUCUUAGUUAGAACCAGUUUUUCAACGAUUCUUUUUCUCUCCUAAAAUGUAGUAUUAGUGUUUUAUGCUUAUUAAUUUAACAUAUUUAUUAAUUUAUUGAAUAUUUGAUUCAUAGAGUUUAAUUGUAAAUUUAUAUUUAAAUAUUUAUUUUUGGCAAAAUAAAACAAUUUUUUUAUUACUCUAUUUGCUUUCAUCCCCAUCUUUUGUGUUUUCUUUUGUCUAUAAAUCCUUUAAAACUUCUUAAAUAAAGUAUAUAUAGAUAAUAGAUACAUGGCAACAUUAUUAAACCAAUGACUUCCUCUCUUCUUCCUCUUCUCUACCACCCUCACCUCCGGCGUUCCUAGCCGCUGGUCUCGCCGGAAUCUUGCUAGGAGGUUUACUAUCCAUAGGAACCAUCUUCAACACUAUUCCCAUUGCUAUCAACAGCAAUCCUGACCCGUGCUGCUCAGUCAACGGCUUGGUGAAUAUCAAAUACGACAGCAACAACGUAACUCCUUUCCUCGCCGUUGUUAUCUACACACAAAACGUUUUUAGACUUAGAAAACGCAUAUUCAGUUCACAUGUGUAGUAGACAAGAAUAGAGACUCACCAAGGCGGUUGUAGCGGCUCCAAAGAGAGCAAUGAGGGAUAGAACCGAGACUUGACCGAUGAAUGUGGCCAUUGCUUCGAAUACAAGCACUCCGUACACAUACGGAUGCUGCCAAAACCAAAGGCAAAGAAGAUAUGAAUUUUAAAAUACAUCAAUCAACUAAUGAAUGAUUAAAGCGUUUAACUGUUAAAAUAUUACACGAUGGUACUUUACUUAUGGAUUCAAUCUCAAUGUACAUGACUAUCAUUAUUAUUAUGAAAGACAACUUGGCUUUUAAAAAAAGGUUGGUAGAUUUAGGCACGUCGUCGGUCAAUGAUUUCAUUUCGAAUCCGACAAACUUUGACUUCUUUUAAUUAAGAGUCUAAACCGAAGAAGCUGACUCUGAUUCGAACCAUGUACCCAGUCAAAACCUUAACCAAGAACUUUUCAAAUCCUAUACAAAGUCAUUUCUUUAUCACUUUGGAUUCAAAUGGACUAUUACUCAUAAUGAUAUGUAUAAACCAAAAACUAAAGCGUACUAAUUUGGUUGGUUAAGCUUUACGGUUUACCAAAACCGGACAAAACAGAGGAUUGUACUUACUUGCCAGCACGCAGUCCAAGCACGGAAAAGCUCUCCGGUUAAGACCAUGGGAACAAACAAGAACGGUAAUCCAACAACCGUCGAGCAGAAAAGCAUCUCCAUCUGAAACAAAUACAUUACAAGAAUCUUAGAUGCGAGACAAACCAAAAGGAAACAGGAAGAAUAGAGUUGUGCGUUUUCUUGCCUGAGUUGUCUCGGGAUUCAUUGUGAAAAUGGCUUCUUGAAGAUUACCCAAGAAAGCAUCCAUGAUCAGUGCACCAGUAAUCAUCAAAAUCCCUAUCAUACUGAAGUUGGGAGACAUUUGCGCGUCUGCUAAUGUGAAUAGUAUCAAACCAAGAACCAGCAAGAAGGCUGAAAUGUAUUCAUGGACCGGGUAUUUUCUCCUCAGACCGGGUAUGAACGCUCCCAUUAUCAUCACAGGCAACACCUGAAACCCAUUUGAACAAUUCUCUAAACACUUGGCUACUUUAAACUCAAUGAGAUUGUUUAAAAUUGUGGAAGUACCUUGGUGGAUUUGAACAUGAUCUGAGCAGGAUAAUUGAGAUAAGCCAAAGAGCCUUUGGUUAAGCCAUGUGAGCCCAUGAGAACAGCAGAGAGUUUGACAUAAGUUCUCAUAGGAUUCACAAUAUGCUUUGUGGUGAAGCCUUGAAGGUAGAUGAGGAACAAGUAGACAAAUCCUUGUAUAAACGUGAAGUACCAACCAAAGCUACAAAGAGACAGAGAGAGAACAAAUCCAGUUAUUAUUAUUUUUAUUUGCUAAAAAUCUAAAUAGUAGGAGAAAUUAAAAGUUGACUUUACCUAAAUUGCAGGCGAUUAUAAACAUAUUCCUGUAAAUAUAAAAAAAAAGACACAAAUAUCAGAAAAAUCAAGUCAAUAAUCACAAGUACAGAUCCAACAAAUUCUCUAAAGUCUGUUUUUUAACAAGAUCACAACUGUUUUUGUGUGAUCUCACAAUAUCUGCAAUUUAAGAGGAUAUUUUUAUAGUUUGAAUUAUGAAAUACAUAAAUCAAAAAGCUUUUGCGUGUGUGUUAGGAGAGAGUUUAGUUGGUCAUGCAAUGAAACAUCAAACACUUAGCAUGCAAAUGAUUUUCUUAAUGCACCAUAAUCAGGAGAUAAUUAUGCUGAAUUAUCUCAAAUAAACAAACAAAAAUGAUCAACGUUAUCUAUUAUAAUUCGGGAUCCUCGAAAUGAAUUAAAACCAAAAUUAAAAAAAAAAAAGGAUAAUUAAAUGAAUGAUGAAAAGAACCUCGCAAACUCCGUUGACGAGGUAACCAAAGAAGAAACCAGAAGUGCAGAUGAGAAACUGUUGCCAUGUUGGUCGAUCAGACAGGGAGAUUCCAAACAGAGAUCUUGACUGUUCCUCGUUCUUCAUCCUUUUCUCCUUAUUUAGAACUGGGAAGAAUAAUCAACGCUUCUUUUCUUUGAGAAAAUUAAAAACAAAAAAGGUCAAAAGAAACCCAGAAAAAUAAAGAGUAGAAUCACAAGAAUUUAUGUAAAGUCAUUCAUAACAGUAUAACACUCCUCGAAAUAACCAAACCAAACCAAACCAAACUCUUUUCUAAUUCACUCUUCAAAGUCUCGCUGAUCAAACGAGACACAGAGAGAGAGAGAGAGAAAUAAAUAGAGAUGUAUUGGGAAAUGAGAGAGAGAGAGGGGUUUUAAAACUGGAGGGUAAACACACAUGAAGAAGAAGAAGAGAAGAGGCAAGGGGUCUGAGACUCGUCGCGUGAUUCGCCACUCUGUGACACGUUUUUCUUUUCUCUCUAAGAGACGUUCUUCUUUUCUCUUUUUACGUUUUCAUUUGAUCUCUUCUUUAUUCUUCCGGUUAAAAAAGUUUUUCAAAUAAACCACCAAACUUAUCUAUAUUUAUCUUUCAAUACUUUUCACUUCACACCAGAUUAGAAUAUUUAUUAUUUAAUACCUUUUGUAUCAUCCGCGUGACACCUCUCUCAUGAAUGCUAAAUUAAGACAGUAUCCCAUCACCGGUUCGGUCCGGUUAUUGAUCUCUUCUUUAUUCUUCCGGUUAAACUUUAAAGUUUUCAAAUAAACCACCAAACUUGUCUAUAUUUAUCUUUUAAUACUUUUAACUUUAGAAUAUUUAAUAUAUUUUGUAUCUUCCGCCUGACACCUCUCUCAUGAAUGCUGAAUUAAGACAGCAUCCCAUCACCGGUUCGGUUUGGUCCGGUUUAUUUAUUAUUUAAUCAUGAAAAAAGUUGGAUGUGUCUGUGUAUAGGUCAUUGGAUCUUUUCUCUUUUAUAGCCGGGUCUGUGAAUAGAUAUACAAUCUUAUUUGGAUUAAUUAAUUUUUUUUUGUUAAAUUGAUAAUAUUAAAUGCAAUAGGUAAAUUAUACUUCCUAUGUUUCCGAAAAAAAAAUUUCUAGAGUAUUCACGCAUAUUAANNNNNNNNNNNNNNNNNNNNNNNNNNNNNNNNNNNNNNNNNNNNNNNNNNNNNNNNNNNNNNNNNNNNNNNNNNNNNNNNNNNNNNNNNNNNNNNNNNNNNNNNNNNNNNNNNNNNNNNNNNNNNNNNNNNNNNNNNNNNNNNNNNNNNNNNNNNNNNNNNNNNNNNNNNNNNNNNNNNNNNNNNNNNNNNNNNNNNNNNNNNNNNNNNNNNNNNNNNNNNNNNNNNNNNNNNNNNNNNNNNNNNNNNNNNNNNNNNNNNNNNNNNNNNNNNNNNNNNNNNNNNNNNNNNNNNNNNNNNNNNNNNNNNNNNNNNNNNNNNNNNNNNNNNNNNNNNNNNNNNNNNNNNNNNNNNNNNNNNNNNNNNNNNNNNNNNNNNNNNNNNNNNNNNNNNNNNNNNNNNNNNNNNNNNNNNNNNNNNNNNNNNNNNNNNNNNNNNNNNNNNNNNNNNNNNNNNNNNNNNNNNNNNNNNNNNNNNNNNNNNNNNNNNNNNNNNNNNNNNNNNNNNNNNNNNNNNNNNNNNNNNNNNNNNNNNNNNNNNNNNNNNNNNNNNNNNNNNNNNNNNNNNNNNNNNNNNNNNNNNNNNNNNNNNNNNNNNNNNNNNNNNNNNNNNNNNNNNNNNNNNNNNNNNNNNNNNNNNNNNNNNNNNNNNNNNNNNNNNNNNNNNNNNNNNNNNNNNNNNNNNNNNNNNNNNNNNNNNNNNNNNNNNNNNNNNNNNNNNNNNNNNNNNNNNNNNNNNNNNNNNNNNNNNNNNNNNNNNNNNNNNNNNNNNNNNNNNNNNNNNNNNNNNNNNNNNNNNNNNNNNNNNNNNNNNNNNNNNNNNNNNNNNNNNNNNNNNNNNNNNNNNNNNNNNNNNNNNNNNNNNNNNNNNNNNNNNNNNNNNNNNNNNNNNNNNNNNNNNNNNNNNNNNNNNNNNNNNNNNNNNNNNNNNNNNNNNNNNNNNNNNNNNNNNNNNNNNNNNNNNNNNNNNNNNNNNNNNNNNNNNNNNNNNNNNNNNNNNNNNNNNNNNNNNNNNNNNNNNNNNNNNNNNNNNNNNNNNNNNNNNNNNNNNNNNNNNNNNNNNNNNNNNNNNNNNNNNNNNNNNNNNNNNNNNNNNNNNNNNNNNNNNNNNNNNNNNNNNNNNNNNNNNNNNNNNNNNNNNNNNNNNNNNNNNNNNNNNNNNNNNNNNNNNNNNNNNNNNNNNNNNNNNNNNNNNNNNNNNNNNNNNNNNNNNNNNNNNNNNNNNNNNNNNNNNNNNNNNNNNNNNNNNNNNNNNNNNNNNNNNNNNNNNNNNNNNNNNNNNNNNNNNNNNNNNNNNNNNNNNNNNNNNNNNNNNNNNNNNNNNNNNNNNNNNNNNNNNNNNNNNNNNNNNNNNNNNNNNNNNNNNNNNNNNNNNNNNNNNNNNNNNNNNNNNNNNNNNNNNNNNNNNNNNNNNNNNNNNNNNNNNNNNNNNNNNNNNNNNNNNNNNNNNNNNNNNNNNNNNNNNNNNNNNNNNNNNNNNNNNNNNNNNNNNNNNNNNNNNNNNNNNNNNNNNNNNNNNNNNNNNNNNNNNNNNNNNNNNNNNNNNNNNNNNNNNNNNNNNNNNNNNNNNNNNNNNNNNNNNNNNNNNNNNNNNNNNNNNNNNNNNNNNNNNNNNNNNNNNNNNNNNNNNNNNNNNNNNNNNNNNNNNNNNNNNNNNNNNNNNNNNNNNNNNNNNNNNNNNNNNNNNNNNNNNNNNNNNNNNNNNNNNNNNNNNNNNNNNNNNNNNNNNNNNNNNNNNNNNNNNNNNNNNNNNNNNNNNNNNNNNNNNNNNNNNNNNNNNNNNNNNNNNNNNNNNNNNNNNNNNNNNNNNNNNNNNNNNNNNNNNNNNNNNNNNNNNNNNNNNNNNNNNNNNNNNNNNNNNNNNNNNNNNNNNNNNNNNNNNNNNNNNNNNNNNNNNNNNNNNNNNNNNNNNNNNNNNNNNNNNNNNNNNNNNNNNNNNNNNNNNNNNNNNNNNNNNNNNNNNNNNNNNNNNNNNNNNNNNNNNNNNNNNNNNNNNNNNNNNNNNNNNNNNNNNNNNNNNNNNNNNNNNNNNNNNNNNNNNNNNNNNNNNNNNNNNNNNNNNNNNNNNNNNNNNNNNNNNNNNNNNNNNNNNNNNNNNNNNNNNNNNNNNNNNNNNNNNNNNNNNNNNNNNNNNNNNNNNNNNNNNNNNNNNNNNNNNNNNNNNNNNNNNNNNNNNNNNNNNNNNNNNNNNNNNNNNNNNNNNNNNNNNNNNNNNNNNNNNNNNNNNNNNNNNNNNNNNNNNNNNNNNNNNNNNNNNNNNNNNNNNNNNNNNNNNNNNNNNNNNNNNNNNNNNNNNNNNNNNNNNNNNNNNNNNNNNNNNNNNNNNNNNNNNNNNNNNNNNNNNNNNNNNNNNNNNNNNNNNNNNNNNNNNNNNNNNNNNNNNNNNNNNNNNNNNNNNNNNNNNNNNNNNNNNNNNNNNNNNNNNNNNNNNNNNNNNNNNNNNNNNNNNNNNNNNNNNNNNNNNNNNNNNNNNNNNNNNNNNNNNNNNNNNNNNNNNNNNNNNNNNNNNNNNNNNNNNNNNNNNNNNNNNNNNNNNNNNNNNNNNNNNNNNNNNNNNNNNNNNNNNNNNNNNNNNNNNNNNNNNNNNNNNNNNNNNNNNNNNNNNNNNNNNNNNNNNNNNNNNNNNNNNNNNNNNNNNNNNNNNNNNNNNNNNNNNNNNNNNNNNNNNNNNNNNNNNNNNNNNNNNNNNNNNNNNNNNNNNNNNNNNNNNNNNNNNNNNNNNNNNNNNNNNNNNNNNNNNNNNNNNNNNNNNNNNNNNNNNNNNNNNNNNNNNNNNNNNNNNNNNNNNNNNNNNNNNNNNNNNNNNNNNNNNNNNNNNNNNNNNNNNNNNNNNNNNNNNNNNNNNNNNNNNNNNNNNNNNNNNNNNNNNNNNNNNNNNNNNNNNNNNNNNNNNNNNNNNNNNNNNNNNNNNNNNNNNNNNNNNNNNNNNNNNNNNNNNNNNNNNNNNNNNNNNNNNNNNNNNNNNNNNNNNNNNNNNNNNNNNNNNNNNNNNNNNNNNNNNNNNNNNNNNNNNNNNNNNNNNNNNNNNNNNNNNNNNNNNNNNNNNNNNNNNNNNNNNNNNNNNNNNNNNNNNNNNNNNNNNNNNNNNNNNNNNNNNNNNNNNNNNNNNNNNNNNNNNNNNNNNNNNNNNNNNNNNNNNNNNNNNNNNNNNNNNNNNNNNNNNNNNNNNNNNNNNNNNNNNNNNNNNNNNNNNNNNNNNNNNNNNNNNNNNNNNNNNNNNNNNNNNNNNNNNNNNNNNNNNNNNNNNNNNNNNNNNNNNNNNNNNNNNNNNNNNNNNNNNNNNNNNNNNNNNNNNNNNNNNNNNNNNNNNNNNNNNNNNNNNNNNNNNNNNNNNNNNNNNNNNNNNNNNNNNNNNNNNNNNNNNNNNNNNNNNNNNNNNNNNNNNNNNNNNNNNNNNNNNNNNNNNNNNNNNNNNNNNNNNNNNNNNNNNNNNNNNNNNNNNNNNNNNNNNNNNNNNNNNNNNNNNNNNNNNNNNNNNNNNNNNNNNNNNNNNNNNNNNNNNNNNNNNNNNNNNNNNNNNNNNNNNNNNNNNNNNNNNNNNNNNNNNNNNNNNNNNNNNNNNNNNNNNNNNNNNNNNNNNNNNNNNNNNNNNNNNNNNNNNNNNNNNNNNNNNNNNNNNNNNNNNNNNNNNNNNNNNNNNNNNNNNNNNNNNNNNNNNNNNNNNNNNNNNNNNNNNNNNNNNNNNNNNNNNNNNNNNNNNNNNNNNNNNNNNNNNNNNNNNNNNNNNNNNNNNNNNNNNNNNNNNNNNNNNNNNNNNNNNNNNNNNNNNNNNNNNNNNNNNNNNNNNNNNNNNNNNNNNNNNNNNNNNNNNNNNNNNNNNNNNNNNNNNNNNNNNNNNNNNNNNNNNNNNNNNNNNNNNNNNNNNNNNNNNNNNNNNNNNNNNNNNNNNNNNNNNNNNNNNNNNNNNNNNNNNNNNNNNNNNNNNNNNNNNNNNNNNNNNNNNNNNNNNNNNNNNNNNNNNNNNNNNNNNNNNNNNNNNNNNNNNNNNNNNNNNNNNNNNNNNNNNNNNNNNNNNNNNNNNNNNNNNNNNNNNNNNNNNNNNNNNNNNNNNNNNNNNNNNNNNNNNNNNNNNNNNNNNNNNNNNNNNNNNNNNNNNNNNNNNNNNNNNNNNNNNNNNNNNNNNNNNNNNNNNNNNNNNNNNNNNNNNNNNNNNNNNNNNNNNNNNNNNNNNNNNNNNNNNNNNNNNNNNNNNNNNNNNNNNNNNNNNNNNNNNNNNNNNNNNNNNNNNNNNNNNNNNNNNNNNNNNNNNNAAAUUUAUGAAAACAUUUUAUUCAACCUAUGUUUUAGUUUUGGAGUUUAAGUUUUGGUUUUGAGAUAUGUUUUAAUAUUUUGGUUUGUGUUUUCAGAUGUAGAAAAGGUAUGUUAGAGUUUUGGAGUUUAUGUUGUUUCUUAACUUAAAUUCAAUUCAUAGAAACAUUUUGUUCGAUGAUCAGUCUACGCAUUCAACAAAGCAAUUAAGUUCGAGAAUGUUUAACUUAGCAUAAAAGUUCACAUAGAAAAACCAUUCAAGUUUUACAAACCGAAAUACAUAAGUUGAUAAGUUGCUAAUGAAACAAAAAGAAACAAGUUCAGAUGAUAGAGAGGAAAAACCGCAAAAGAGCCAUCUAAUUUCGUGAGGUAGAAGCAAUGCUACCUGUAGAAGAAGAGAACACAAGUUAACGCAGAAGCAAAGUAGUAACAUUGAAGUUAUAGACAACACAAACAAGUAAAAUGAGAAGACUUACCAUCGAUUCUGCUGAAGUGCUUGAUCAGUAGUUCAGUACACUCCUUCCUUUCCGGACAUACACACAGUAAUUUGAUCCGAAGCGUCCGAUCUUAGCUUCCAUGGUUUAUUGAUCUCAGCCCCUUGUAUGUGUUUUGAGUAGAAUUCAAGUGGUAUUGCCACGCCACUGUGAAAACCAGGAAGAAGAGGCUUGAAGAAAUGAGGUUCUCGGGGAGUUUCCAUCUGCAACAAUCGAGUUUUAAACAAACCGUGAACCCUCAAUCGCAAUUAUUAGCACACAUUAACGACAGAUUAUUAGCACACAUUACCACAAUUGAACUCCCAUAUCGAUUAAGAACCCUAAAAAAAACCCCCCAAAUCGAUUUUAAUCACAAAUCGCAAAUCCCUUUCGAACAUUCAUAGAAACGAACCCUACAUGAAACGACCAUGACGAUUUACAGCUAUUAUUCGAAACAGAGACUUCGAUUUACAUCCCUAACGCGAAAGCCCCAAUUUUUAAUUGAAAUCCGAGAAAACGGUUUCGAGUUUCCACCACAAAAUCGAACCAAUUCAACCCUCAAUCGAACUACCAUAUCGAUUAAGAACCCUAAAAAAAAAAACCCCAAAUCGAUUUUAAAUCAUACAAAUCGCAAAUCCCUUUCGAACAUUCAUAGAAACGAACCCUACAUGAAACGACCAUGACGAUUUACAGCUAUUAUUCGAAACAGAGACUUCGAUUUACAUCCCUAACGCGAAAGCCCCAAUUAGCGUCGAGAAGAGAUUACAGAGUCGAUUUGAUGGAGAAAACCUCCGGAAUUCGCCGUCGCACGGUGUGUCGCCUCCGCGGAAAGAAACCCUAGGUUUUUCAGAGAGGAGACAAAUGAAUCGCGUUACGCGGAAACCCUUUCGACCUCGUCGUCAACGCGGAAAGGAGAAGCCACUCAGCGCCCGACGCGUGGCAUGAACUCGCCUCUUACGGGUUCAAGCGUAAGGCCCGGUUCGUCGAUUAAAACCCAUUUUUCAUUUUCUUUAAAUCAUUCGGGCCUAAAAACUCGAGCCGACGACCCCCUCAUGAACCCCUGAUGCGCAUGGUCUUAGUUUCUUUAUUGUCAAUGUAAUGGUUCUUCUUCUUCUUCUUCUUCUUCUUCUUCUUGGGGUUAUGUCUUAAGGUUUGUGUUUUGAGGCAGCUUGUACUAGAGGUUAUAAGUUUCUUGGCAUUUUAAGGUCUUUUUGGUUUUGUUAGUGUGAGAUAUUGGGAAGAGGAUUUAGCCAUGUAGGGCUUUUGAGAAUAAGUGUUUUUAUCACUAUGAGAUUAUUCUGUUCUCAUGCUUGUUUGUAUGUCUUGUGCGAACGCAAGCAAACUCGUUCCUGUUCAUGUAUUUCUACUUUAUAGAAAACUAUUUUUAUGUUCUAUUGAUAUUUUUAUAGUCUUCUGUUCAUUAUGCUAGUUUGUUUUAUAAAUAUUCCAAUGAAUGACUAACAUUCAUUGCUUGAAUACGAAUAAUCUAAUCUUUAUUUCUUAGCAAUUUUUCACAAUUAUUAUGAAUCCUAGUGCUUAUUUGAUUUAUGAUAUUCUAAUUAUAUGUAUCCUCCACACAACUUCCUAACUUUCACUAUAUUGAUUCCCAAGAUUAUAUUUAAUCUUUAGAUUGCAUGAAUAAUGCUUUGAAAUGUAGUAUGUUAACCUCAAUGUAAAUAAAAACAGAGACUAGAAUGUUUACUUGAAAAAUGGUUUUGUCAAAAAGGCAUAAUGAAUGCAUUUAUAUUGAAUUAGAAAGAAUGAGAGCAUACAUCAUAGACCAUAUAAAUUAAAUUGGGUGUAGGAAACAAAACAAAUAAUGAAUGGGUGUUUUAGUUUAAUAUUUUUUGAGCUUCUACUUAUUGGGGUAAGUUGGUCACUGGACCACUGCAAGCUUUAGGGCUCUGAGUUCCCAUGAGUUUGGGGCUCACGUUUGAGCACUGGAAAGUCGCUGGACCAUCUGCUCCGCUGUACCUAAUGUCAAUGUCUCCAAUCUCAACGUUUUGGCAUGGGUAUCCCCUGCUGCACAAUAGCUUCACUGCAUCCUUGUUCCCUGAUGUUCCUCUGAUCUGCUUGAAGCUGAUGUUGGCAAGCUUAAUCGUUGAUGGUUUCUGCUUGUUACAUUGGUUCCAAGGGCAGUACUCUUGGUCGAUGAGGAUUGGGUUCAUAACGUUCUUGAGAAUGAUAUUCUCGAAAUGAAUAUCGGAGGCGGUGGUGGAGCAAGCUGCAGAAGGCCAUGUCUUGAUCCUCAGUCCGUUGUCAGUCUGUUGGAGAGUGCAGUUUAUGACUCUAAUGCCGCUGACAUCCUGUUCGUUUCCGUACCUUCCAAGGCUUCCGACACUGAUUCCAUGUCCUGGACCGCACGUGACUUUCUCCACGUGAAGGUUCUUCAUCCCAUCUCCAACGGAUAUACAGUCGUCUCCGGUGGAGAUGAAUGUGUUAAGGAUCUUGACUCCGUCACUUCUUCCCAAAUGGAUACCGUCAGUGUUGGGACUGUCUUUUGGGGCAAUGAUGUUGAUGUGAUCCAUGGUCAUGUUCUUGGCACCGAGCACGUUGAUGUGGAAGUUCUUGGCAUCUAUUGAAGAUAUGUCUCUGAUCUCAGCGUUCUCCACGAAAUCAAACCUUAUACUCUAUAAAAAAAAGACAAAAUAACAUCACUAAUCUAUUAUUUUUCACAAAAAGCCAAUUAAAUUAAGAUAUAUUGAGGACAUAUAUAAGCACACAUACGAUGGGAAGUUUCUUGCAGUUGAAAGUCUGGUGACAGUUGUUAACUCUCCAAGCUGCGUUUCCUUCACCAUCGAAAGCUCCACCUCCGUUCAACUUAAAGCCAUUAAUGUUGCCAAAGACAAUCCAUGUGUCCUUUCCCUGGAUCGCGUUACCAUCAGCUUUGACAGUGCCUUGAAUGGUGAUCUCGACUGGAGCUUUGCAUGGACCCCUCAUCUGGAUCUCACCAAGCUUGAACUCUCCUUUUGGGAUCACCACUCUGCUCGGUGUUGGAGAUUGGCAUGCUGUUGUAAAUGCUUUCAGAAGUGCCUGCAUAUGUCAUGCGCAAUAGAACCUUAACAACGUAGCCGAUAAUAUGGUUUUGUGGAUUGCUUGUAUAGCAAGAAAAAGGAGAGCAAUGUAACUAACCUGAGUAAUGUCAGAACCUGGAGAGGAGCCAAUGGUGAUGUAUACAGCAUUGGCUGAAAAUCCCAAUAAACAGAAAAUAAAAACGGUAAAAGCUCCAAAAUAUGCACCCAUUCUUUAAUAAAAAAUUUAUUUACUAUUAAUAUUACUAUUUUUUUUAAAUUUAUUUGUUUUGUUUCUUUCACAAAAACUUUUAGGGAAAGAAAUGUUCAAGUCUAACUUUUCUCACAACCUCUCGUUACUUUUAGGUUGUUUGACCCAUGUGUGUUAGGAAGUGAUCAUAUUUCUAAUUGUGUAUCUUGAAGGAUAAAAACUGGAAACUAACUAACGUCGUAUUUUCAAGAAUAUUUUUACUGAAAAAAUGUCACAAAAACUUUUAGGGAAAGAAAUGUUCAAGUCUAACUUUUCUCACAACCUCUCGUUACUUUUAGGUUGUUUGACCCAUGUGUGUUAGGAAGUGAUCAUAUUUCUAAUUGUGUAUCUUGAAGGAUAAAAACUGGAAACUAACUAACGUCGUAUUUUCAAGAAUAUUUUUACUGAAAAAAUGUCACAAAAACUUUUAACAACUGUACUCAAUCAUAUUGAUAACUUUUAAAAUAACUGAUUUUAGAACGCUAUAUUCAGUUUAUUUUUGAUAAUUAAGUUCUUAAAGUACGUACACAAUAAAACCACUUAACUUUUCUUUCUUAGCAAAAACAAAAAAAAUAAACAUUUCAUAUUUUCAGGAGACUUGUGUGUGAUGUCAUGUUUUUUUUUUUUGAAAAAAGUGUGUGAUGUCAUGUUUCAACUUUCAACGUGGUUGCUAGAUUUUGAGUGAUGCUCCCAAAUUAAGGUUGCUCUUUGUACUUUGAGUUUGAGUCCUAUGUCACCAAAACGUCUUUCUACUGCAAUUUUGUCCUUUAUAGUUUUUACCUUCAUAAUGCACACGUGCUCGAGCUUUGAAACGAUUUUUCCGGAGGCAUUCUAUCUUUUUAUUCGUUGUGUCAGGAAUGGUCCAACAACACACAGAUCUCAGAACAUGCAAAACUUGAAUUGCAUUUGUAACCAAAAAUACUUGAAUUGCACGUGGGUUAUGAAAUUCUUUUAAAUCUUUUACCAACAUACAAUAUACUACGAGCCUGUGUUUUAGAAAACAUGAUACGUUGAACAUUAGCUAAUUUUUUAGUUUUAAAAUCAUGAUUAAUGAGAGUUCUCAAAAUAAAUUAGACUAUACAUAUUAGUGAAUAAAAUAUUGUUUUGAAAAUUCAAAAUUCAUGAACAUCCUUUCUCAAAAUAUUCAUGAUUUUGAAAACCCCGUAGUAAAUUAUGAAAUAUUUUAAAAUUAUGAUAAAAUAUGAAUAUUUAUAUAUACAUAUACAUAUACUUCAAUUGUGUUAAAUCCACAUUAAUUGGGAUUUUGCUCUUACUACGAACCUUUCUAAAGACAAACUUGUAAUAUUUUGGAUUUUGAAACGAAAAUAUUGUGGUUAUCCUUGAAAAAGCAAUGUCAAUACGUAGCUGAUAAUUUUAAGGGUCAAUUUGCUGAAUAACCAACUUUGGCAUCAAAAUUAAGUGAGUAGCAUUGAUUUUGACGUAAUGUAAUAUCUAUCAUUUAUGCCAAUUGUUAUCCGGUUCUGCCCCUUCUUCCAUUAAUCAUCCGGUAAUAUUGUAUUGCUAGAUAUGACUUGGUCAAAAUAACGUAGGGUAAAGAUUAAAUUAAAUACUACUUUAUUUGAUAGAAACACAUGCAGCCACGUACCAAUUUAAUCCACCCAAAAUUUUCUUAUUGCUGGUCAAUAAUGAAUCACUAUUAUUUACAAACACAUCACGUAAAAGAACUCAUGUCACAAAUUUACUUAUAACAUAUUUAUUUACUAUAUGAAGUAGAAUGAGCGGAUAGAAACAUAAUUUUUAAAAAAAAAUAAAAAGUGUAUAAACCCUAAACCCAAAAAAAACAUAAAUUUCCAAAUACUAAAUCCUAAACUCUAAUCACUAAACCCUAACUCAAAUAUAAACCCUAAACCCAAAUAUAAACACAAAACCCAAAUAGAAUGGAACAAAAUAAAUAACAUAGUACAUAUUGGUGAAACUAUAAAAUGUCUAUGAUUGCAUGAAAGAAGUUAGUGUUGACCCAACCAUACCCCUCACCUUCUAAAUACUAAACCCUAAAUUCCAGUCACUAAACCCUAUCCAAAUAUACCCUAAACGCUAAACCUAAAUAAAUAGAUUAAGCUAAACCCUGAUCAAGGAAGUAUAAACCCAAAUAGAAUGUAUAUAAUAUGGUUUACUAUACCCAAACAUUUACUUAGUAAAUCUAAACCCUAGGCAAGAACCUAUAAACCAAAAUUCAAAUAUAAACACAAAACCCAAAUAGAAUGGAACAAAAUAAAUAACAUAGUACAUAUUAGUGAAACUAUAAAAUGUCUAUGAUUGCAUGAAAGAAGUUAACGCUGACCCCAACCAUACCCCCCUCACCUUCUAAAUACUAAACCCUAAAUUCUAGUCACUAAUCACCCUAAUCACUAAGUAUUAUAGAAAUACUAAAACCACAUCCGUAAUCUUUAAAUACUAAACACUAUCCCAACUCCUAAAUACUAUGGCUAUCACUAAACCCAAACCUCAACCCCUACCUUCCAAAUACUAAACCCUAAAUUUAAAUCACUAAACCCUAAACCCAAGUAUAAACCCUAAACCUAAGUAUAAACCCUAAACCCAAGUAUAAACCCUAAACCCAAAUAGAAUGAAACAAAAUACAUAGUAUAGUACAUAUUGGUGAACAAAAUAGAACACUCUUUAUUAAUCGUCAAAUGGAACGAUACAUGAUAGGGUCACCAUCAAACCUCAACCCCACCUUCCAAAUACUAAACCCUAAAUCUUAAUCAAUAAAUCCUAAACCCAAAUAUAAACUCUAAACCCAAAUAGAAUGGAAAAAAAAUACAUAGUAUAGUACUUGGUGAAGAAAAUAACACCUUCUUUAUUAAUCAUCAACUGGAACGAUACAUGAUAAAUACAUAUAGUAACAGACUAUUUUACAUUACAUAACAUGAAUAAAACAUUCAUAAUACAUAUUAUUUUACAUUUCUAUUCUAUACGCAUAAAAUAGAAUAGAACACAAUGUUACAAAAACUGUUCAUCUUCUCCGAUCAAUUCAAGGAUAUUCACAGCGAGAAAGAUAUGUGUAACUGGCAACAUCCGUGAGAAUAGUACAUGUAACCGCCUCGUAAACCGAAAAGAUUAAGGUGAUUGAAGGAAGAGUUGACGAACCUUGCGGCGGUGCCGUUUACGUUGUCGGCGACUCCAUAGAUUUCAGAUGCGCAAAGCUUUUUGUCAGUAGCGAAGCGAGUCAUUGCAGAUGGGCAUCUCAUAGGCAAAGCUACUCCAGAAAUGGUUUUGGUGGUUACACAGUGGAUCAAAAAUGGAGAAGAAACAACCCACGUUCUACAAGGUAUGUGAUUCUCCAAAGGCCACGUUGUAUGUGUGUAAGGUAAGUAUUAUUAAUUUAGUUUUUUUUAGUUUACAGGUUUUACCGGUUGUGUAAGAGGGCAUAGUAGUAUUAUUAUAUAAAAGAUGCAUGGUGUAUUGGUGUAUUAGGGUAUUUAGACAUAGAAUGAAUUAUAAUUUGUUUGAAGGUUAUACAGCCAAAUUUCCCUAAUUUUAAUACUGUCUCUUUUCCCAUUCAAAUAUAUAGAGUUACAUAUAUAUAUAUAUAUAUAUGUAUUGUAUACCCUGGUGUCGUUUAUCCUACAUAGCGUUGGAGAAACAACAAUGGAGUUCUUAAUUUAUUUAUUUUUGGGUAAAUUGUUAAGUUCUUAAAUUUAAUUUGACAUGAAUACUAUUAGCUAUUAGAGCUCGAACUUCAACAGAAAACGUUACCGUUCCAAUUUCAAGUUUUGUCAAAUCCGAAAUCAGCAGGACUCAAAAUUAAUUCGGCUGUCUAAUUCAAAUCUAAUACUACGAUAAUAACUAGAAUAACAAUUAACAAGUAUCUGGAUAAGACGUCUGAAGAAUAUCUCACAAUAAAAGUGAGAUGAGACCACUGGAGCAGCUAUUUUGUUAAGAAACUGUUAAAGUUUCUCAAAGAAAAAUAUCAUAAUUAUUUGUAUAAUUACAUUUUUAAUAAUUGUAUCAUAUUUUAAUAAGUGUUAUUAAGAGUUCUAAGCAAGUUAUUUAAAAAAAAAUCUUAAAUCAGAAUUCUUCUCUAUUCUUUCUCAUACUUUUUAAAAUCACUAGGUAACUUUUCACGUAUUCAUCAAUGAACAACGAGAAAAUAAAGUAAACAUUUUGUACUGGGAUCAAAAAAAAAUUAAUGGAGAUAAAUUUUCAUUUUUGGUGGGAUCAAUAUAAUUUUUCUUAAGUAAAAACAAAUAUUUUACAUUUUUUAAAAAUAAAAACAAAUACUUUUAGAAAAGUAGUGGGGUCAGCUGACCCCAUCUCUUCCCAGCCCCUGGUCACAUAGAUCAACCCAUUAAUUGCUAGUUAAUUUUAAGGUUUAAGUAAUUUUUAGCAUUUUAAAUUUCUUAAAAAGACCAAUCACAUGCAGAAAAGAUAUAUAAAUCUUUUAGUUUUAUUACAUCAUUAUGCACACACACAUAUGUGUUGGCAUCGAAUAGAAACAUUUUUUCAUUUACAGUUUUCAUAAAGUCUCCCUUAUGUGAGACUUUUCAAAGAAAAAAGGGUUAGAAAGAAGGAAAAACAAAAUUGGAUGUGAAAGCCCUAGAUGUGUUGAUCAGCUUCAACAUUUUACGCUUGGCCAGGUGCCUUGACCACAGGUCCAACACAAGCCUUUGGGUUUUGAGUUCCCACAAGCUUAGGUGUGACGUUUGUGCACUCAAAAGUGGGUGGACCAUCAGGUCCUGUGUACUCAAUGUUAAUGUCUCCAAUCUCAACGUUCUCACAUGGAUGUCCCUUGCUGCACAAUAGUUUCACUGCGUCCUUGUUCCCUGAUGUUCCUCUAAUAUUCCUGAAGGUAAUGUCCACCAGCUUAAUUGUUGAUGGUUUCUGCAAAUAAUAUAAAAACUUUGGGAAUCAGAAUCAUAUAUAGAACUCUAUAUGUAACCUCUACCAAAAUGGUAAAUGCUAAAGAUCUAGAAAACAUCAGAAUAAUUUGUGUGCUGAAUCAAUUUAUCCAUUUUCAUAUAUAGAAUCCGGUGAUAGUGGCAAGACAUAGAAUCUAAUAAAAAAUACUUACGCUCUUGUUGCAUUGGUUCCAAGGGCAGUACUCCUGGUCGAUGAGGAUUGGGUUGCUAACUUUGUUAAGGAUGAUAUUCUCAAAAUGAAUACCGGCAGCAGUGGUGGUGCAAGCCGCAGAUGGCCAUGUCUUGAUCCUCAGCCCGUUGUCGGUUCCCUCGAGGGUGCAGUUUAUAACCUUAAUGUCGUUGACAUCUUGCUCCCAUCCGUAUCUUCCAAG
rnacentral:lncRNA from 1 species